rnacentral:lncRNA from 1 species
UCAUGCAUUUUCACAGAUCUGUCAUUACCAGUGUCUAACAGCAGUGACGCAGCUUUGAGCGCGUUAAUCGUUCCAUGCAGUCGGCUUCUGGCGUUUUCUAUUGACGGAGCACAUUGAUACCAAAUAACCCCCACUGCGUAUCCAACCAAAUCCUCCAAAUAAAUCUCAUAAUCUUCUGGAAACAGAGAACACAACAAGAAGCAUAACUUGGACUCCUCACUAUUUAAAUUGUCGUAACUGAAUUUAAGACAACCGUAAACGUCUUGGUCAUCCUUGUCAAUACCUUCUAUUGCAUAGAGUUUUGCUUCCUUUAGGUUAUUUAGUGCUAGUUUCCAUUCAUCAGAUCCUUUUUCUCUUAGUGCACUUCCAACAGCUUCAAUAGCUAAAGGCAGCCCCUUAAUUACAUUCGUCGGCAACUUGUUUUGAAACACCAUCCAAGGAGGAGUCGUUUACAUUAAUACCGGCAUUCAUUUUUAGUAGAGUCAAUCCUUCUUCUGGUGUUAUUGUACCAAGUUCAAUCUGUGGGUAACAACCGAAAGAACCACAAAUUGACUUUUUGCGAGUGGUUAGAAGGAUUUUGCAACAAUUGUCUCUAUCACCAAUGGGAAUACCUAAUUUUUUCUCCAAGUCGAGUUGUUUCCAAACAUCACCAAGGAUUAUGAGGAUUUUGCUGCUUUUACUCUCAGAAAACAUCAACCGCAAUCGAUCUGCUCUCUCUUUUUCAUCUGUCUCAUUUAACGCCCAGCCUAACGACUUUACCAGCUCACUUUGAACCUUUAUUAUAUCUGGAUCCUGAGACACAGUGACUAUCCCAACUUCAUCGAAAAUCUUUUGUUGCCGAAGUUGAUUGCCCACAAAAUUUGCCAAGGUCGUCUUCCCUACACCACCGAGACCGUGCAAUCCCACCAUCUUUGUGCUCUCUUUUUUCAGUGCUUCAGUGAUUUGAAUGCAAGCCAAAUCUGUAGCCUUGAAAGGAGAAAAAGAUCUCGGUAUAGGCAAUUCUUUGUCUGAUGGUAGAGGUUUAGGACGGGCAACUGUGCUGAAUUUGCUGCGGUCUUGUAGCAGAUCGGACAACUUGCUAGUCUUCUUUGAUGCUUUUGUACCCAGCCAGUAUCGGCAACCCCAAUUAGGACACCAUCCAUUAAGACAACUCUUCUUUUCAUCUAUCUUUGCUUUUAAAUUUCGAACGUCGGCCAUUUCUUUAUCUACAUCCUCAAGCCAUGUCUCGACAUCUUUCUCGACUACUAUAGCACGGUGUAUUUGUCGUUCUUGUUCUACUCUUUCAUUGAUGCCAUCUUUUUCCUUCUUCAAAUUGGUUUCUUUAACCUUAAGUUCUUUAUCUAUGCUGUUGAAACACAGCAGAUAACGAGCUUGGUUUAUGGUUGCAUCCACCAACAAUUCUCCAAGCCUUGAUGCAACACCUGACAAAAGUUCCAUGCUAUUUAUCUGCAAUUAAUAAAGUUGAUCUCAGUAAGCUAUAAGCAAAACAAUGAGGCUUGAUCACAAGAUCGAACGAGAAAGUUUAAUUACCUUUUUCUAUUCUGUGAAUGCACGUUUAUUGACACUAGCUUUGACCAGUAAGAGCAAAAUGCAAACGCCGAGCUUUAAGUGGCCUUUAGCUGCAAAACAAAAGAGAGGAAAUAAGGUAAUUUAUUAUUAUUAUUAUUUUUAAGGACGGAUAAAGGUUAGCUAGCUUGCAGACAAAUUUACUAAAAUCAAGACAAACCUAAGAGUUUUCCUAAUUUGUUCAAACAUGGAAUAAGCGUUUCACAACAGUAUAUCCAUAAAGGCCCCAGCGAACGUAAUAUGUGCUGGACUAUAUUGAAAUUAGAUUAUUUUAGAAAAUUUUAAAUAAAAAAUAUCAAACAACAAAGAAAUCUAAUAGAAUCUGGAUAAACAGCAUGGGAGAAUAUGGUAAAAUUGAUAAACUUGGUUCAAAAAUUACAAUUCUUUUUGAGAUUUGAACCAACGAUUUUGACUAAGGUCUCCUAAGCCACAAAGCAUAACUCUUACUACUAAAUUACGCGCAUUUUGUUACAUUUAAAUGUGGUCAUAUUCUUUUUAUUAUCUUUUUUUAGAAGGGACUCAUGGUAUACUUAAAAGAAAUAAUAAUGAUUUAGAUAGGGCUGAAGCCCACUCAUGAAAAAAUUCAAAGGUUUUCAAGAUAAUUACCGAUUUUUUUCCACCCAAUAUUCUAAUAGAAUGGUGCCAGAAUUCUCAAAUAAUAUCUUAAUAUUAUUUAACUGGUUGGCACCCACCUAUUGGAUGAUUAAUUUAAUAAUUUGUUACAUUAUUUAAUACUCCAUCUCACUAUCUAGUGAUGUAAAUGGUGGAGAAGGAUCGUCUCCUAGACUUUUUUCUCUCACUAAUCUCUUAGUGAAAUAAGUGGCCGAAAUUGAAUUUUAAUUUUUGAUAUUGACAAUUAAAUUGGCUUGUUUCACAUUAUUAACAAUUAAGCCAAUUUUUUUUUUCUCCUUUUUUCAAUUAGAUUUGGAAGGCUAUAAGAGAGUAGGAGAGAAAAAACACUAGAAGGAGAUCUUAAUCCAUAAAUAGUACCUUAUUUGGGAUGGUAAAGAUUGAGAUAAAUUUCCUCUUAGUCUCUAAAAUUUUGGCCUAUGCGCAGCCAUAAUUUUAGUAUUUUUAAAAAGAAUGGGAUUAUUUACAUUCUAAAAUCUAUUUUGAAUACUCUUUUACUCAACACACUCAUUCAAUAAAUAAAUUUUAAAAAAUAAUUUUUACUUUACACACUAUUUCGAGAGUCAAAACUAUCCUUCAUUAGGACCAUUUCAUUAACUAAUUAUUUUCUAUUGACACCCAUAAAAUAUUCAUCAUUCUUGAACCAUGUGGCGUUAAUUAAUGAUUCCGAAGCAUUAUCAAGAUUCAAGAUUUAUGUUGAAAUUCUUUCAUCUGACAUUUGAACCCAGCCACUAGCUAUAUACAUAUAUACUUUCAAAUGCAGCUCCGGGAAUAUUUUGUGACUGAUUUUAUAAAGUGUUUUAGUUACAUUAAUGCAGUGAAACAAUAAAGAGUACGUGGCUUGCUGAUUUCCAAAUCAAGUUGGGGGAAAAAACAGAGCAUUUUUCUUUUAUAAUGGAUUAGAUUAGACGAUGAAGGAAAAAUUAUUAGCGAUUAUUAGUACUUUUGUGUGUGUUAAGAGUAAUAAUAUUAUUUUAAAUUAUAUUAAUGCCUUUGGUACUGAAUUCAAUUAGGGUUAUUUUAGUAAUAUAAAUUUUCAUUAAAAUUAAAGUGUCCAAAUUAUAAUUUAGAUUUUUCAAAUGUAAAAUAAUAUUUAUUUAUUUGAUAUAAAUUAAAAUUCAAACAAAUGUAUCAUGCAACAAAUGAAAAGUAAAGAAUAUUAAUUAGGUUUUAAUAGAAACAAAUAUAAAUAGAUGUUUUGAGUAGUUAAUUUUUGUUAUUUUAUGCUAUUGGUAGUUUGUGGAUUAAAUAAUUUGUAUAAGGAUAAAUGGGGGUUUGUAUAAUUUAUACGAAGAUAAUCUCCAAAAUAAGCUUAUAUGUCGAAUUUAAAAGUGUUAUAUAAGUAGUAAUCGUAUAUGCAUCAAAAUUUUUAAUAAAAUUUAUUUAGAAAUUGGCCAAUUGAGUUUUAUGAAGAAAAUAGACGGGCAAGUAAUUUGUAGGUUGUGGUACUUCUCCAUACUUCAAAUCACUUUUAUCUAAUCAAUUGAUAAAUAUUUUUGGGCUCCAACAAAAUGAAAAGAAAAAGUUAAAAAUAAUUCUGAAAUUAAAAACGUUAGGUACUGCCUAUAAGCUAUACAAUUUUACCUUUCCUUCUAUCACAAUUAGUAUUAGAAAUAAAAAUAGUUUCGAAAUAAAUGUAAUUAGGAGGUAAUAUUAUCUCAACAAUACCUUAUAGGGAAAAAAACAUCUAUAUCCUAAAGUUUGGAGAAAUGGUCGUAAAGACCCCAGGUUUUCAGAAAGGGAUAUCAAGACCCUUUUUUGACCGUAAUACCCUUUAAAUCUAGUAAUUAAAAAAUUGACUUUAAGAUUUUUUAAUUGACAAAUUUAAUAUAAAUAAUAUAAUCUAUCUAGUAGAUUAAUAAUAUUAACAAUAAAAAUAAUAUUAAAAUUUAAAUUCUUAUAUUUAUUCUAAUAAUAUUUUUUUAUUUAUUAUAAAGAUUUUAAAUAAAUCCUUGGGUUAAAUAGGUUUUCCAGUUAACAAAAUAUACCCCUAUUAAAAAUAUUGAAAUUACUUUCUACAUAAUAUUUAAAAUAAUUACAAUUUAUUUAUUUUAAUAUUAUGUUUCUAUUUAUUAUUAAAAAUUACUUUAUUAGAGCAAAUUUUUAUUAAUUAAAGCUUUAAAAUUAAUUUUCUAAUUACUAAAUUAAAAGGGUAUUAUGGUCAAAAUGGGUCUUUCAUUUUUGAAAACUUAGGGUUUUUGCGACCAUCUCCCCAAACUUUGGAGUAUAGGUGUCCUUUUCCCGACUUCAUAUAAAGAUAUUCCAGAAGGUCUUAUAAUAACUUAUGUUAUAUGAAUUUAAUUAAAAUAUCAUUAAUACUUAAAUAAUAAUAAUUAUAGAAGACAUUGUAAUAAAUUAUUUGAUAUAUAUUAUUAAUGAUACUAUAUAUAUGUGUAUAUAACUACAUGAUGGCUUGGAUAUAUAUUGUUUAGUGGUAAUAAAUUUUUUUAAAAAAAUUUAAACUAAUGAUUUCAUGCGAUUCAAUGUUGGAUGAUUUAAAAUCAUAAAAUAUUGUUUUGACUUUCAAUAUCAACCGUUAGACUGUGAGAAAUUAAUUGCUCAAUAUUUUGUGUUAAAAUUUUAAAUUAAAAUAUCCCAAACCAUUUGUUUUACUUAAAAUACAAAAAAUAUAUAAAGAAAUUUUCUCAUUAAUUUUCAUAUUUUUAUUAGAGGUAAUAUUUUAUGUAUCGUCACCAUUAAUUGCCGUCAUUAAAGUAGUGACUCUUACUAAUAUAAAAUUUUAUAAUUAGUUAAUUGCAAUCAAAUGAUAUCAAUAAAAUAAUAUUUCAUGAUUCAUAAAUUAAAUCUAAUUAAGAAUAUAUGUUAGUUUUAACUUUUAUGAAAUCAACUAAGUGAUAUUACAAAAUAAAAUGAAAAUAAACUAGUGAAAUGAUGUGCUCAUAAUUUAUCUAUUAUUUUAAUGCUUCCAUAACUUAAUUUUAUGUUAAAUUAUAUUUUAUUAUAUUAAUUUUUAUCUUAAUUUUUAUAUUUUGUCAUUGUAGGAAUAAUGGGAAUAUUCAUGAGAAAAGAAGCUUAAAGAGGAAACAAAUUAGAGUAUAAUGAAAAUAAUGUGGAAGCAAAAGGGAAAGAAAUAAAAAGCCAAAUCAAGGCUGAUUGAAUUUAAUCAUCAUGCAUGCAACACGUGGGGGGAGCAUUAAAGAAUUAAUUUGCAAAUUGGCCAAUUAAACUUUACAAGUCACGUGGAUGGGCUUAAAAGGUGGCUAGAAUUGUUUUGUUUUAAAAAUCCCUUUCAUUUAAGGAUUCGUGGGCUGGAUUUGCAAUCCUUUUCCUUUAAGGAUUUGGAAGAAACCACAACAUUAUAAAAGAGAAGAAAGGCAGCCGCACAAGAGGGAUGGAAGCCAAGAGAAAAGAAAUAAUUGAGCAGCAACCGGAAGUCUUGAACGAAAACCGAAGAGCAGCAGCAAUAAUUUAGAGCAGAAGGAAGACACGUUAAUUCUUGAGUUUUUCUCUCUCUCUUCUCUAUUAUCUUGCUUGAAUGUUUCCAAUUAAAUUAAUGAAUUCUCUUUAUAUUCCCAUGAACUAAUUUAUUUACUAGGGCUACGAUGUAGCCUAAUUAUGAAGAUUUAAUUCCAUAAAUCUAUGUUAUUUUUUAAUUAAUUAUUCCAUGAUUGAGUGUUCAUUAUUGUGCUUAAUGCUUUUAAAUAUCUGGCCAAUAUUUGAAUGAUUCGAGGAUACAUAAUGAGACCGAGAUGAGAUUUAUGUAUUUUUGCUCUGUGUAAUGGAUGCCAUGAAUUGAACGAAAGACAUAGAUGUGCCAACGUGAUUCAUGCAGUUUUAUCUAAGAAUUUCCAUAGAACUUAAUGAAUCUUUGCAUAUUUAAAUUCACAUAGAGAUAUAGUGGGUUGAUAUGUGGAGAUAUUUUUGAUAUUACUCGAGAGAGGAUAUUGAAUAAAUUAGGGAAAUUCACUGUCAACAUGGGUAAUAAACUUUAAUAGCAUAGAUAGAGGAUUAAAUUGGAUUGGUUAUGGUGAAAUCGGAUGUCCUAGUGUUUUAAUCUCUUGGUGAUUUCUAUUACUGCCUGCGUCUUCAUUUAAUUUUUAAUUAUUUUAUUUUAUUUAACUUUAAUCUAAAUUCGCCUAAUCGAUUGUUCAAAUAAAGCAGGGUUAGAAUAAUUUCGGUAACUAAUAGGAUAUACAAUCUCUGUGGGACGAUACUCUACUCUUCAUUAUAUUACUUGUGCCGACUAGUACACUUGCUAAUUUACGCAACAAGUUUUUGAUAUAAAAUUUACACUUGCUAAAGUAGUGACUCUUACUGAUAUAAAAUUUUAUAAUUAGUUAAUUGCAAUCAAAUGAUAUCAAUAAAAUAAUAUUUCAUGAUUCAUAAAUUAAAUCUAAUUAAGAAUAUAUGUUAGUUUUAACUUUUAUGAAAUCAACUAAGUGAUAUUAGAAAAUAAAAUGAAAAUAAACUAGUGAAACUUAAAUUUUAUAAGGUUUGAAUAAUUUUCUACCACGUAAGAAUAUUAAUUGUGACAUAAACCAUAGUUUCAUGGUAUAUGUAUGCCAAAUGGGGUAACAAAUAAUAUAUACUUCAUGAUCAUGAUAGUAUAUAAAGUAGUGGAUAUUUUAAUAAAUAACAUAAAAUUCUUUAAGACAUAGGUGGUCAAUUAUAUAUUUUUUAGGAUAUAGACAAUCUCAAUCAAGAGUUUAUUGAUGUGAAUAGAUGGCAUUCACUUAAAUGUAUAUACUUAAUUGUGUUGUUUAUUGGUAUUACAUGUAACAAAAUUUUAUAUUAAAUUUUGAAGUUUUAUACUGUUGUUUCUAUUGAAUUUAUAAAUACAAUAAAAUUAUGGCCAUCAACAAUCACAACCAACUGCCACCAACAAUUACAUUCUCAUAUCUGUUGACGACAAUUUUUUAUACUAUUGGAACUCCAAUCUUUGAUGCUACACAAUAGUUAAAGUACCGACAUCAAUAGAACUUCCGUUCAUUGUAGAUCUAUAGUCAAAGUUUCGAAUCUUAAAAAAUUGACAGCAGAUUUAUGUCAAAUGAAAGCUUGUUACCAGUGAUUCUUAUACAAUUAUGUUGUUAUAGUAAUAAAGAUUCUAAUGGUACUAAAAUGCACUCCAUUAGACAUAAAGAUCCGACGACUAGUGGCGACAAUAACUAUCAUUAGUGACUUGGAGGUAAUUGCCGUUAAUAAAUUAUUUUUAACUUAAUAAUUAAUACAAACAAAUAAAAAAGUAAUUUAAGGAAAAUUAAUGUAAUAAAUAAUUGAAUUAAAAAAAUUAAAACCUAAAUUCUCGACCAUUUAUCCGUAUCUUUGGAAUCCAACGUUCAAAAUUGGAAUAAAACAUAGUAUAGCCAUUGGAAGUAAAACAAACAUUAAAGAGACUAGGAAAAAAUAUCUCAUACCUUCUAUAAUGAUACAUCCUCAAUCACUGCAGAAAGCUCCAAUUAAAAAGUCGCACAAGUUCGGAGAAAAUUACCAACUGUACCUAACAACACAAAUAAACAUCAAAUCAAAGCAACAUAGGAUCCAGCUAAUUAACAUCAUAAGUAAGUCCUUGUUCUCAGUCAAAUCUUUCGUUCUUAGGAAAAAAAAAAAAAUUGAAAGAAUAACGGUAACUGGAAAGUUUGACGACAUAAAGAUCUAGCUAAAUUUUAAGAAGCAAAAGUAAAUAAUGAAAGCUCAAUAAAAGAUCAUCAGCAUUAACAUACCGAAAUGAGAGCAGCUCACAGAACUGGUAAUUUCCAAGAACAGGAAAAAUAAGUGAGCUGAUAUUGAGGACAACUAAAGUAGUCAUGGAGUAAUUUGCUAUUGAGGACACCUAAAAUAAGAAAAUUAAUUAACAUUGCUCUAUACACCAUUUCAAUAAUUUGACUAUUAAAAAAAAAAUCUAUCUAGAUCACGAUUUCUCAAAAUGAUACUUUUUCUAAUUAAAUAAAUCAAAAUGCUUGCUUCUUUCUUUUUCAGAAAAGAAAAAGUGGCAAUGGCAUCAAUUUUUUUGCUAGAUUAUUAUCACCAAAAGCACAAGCAAGGAAUAAGAAUACUCUCUGAAACCAACCAUGUAAAGAGUAGAAGUAAGUGGUCAAUUGUAAAUUAGUCUUUCUUUUUUCUUUGUUAUUUUUUUCAUUUUUUGAAUGUGAACUAAAUAAAUUUAAGGGUGAAGCUAUUACACCUUGAAAACUAUAACUGAACACCCAUUUUUUUAAUUAAAUUUUUAUUACUAAAAUAACCAUGGAGUAAUUUGCUACUAAGGAAAACUAGAAUAAUAAAAUGAAUAAUGAUUGCUCUAUACACCCUUUUCUAAGUCUAUCUUCUUCUUAAUUUCAUAAUUUGGCUGUCAAAAAGUAAUCUAUCUAGAUCACGAUUUCUCAAAUGAUGCUUUUUCUAUCUAAAUAAAUGAAAAUGCUUGUUUCUUUCUUUCUCGAAAAGAAAAAGUGGCAAUGGCAUCAAUUUUUGCUUGCAAGCACAGCGAGGAAUCAGUAUACUCUCGGAAACUAACCAUAUUAAGAGUAGAAAUAUUUAUUUGGUUAUCACGAAGUAAGUUAGAAAUCAAUUAUAAAUGGUCUUUUUUUAUUUUUUAAUGUGAACUAUAUAAAUUUAAGGUGAGGUUAUUUACACUUUGAAAAACAUUCUGAAAACCAUUAUUUCAUUAAAUUUUUUAUUAUUAAAGGUCCGUUUGGGGCAGCUACGUUGAAGCAGCGCAGCUGCCCCAAACGCUCUCUAAAAUAGCCAUGGAGUAAUUUCUUACUGAGGAAAACUAGAAUAAUAAAAUCAAUUAUCAUUCUUCCAUGAACCCGUUUCUAGAUGUAUCUUCUUCUUGAUUUGGUAACUUGGCUGUCAAAAAGAAAUCUAUCUAGAUCACGAUUCCUCAAAAUGAUGCUUUUUCGGAUGAAAUAAAUGAAAUUGAACCUACAAUCUGUCACAAACACGUUAUAAUGAGCCUAAUGAAAAGCAGUAUGAGAAAUUUUGCUUCCAUGUUGUUUCUUCCAUAUGUAAAGGUAGUAAAAAGAAAUUUAAGUCCUAGAAACAAAUGGAUGAAGAAUUAUCAAUAAUUAAAAUUAAAAAAAGAAACAGAGUUAUAAAAGAAUCACAGUUCCACCAAAAAUUAAGAGUUAUUUUAUUUGGUGGUUUCCUAUCCCGAAAGCAUUACUUGUAAAUAUGUGCUAACAAGUAAUAAUUAAGAAAGUUAAGGCCAAUCAUUUAGAAGGGAGAAAAAUGGAAACAUCCGGAAUAUUGUUAUGUGUUUUCAGUGCGUAUCUACCAAUCAAUAAUGAAAAAUUAAAUACGCAUGUGACGAAAAUUUAAUAAAGAGAACUGGAGGUGACAAAAUUUUUAUUAUUCUAUCUUUCUCUCCUCUGAAACUUCCUUAAUUUGGUUGGGAAGUGCUUUGUCUUAGGCAGUGGAUCUGUUAUAAAUACCCUAUGCUAAAGUUAAUAUUUUGAUUGAAGAAAAAAAUAGAGGAGAAAAAUUUUAUUAAAGUAUAACAUAAUUUGAUAAAUUUAGAAUUGAGGAGAGAAAAUGAGUCUAAAUUCGAAAAUUUUGGCACUAUUUACAUAUAAUUAUUUGGGCAAAAAUUCAUUUCUCUGCUUUCAUAUGAUUUGGUCUUUCAUUGUUACGGUGCCAAUUUUUUAUUUAAAGAUGUAAGAUAGUGGUACUAUAGCUUAGAUUUUCCGUAAAUACUACAUGGUAAGUACAAAAUAAAAUACUAGUUUAAAAUAUAAAAAUGAAAAACUAUUUUUAUAACCAAUAUUCAAUUAAAUACACUUGAAACUCUAUUUUUUCUUAAUAAAAAAAUUCUAAUUUAUUUUCUCAAUUUAUCUAAACAACUUUACCUAAUCAAGCUAAAUCUACAUAUUACCCUAAACCUUAAUUCAUAAACACCCAAUCAAUCCAAUUGUUAAAUCCGAUUUCAUAAUUAAAAAAGCUAAAUUCUAUUUUAUUAUUUAUGGUGCAAAGUAAAAAAUGCCCUUGAAGUUAAGGGUAAAAUUGAUAUUUUAUUUAAAUUUUGUUAAUAUUCUAAUAAUGUUAAUGUCUUAGUGGUUAAUAAAAUCACAAAGUCAAACUUUUGUAGUAUUUUUUAUAAUAAGUUAAAGAUAUAUGUUUGAUAAUUUUCCUACGUCUUUUUACGUUAAAUUGAGUCUCAAGAGAAAAAUGAUUAAUUUGCUACAAUUCUGUCAGUUUUCUGAUGGAAGAUAAUGAUACAAUGAAUAAAUAAUACAAAUUAUUAAAUUAAUGUUGAUGAAUGAUACAACUUGAAAAUAUUGUAGUAUUCUUAAUAGUAGAGAAAUGUAAAGGUGGAUGGUUGAUAAUUUAAUGAAGUAACUACAGAAUUUUCCUUUCAAAUAUUUUUUUAAAAUAUAUAAUGAGUAAAAAUCAUUUUACAGAAUGAUCAUACGCAUUUUGUAUCACAAACGAAAACAUGAACCAACUAUGUAUAGAGUCAAUUAACUAAAGUUCUCAAGAGUUGACCUGUGCUCCUGAAUUCUUGGAAUCAUAUAUCUCCUUCUGAAUUUCCACGAAGCCUGGGACAAUUAUUAACAUAUACAAACUUGGCAGAUGGAAAUGGGAUCUGAUAACCCGUAGGCCAAAAGUUGGUGAGGUUUGGUAAAUCUGACAGUAUCAACUCCCCAAGUUCAUUCAUAACAAUUUCAUUGUACUCCGUGACGUCUGCUCCAUCUUUAUGCCAGAAUACUUCUUCUAAUUCAUCAUUACCUAUUAUCCAUAUGUACUUCAGUUUUUGAAGACUUGGAGCUACGCUGAUAUGAAAUAGAUGCUUUAGUUUGGGGCAAUAACCGACAGAGAUCCUUUUGAGUUUUGGGAAACAUACAGGUUGGAGAUGAUCCUCAUCCUCAUCCUCAUCAAUGAUUUGCUCUAAUUCGAAGCAAUUCCAAACAUAUAACGCCUCCAAUUGUAACAGAUUUCGAGCAAAUGUUGAUGAGAAGAGACGUCUCAGCAUAGUGCACCCGUCCACUGUUAAAUAGGUAAGACUUUGCAGGCCAAAAUUAUGCGUGGGACCUACGUGAUAUAAUACUUGCAGUUCUCGAAGGCUUUCCAACUGCACCUCCUUCAAACAUGGGAAUAGUUUGUUUUCUUGUCCCUCAGCGAUAAUAGCUUCCAAUUGAAAUACCACAUGUACUCCCAGUCGUCUAAUACCCAAUUCUUCCAAAUUUUUUAAGCCGUGCUUCAACAGUGCUGGAAUCGUGUCACUCAAAUGGGAACAAUUGUCCACAUAUAGAAUUUUUAAGUUCUGAGACAAAUAAAUAAAUAACUUGAUGCAAUUAAAAUUUAUUAGCAGCUAGGAUUAUCACAUGAUAAGUGAUGAACACCGCAAAAAACAAAAACAGAAAACAAAAUCCAUACAAAAAUAUCAUAAUACAUAUGUAAACUAAUAAAAUAAUUAAAAACUAAUGGAUUUAAAUAAAAAAUGAAAUUAGGUAAAAGAGAUCAUGUGAAUUGAUAUAAACGUGACAUUAGAUUGUUUUAGAAAAAUUAUUAUUCUAUUAAUUUAUAUGGCUUGAUCAACUAUUUAAUUGAAUUUGAAUAAUAUUAUAUACACUUCAGAAGUAUUUGCAUCAAUUCUUUCUAAACCAAAAUGAGAUGUGAUUUUCAUUUGAAGAAUGAUUUUAGGUCUUAUAAUAAAGAAAUUUCUCCAAAAUAUCUGAGCAUUAUUAUUAUCACCACCACAUCCACCACCAUCAUCAUCUCCAUAGGAUCAAAAGUUUAAUGGCUGAUCAUAAAAUUUAUUGCUAAACUAUCAUUUUGAGUAAAAUUGAAUGAAAAGAAAAAACAUGAACCCAAACAAACAUACCUCUUUGAGAUACUGCAAAUUGGCUUCAAGUUCAUUACUGUUGAUGGUCAAGUUGGGACAGUUAUGAAGGUCUAAAUUUUCCAAUGCUGUCCAAAUUGAACAAUAAUUCUCUGAACAGAACUUGGUGAGUUCUGGGAGAUCUUUAAGUUUUAAUUUUCUCAACAAAGGGAGGGCGAGCAUCGUAUUUCCAUCUCCGACACUUAUUCCCCCUUCAUUGUGAUCAAACUUUGCUUCGACAAUAUAUUCCAGUCUCUCGCAAUAAGUCACAAUGAGACUUUUAAGCUGCUCCAAACUUCUAGCUUGUGACAACGUGAAGAUGUAUGUCAACUUGUUGCACAUAUGCACAUUCAAUUCUGUAAGAGUUUGGAGACUGAUCGCAUGUUGGGCGGGCGCCUUCCAUAUCCACUUCAGUUCUGGUAAUUGCAACAUAAAUAACUCUGCUAAUCUUGCGAGACUCUUCCCAUGCGGCGACUUAGAGGCAUCCAUUAUGCAUUCUAAAUCUUUGCAAUCGCGGACAUCAAGACAAGUCAACUCAUUUAAGCCCCUUUCAUCUAUGCUUGGCACAAUAUUGUAACAACCUAUAAUCCCACUCAAAUAAAGAAUUUCCAGUUCUUGAUACAAUGCCGAAAAAAUAACGAGCGAGGUCGCUUCAGGAGGGUAAUUAUUAAUUAUUAAGCUCUUUCUCUGACUAACAUAUUUCAUUUUAUCAACAACUCCUUCAACUUUAUAGAUGAUGUACCUUUGCAAUUUCGGGAAUGUAAAGUCUUUUGGAAGACAUACAACAGAUCCGUCGGCUUGGGAGUUCAACUCAGCAAGCCUAGCAUUACUUUCUUCUGAACUCAUCCCUUCAACCUCCCAAUUUUUUAUCCAACCAUAAAAUUCUUCCAAUUGAGGAAAUUUUUUUAUCGUAAUGGGAGAAACAGAACCGGUAUCAAUAAAUAGAAGUUUCAAUCUACGAAGUUCAUCCGACAAUUCUUCAGGAAUUUCAAUGGGAGAAUCCUCGGGAUAAAGAAGUUCAAGUCUCUUCAACUUUCCAAGAAAAGAUGCGUCACUCACAUCACAUCCAAUCAGCUGCAGAACUCGGAGGCUGCUGGCGAGGAAUCGAAGCGAUUUUAGUGAAAGGACUCCAUCUUUUAUAGUAACAACUUUCAAUGCUGGCAUCCCUUCAAAAAAAUGUUCUGGAACUUGAAAUUUGUAGUCACAUAGAGUAUUGUCCAAUCGCAAAAUAUGAAGGUUAGGGCAUACCAAACCACUAGGAAGCUCUUCUUCUUUAUUUCCCAUUACAAAGAUUCCUCUGUAUUGUUCCAGGCCUUCUUCCAUUGCCCAUUCUGCCAAUCCAAUGCCAACUUUACCAAAAAAUUUCUUCUCCACUAGUACUUCUGACCCUAUCCAUAUGGCUACAUCACGAACUAUGUCAUGCAUUUUCACAGAUCUGUCACUACCAGUGUCUAACAGCAGUGAAGCAGCUUUGAGUCCUUCAAUUGUUCCACGCAGUAGGCUUCUGGCGUGCUCUAUUGAUUCAGCUUGAUACCAGGUCAACCCCACUACAUAUCGAACCAAAACCUCCAAAUUAAUCUCAUAAUCUUCUGGAAACAGUGAACACAACAAGAAGCAUAACUUGGAAUUGUCAUCAUUCAAAUUGUCGUAACUAAAUUUGAGACAACCGUAAACGUCUAGGUUCUCCUCAUCAAUACCUUCUAUUGCAUAGAGUUUUGCAGCCUUUAGGUUAUGUAGAGCCAGGUUCCAUUCAUUAAAUCUUUUUCCUCUUAGUGCACUUCCAACAGCUUCAAUAGCUAAAGGCAGCCCCUUACAUUCUCCAGCAACUUCUUUGGAAACAUCAUUCAACGUGGAGUCAUUUACAUCAAUGCCGGCAUUUUGUCGCAGUAAAGCCAAUCCUUCUUCUGGCGUUAGUGUACUAAGUGGAAUCUGUGUGUCACAACCCAAAGAAUCAAAAACUGACUUUUUGCGAGUGGUUAGAAGGAUUUUGCAACAAUUAUCUCUACCACCGACGGGAAUACCUAAUUUUUUCUCCGAGUCGAGUUGUUUCCAAAUAUCAUCAAGGAUUACGAGGAUUUUGCUGCUUUUACUCUCAGAAAACAUCAAGCGCAAUCGGUCUGCUCUCUCUUUUUCAUCUUUCUCAUUUAGUGCCCAGCCUAACGACUUUGCCAGCUCACCUUGAACCUUUAUUAUAUCUGGAUCCUGAGACACAGUGGCUAUCCCCACCUUAUCGAAAAUCUUUUGUUGCCGAAGUUGAUUGCCCACAGAUUUUGCCAAGGUCGUCUUUCCUACACCGCCGAGACCAUGCAAUCCCACCAUCUUUGUGCUGUCUUUUUUCAGUGCUUCAGUGAUCUGAUUACAAGCCGAUUCUGUAGUCUCGAAAGAAGAAAAAAAUCUUGGAAUAGGCAUUUCUGUGUCUGAUGGUAGAGGUUUAGGAAGGGCAACUGUGCUGAAUUUGCCGCGGUCUUGUAGAUCGGACGACUUGAGAGUCUCCUUUGAUGCUUUUCUACCCAUCCAAUAUCGGAAACCCCAAUUAGGACACCAUCCAUUAAAACAACUCUUCUUUUCAUCUAUCUCUGCUUUCAAAUUUCGGACAUCGGCCAUUUCUUCGACUACAUCCGCCAGCCACUUCUCUACAUCUUUCUCAACUACUACAGCGCAAUGUUUUUGUCGUUCUUCUUCUACUUUUUUGUUGAUGCCAUCUUGUGCCUCCUUCAAAUUAGUUUCUUUAUCCUCAAGUUCUUUAACAAUGCUGUUGAAACAGAACAGAUAGCGAGCUUGUUUUACGGUAGCAUCCACCAAUAAUUCUACAAGCUUUGAUCCAAUACCUGAUAAAAUUUCCAUGCUAUUUAUCUGCAAUUGACAAAGUUGAUCUCAGUACACUAUAAGCAAAACAACAAGGCUUGAUCACAAGAUCGAACGAUAAUGUUUAAUUACUUUUUUAUUGAAUGUUUAAUUACUUUCUUUUAUUCUAUGAAUGCACGUUUAUUAACGCCAGCUUUGAUCAAUAAGAGCAAAAUGCAAACGCCAGGCUUCAAGUAGCCUUUAGCUGCAAACAAAAGAGAAGAAAUAAGGCAAACGUGAUAGAUGGUGGAUUAUAUUGAAAUUAGAUUACUUUAGAAAUUUUUAAAUAAAAAUAUCAAACAACAAAUUUAAUAAUAGAAUCUAGAUAAAUCGAAGAGUUUGUUAUGCAUUGCGAGUGAAGACAGGCAGUUACAUGGGGGAAUCUUGUAAGAGUGAUGAAAAUUAAAAAGCCAUCCAUAAUUGAAGUUAAAAAGAGUAUUAGAGAUUAGAGGGGUUCAACAUCUUAUGCAAGCUCACUCAUGAUAAAAUUUGAAGAUAAUUAUCCCAUUUUUACUUCAAUCAAUAUUCUAAUACAAUAAUUCCAUAAAUCUCAAAUAGUAUCUUAAGAUUUUUUUUUUUCCUCAAAAUUACCAUUAAAAGUAAAACAAACAUGAAGCUAAGAGCCUAUGAAACAAUAAUAUCUCAUACCUUCUUUCUCAUAGAUCCUCAAUUACCCCUGAAAGCUCCGGUUAGAGAGUCGCACAAGCUCGGAGAAAAUUAAAAGCUGCAUCCAGCAAUAUAAAUAAACAUCAGAUCAAAACAACAAAGCAUAUAUCUAGCUAACUAAACAUCAUCUAUAACUCCUCGUUCUCAGUCAAAUCUUUCAUUCUUAGGAGAUAAAAAAAAGAUUGAAAUAAUAACUGUAACUGAUAUAGGAAGCAAAAGUAACAUACCAAAACGAGAGCGGCUAGCUCACAGAUCUGGUGACUUCCAAGAGCAUGAAAAAUGAUUGAGGUUUAAUAGCAAGUUCACAGAUGACAGAUGUGGUGACUUCAAGAGCAUGAAAAAUGAUAAAACUUUGGUAGAAAGGUCUGAGCCGUGUUUCACAAGUUGCUAUUGACUUCGUGGCUUCGCUUUUAUUUAUUAUUAUUAUUAUUUUUUUAAAUUCUAUAUCAGUGAGAAUUGAAAUGUGGAAAGUGAAAUGAUACACAUGCCUUAUCAUCUAUCAUGAGGGGUGAUUUGGUAAAACCGAUUUAAAAUAAAAAAAAGUUUAAAAAGAUGCUUUGUGUCUGACUGCUUGUAUUUGGGGUAUUUUUCGGGUUGUUGAGAGUGAGUUUAAUUAAAUAUAAGAUUUUCAUUUUUCUUAUUCUAUUUUUCUCUUUAGAAUGAAUUUAAAUCUCAUUCUUAUUAAAUCCAUUUUUUUAAAUGAAAGUAGAUUUCUCUCCACACAUUUGAGAUAUAUUUUAAAAUUAAUGUUCAGUAUAUCUCUAAAUUAUAUUAUAAAUAUUUUUAUUUAAAAUCUCAACAGAUUUCAUAACGUACAAAGAGAAAUACAUAUAUAUGUUGUAAUGUUUUAAUGAUGGAUCUCCAAAGUUAUCAAGUUAAAAAAUAAAUUAAAAAAUAAAAAAUACACACUUCAACUUAUUAUAUGAUAAAAUAUAAUAAAUUAAAGUGAGUAUUAUAUUUAUUUUUUAUUUUAUCUCUUAACUUAAUAACCUAAAAUAUAUUUAUUUAAUAAUGAUUAUAUAUAUAUCUAUAUAAUUUUUUUAAAAAAUAAACAAUUUAAGUGAAGCAAAGGACAUUUUAGAGGCAUUGCGAGACUACCAAUUUACCAUUUUGGGUUGCAAUAAAGUGAAAACUGUAGACUACCAAUCUACCAUUUUAUUGAAUCGGGUCCCGCUGACUUGGAGCUUAUGUAAAGUUACAUUCAUAACAAAUUGAUACUUGUCUUUAUUAUAAAUUAUUCUUUUAUUCAAAUAUACGUUCAUUUCUUCAAUCAAGUCCUCAUAUUUGUUCAAUUUAUGAUAAGAUCCUUGUAUGGGAGCAUAUCUGCAAAUGUAAUAAUUAUUCUUCUAUUUCAGAUAGUUUUUGUGAAAAAAUACUUUUAUCAAUUAUUUAUGUUUACUAAUUCUUAUGUCUUUUUUUAUUACUUUCCAUAGCUCUAUACAAAUGUUUGCUAUAGAAUUUGUGUUAUUUCGCUAUAAUAUAAUUUAUAUUGUAAACCUCUGUUCAUCUGUAAAUAAAAUGACAAUUUUUUUGUUUACUCCUAAAAAAUAUGAAAAUAUUAAUUUACUCUCAUAUUUAUUUAGAAGACAAUGGCAAAUAAGGUCGCAUUGAUAAUUUUUUUUAUUUACUUAUUAAUUAAUUAGAGUAAAUUAAUAUUUUCAUAAUGAGAGAUACAUUGAAGAUUGUCAUUCUUAGUAGAGGGUAAAUUAAAGUUUAUCUAAUUAAUUUAAAAUAUCAUUAAAAUUUAACAUUCUAAUCUGGAUUAGAUUUCUGGGGGGGAGGGAGGGGAACGUCCUUAUUCGGAUUAGACUCAGCUGGAAGAGGCACAUCCUUAGCUGGAUCAAUUUGUUCAAGAUUGGAUGCAUCCAUCGGUUUCAAAUUUGUCUCUUGUAAGCAUCAUCGGAUUUCUUUACUAAAAUUUAGAUUAUCAAUCACAUCUAAAACUUAUUGAAUGAUACAUUUCAUUUCUAUAAAAUUGAGUUACUAUUACCACCUCACAUCUUAUAAAUUCUAGAAAAUAAUCAAGGCUUGACAUACUUUUAUUUAUGCAAAAGCAUAAGAAAAUAAUUCAAAGUACUAAUUAGUGCAGUAUUACUCAAAAUUCUAGAAUAGAUUUGCUAGUUCUCUUUAGCCAUAGAUUGGUCCAUGAUUGGCACCGCAAUAGCUCAGAAUCACCUCAACGAUUGUUCCACACAGCCCAACAUGACACACUGUAAACUAGUCUAACAUGAACUUUCUGAGUGGCUUUCUAACAAUAGUCUUAGAGAAAGUGUUUAGUAGUAUGAAGUCUUCUUUUUUUAACAUAAAUGUUGGCAUGAUAUUCUUAAUAUAUUUCUAAAAUCAAAAUAAGAUGCAUAGAGGACGAUGAUAAUUUUAUUUCAUAAUUGAAUUUUUUGCAAAGAAAGUUUGAACAUGAGAGUGAUGAGAGAUGAGAAUAUUGAUGAUGGUGUGUACUUUAGAUGUAAAAAUAGAUUGGAAAUAUAUAUAGACAUAUUAAAAGAAAAAAAUUUGGUCUAUUUCAUAAGAGAAACAAAAAAUUAUAAACGCGGGUGUUAAAAUAUAUUCAGAAUUUAUAAAUUUUUAUAAAUAUGAUAAUCAUUAGACCCUUAUAAAAGUAUAGCAAAAAGUUUAAAUUUUUUUAAUAAAUAUCGAAGAGAUGGACGAAGAAACCAUCCACCAGUUCAGAAUUAAUAAUCAAAGAUAUGAUGACUUGAUUGAAGAAAUGGUGAAAAAUAAAAGGACAGUAGGACACUGGGUUGGUUGGCAGGACCCUAAUAUUAAUGGUUAAAAAUAAAAGGACACUGGGUUGGUAUCAAUUUCUACCGUGUAGGUUCAUAGCCGGGGAAGUAAUUGGGCACAAAUAUCUCGGAUGAGAAAUAACCAUUUUAUCCCGCAACCAUAUGUUUAUGGCCUCUAAAAAUUUUCACCUCUUUCACUUCUGGAACCCGUGGUUUCUGGCACAUGCACAAUACUUGGUUGCUACUUAUAGAGCGUUUUUAGAAUUGCAAUAUAAUCUACAGCUGGUUGUUGACAUUACACUGCGGGUGUGUAAUUAUUACAUAUGCAGAUAUUCUCCCAUGCGAGGAUCUUAUCAUAAAUUUAAAGGAUACGAGGACUUGAUUGAAGAAAUGAACGAAUAUUUGAAUAAAAAAAAAUUUUAAAAUAAAGACAAGUAUUAAUUUACUAUGAAUGCAACUUACAUAAGUUAGCGGGACAAUAUUGAAUCACACGCAAAAAACAAUCUGUCUUCUUCUUGAUUUCGUAAUUUAGCUGUCAAAAUAUAAUCUAUAAAGAUUACGAUACCUCGAUUCAAAAAAUGAUGUAUCUGAUGAAAUAAAUGAAAAUUGAACGUACAAUCUACCACGAACACUAUUCAAUUAACCGUUUAUUUCCCCUUAAAUUUUUAAUUUCAAUGAAACAUAGAUCUAAUGGGAACUACAUAUAUAUAAAAAUACUAUAGAUUGAAGAAGUUGAAUUUUUCUUGUGUGUUAAGUAUUUUUAGUUAAUACAAAAGGAUUCUAGCAAGUUAAUACAAAAGUAUCAUAAAUUCAUAGUAGUACAAGAGAUUUUUUUUUUUCUUUGAUGUUAAGAGUUUUGGAGAUAAAAAAAAAUAUAUAUAGGUGAAAGAAGAAGAUGAGAGAAGAGAAAAUAUUAAGAAUAGUUUUGGAAUUUUGAUGCGUUUUAUAGAGUAAAAUCUAUAUUUUAUAGUAUAAAAUGAUAUACCCAAAAUUUAAUGAUAAAAUUUUAAGAAAAAAUUGCACUCGUCAAAAAAAAAAAAAGCUCAGCUUAGCCCAAAAUUUUUUUAUUAAUCAUCUAGUCACUAAUGUAAUCUCUUUUUUAUGAGAUUCUUGAGCAUUUUAAUUUAGUCCAUUGUUAGCUAUCCUAAUAGCUUUUAUGUGCAUCUAUUUUUAUUUGAAAUAUGUUUCAAGCUUGAAUAAAAUCUGCGGGACAACUGGUAAGUAAUAAAGCUCAUUAAUUUUUUAUUUUGAAAAUAAAGGGAAUCACUUACACUUAGCAUGAUAUUAUUUUUGAUAAGUCAUUUUUUUGGUAGAUUAUUUUUUCUGACACGCUCUUAGAUUUAGUGAAAAUAAAUUGUAUACUUUAAACGAAGAAAAGUAAAGAUCAACCAAAUAUUUUGUUCUUUCCGACAACUUUUGCGUUCUCAAGUGCGCCUGAUACCCUUUUUUUUUUAACAUGAGCCCACGUGCCAUUGUUUCCAUUUCAAGUUCAUAAUUUAACAGUAGAAAUGGGUUCCACAGAUACUUUAUUUUAUAAUUUUUUAAAAAAUUACCAAAAUAUAAUAAAUAAGGUAAUAAUAAUUAAUAAAAAAGUAGAUUUUAAGAUGGAAAAAUCUUUUUGUGUGCUUAAUAAAAAGAUGAUAAGAAUGGGAUGCUUUUAGUUAAUUGGUUUACAUUCUCAUGGUUAUUUAUACUGAAAAAUUACAUCAAAAUUUAAUUAAUAAAUCAGUGAACUGCAGACUUAUUAAAUUUAAGCUAUUUUAAUAAGUCAUAAAUAUACUAAGUUAAAAUAGUAGUAAACCCAUUGUUACACAAUACUCUCCAUUGAGUGUUCACCAUUUUAAGAUAAUCAUAAAAUGACACCGGAAGUGCUAUUAUAGCUGUCUCAUGGAAAGCCUUCACCAAUAAAAAGGAGGAUAGAGCACAUACAUCCAGUUUUUAUACCCUUUGAUGCUCAGUCGACACGUGCCAAUGCUAUAGACUAUCGGAUAAUCUACUAAGGUGACGCAUGCCAAUGCUAUAGACUAGCUUUUCAAAGGUUGAACUGGGAAUACUUUUAGUAAAAAGACCUGCAAAAUCAUAGUGUACCUAUUUGACAUCAACUUUUUUUAUCUGCUGGAGCUUAUGAUUAUAGAAGAUCUUCGGUAAGAUGUGUUUGAUAUUAGAAAAUCUCCUUUUAUAUAUCCUCUUCUAACUUGUGUAAUAGUAGUAAACCCCUGCCCCUCUUUAUUUCGUUUAGUAUUUUCUAAAUGGCCGAAGGAAAAUUGGUAAAAACUCAUUUAAAAAUUAAAAAAUCAAAGAAACUCAAGAAGAAGCUUUUGUAUCUGCCAUUUGUAUUUGGGGUAUUUUUUUGGUUGUUAAGUGAAUAAGCUUAAAUCUAAAACAUUUAUUUAUAUAUUUCUUGUUGGAAAGAAUUUAAAUUUUAUUCUUAUUAGACUUAUUCUCUCUAAACAAAGGUAGAUUUUUCUCUAUGUGUUUAACGUGUAUUUUAAAAUUAAUGUUCAACAUAUCUUUAGAUUCUAUUAUAAAUAUUCAUAUCUAAAAUCUCAACAGAUUUCAUAAUAUAUAAAUAUAUAUAAAGAGAGAGAAUAACGUUUAUAAUAAGAAAUUUAUUAAGUUAAAGAAUAAUUCAAAAGAUAAAAUAACACACUCUAAUAUAUUAUAUAAUAAAAUAUACUAUAUUAAAAUAUAUAUUUUGUUUACUUUUUUUAAUAUAUCUCUUAAUAACUUAAGAAAUCCUUUGUUUAACACACACUCUCUCUCUCUAUAUAUAUAUAUAGAGAGAGAGAAAUGUUCGCGGAAAACCUUUAAAACCACAUGAUUUUAAAUAUUUAAACUUUAAGAACCGAUGAACAAUUUUUGACAAAGACGUUGCGACCUAAGUAGGGAUAGCAACUAAAUUCGGAUCCAACUCCGCAUGUAAGGAUCCGAAAGAUCCAGAUCCAGAAAAUUUUUAUCUGAAUAUUAAAAAAUGUUGAUCCGAAUAUAGAAAUUUGGGAUCUGCACGGAUUGGGAUGGAAGUACAUUCGGAAAAUUGGAUAUCGAGAUCUGGAUAAAUUUUGUUUCAAAUUAAAAAUUAAAUUAAAAAUUAAAUGAAAAAUUAAAAAAGUAAAUUUUAUUUGUGGAUUUAUGAUGUUGUUGUAUAUUAUUCAUGUUGAAUUAUUAAUUGUUGGAUUAUGAUUGAAUUUUGUUUGAAAUUAUUGGGUAAAUUUUUUAAUUUUAUUUUAAAUUAAAAAUAUUUAUUAAAAUUAAAUAAAAAUAAAACAUUAAAUUUUAUUUGUAAAUUUAUGAGAUUAUUGUAUGUUAUUCAUUUUGAAUUAUGAUUAAAUUUUAUUUGAUAUUAUUAGGUAAAUUAUUAAACUUUCAAAUUAUAUAUUAAAUUAUUUAAUUUUAAUUUUUUGCGGAUCCGAAUAUCUAGAAUAUCUGUCCGCAUCCGGAUCUACAUAUUUUUUUAUGAAUCCAGAUAUAAGAAUAUGAAUGCGGAUCCAAAUUCGGAUUUUGCCAACCCUAGACCUAAAAUGUUGUGACUUGUCUGUUCUACUUCAAUAUUAAGCACAAAUUCUCUGUCAACAUGUCUGUUCUACUUCAAUAUUAAGCACAUUCAUAGCGGUAUCAAAAUGUUGUGACUUGUGACUACCCAAAAUCCCCAGAAAGAGUGAGAGAUUUCACUGAAGCUAAGUUGUGACUUGUGACUACCCAAAUGUUCUAUAACACGAUAUGAUUAUUCUAGUAACACAAAUCCAAUAGCAUGCAACAUAAUCUACUCUCUAACAUUGUGCAUUAGUAAAAUAAAACAGAGUAAAAAGAGAAACCAUGCCUGUGAAUCUCUUCUUUUCCCCCUGCCACCCCUUUUUUCGGUGAAGUCCAUCAAAUGAAAAUGCAGCAUGACCACGUUGGCCACUGCCACUGCCAUUGCUUCUUCAACUGUGCCUUUUGUUGCAUGAAAUAUUCAAUUGAAAGAUGGUUUAUAUAAUUCAAGAUUCCAAUAGACCUGAGCUGCAAAGGUUGCCUUCCACUAGCCUAUCAGAGAAUAUGCUUUCUAUUUUCCUAGUUUUUUAAUCAAAAUUUUGCAAGAUUUAUUUAUGGAAUACUUGAACAAAAUUUUAUGUAAGAUACCAUAAAGCCAAAUGCAAUCUUUUUAAUCCUCAGCAGCAACAUUUAAAGUAAAAAAAUGGAAGCCAUAUAAAUAUAACUAUGUUUGGUACAAGCAACAAUUAUUUCAAGCUUUCAGAAAUGCUAGCAAGAGAUUGUAAGAGAACUUUACCUAGUCACAGAAUAUGUCAAACAUACUACCACCAACUGUCUUCAGCACGAUUGUUAUGAAGUCGCUUUUGAAUCGGAAGAUUCCAGCUUCCACCAGGCACCAUUAUUUUCAUUCUUGAUACUAUCUGCAUCACUGGCAUUAGUUAUAUCAUCAACUUUUGCAUCCUCACUCUCAUCAUCCCAAUCAAGGCUUCUUCUCCAGCUCUGGAUUAUAAGUCCACUCCGACAUCUUCAAACAUCUCGGUCCUUCCAUUUGCCAACAACCGAUAUGGCUUCCUUCCUUGCCUUCCCCAUUAAUAUAUCACUCGAAGGAAAAAUAGCCCCCACAAAAAGGGUCUUCAGACACCGCAACUUUGCCUUCUGCAAAACCUCCACAAAAUCUGAAUUAUCCAACACAACAGCCAGACACUCAAUCCUUCUUUUGUCCAUCUUAUCCACCGUAUGAUUCCUCAACAAAAUAUCUACAGCUUGUGGCUUAUCUAACACUGUCUUGAUCCAAAACCCCGCUCUUUUCAACUCAUCUGCCAAACCAUAACCCACUUUUGGAGUCAAAAUUGUCCUUGCAGCCCUUUUAUAUUUUUCCAUCUCCAUCGAAUACUUGCCACUCAAAUGGAAUUACCAGACAGGAAUCCCAGUAACAAGUCCACUCAACUUCUUCUCAUCUGAUCCCUCUUUCACUCUGGCGGAAACAUUAAUAACCAUUCACCAGCCACAAAUUACCCAAGUAAGUACUCGUGUCGUCAACACUUACCCUUCACUUCAUCGACGCAAACAAGAAUUCAAAUUGCUUAUUAGCUAGUGCUCGAGCGAAAGCCAAAAUAAAUUAAAUAUGUGUGUGUGUGUGUGUUAAAAGAGAAACGGUAGCGAAGUUAUUAUACAAUCAAGCAAACAAAAAUAAAUUCUACCCUCAUGUGGGUGUUUCGCUCGCAAAAUCUGGACAAGAAAAAAUAAUAUUGAUACAAUCUCCAAAUAAAGAGCAUUCCUCUUGGUAAAAUAGACAAAUCCUAUAAAUUUUGAUUAAUGGUGCCAAAUGAAAGAGUUGUAAUUUCAUGUACAUUUUGUUAACAUGAAUAAGGGUACAAAAUAGAUAACAAAGUGACAAAAACAAGGCUAAUCACAAUGGAUGAUAAGGUUUAGAGUAAACAUAAAGUUAUAAUCUUGAACAUAAGUGGCGCUCAAAGCCAUGAAUUUGAUAUCAUCAACAAGGGGAGUUCAAACAACGGCAUGUAAGAAGCAACAACUGUUGAGAAAAAAAAAAUUCAUAGUAACACGAGAAUAAAUUGUAAAGAAAUCCCAGUUUGUAUAAAAGAAAGAAAACAAAAUUAAGGAAAACAUAAACACAACAAAAUUUGACUGAUUAUUAAAAAUGAGAAAUGAGUUAUAAUGAGAAUUUUGGCUUUGUGGUGAAAUAAAUUGGGAAGUAUCCAAAAUUCGCAUGUAAAUAAUAUAAAUGAUAAGAAGACGAAGGGAACAAAAUGAUAAUAAGCAAGCCAAAUAUUAAAAUGUAUUACACCUCCUAAAGUCAUGUUAAGAUAGUUAGUGAGCUGAUAAAGUUUGUUGCACGUUUGAGUUGGUUUUUUUUCUUUUUAAAAGAAAGUAACCAACCCUUUCAUUAAUCACAAGAACUUGAGUACAUCGUAUAAUUCAGUUAGAAUAUUUUCCAGCCACAUAAAGGGAGAGUUUUUCUCCAAAACUAUCUUAUUUAAGUAAUGGGCACAUGCAUUACAAUGUCUUAGAAUGUGAUUGACAACAACUUUUUGGAAGUUUUUCAUCUGGUUUUGGAUUGCCAGAAUUGUCCAAAAAAAUUUUGAUCUGUUGCCCUUGGUGUUGUUCACUAGCUGGACCACCUCUAAGCAAUCUGACUCAAUGAUCAAAGAGGUUACAUCCGCACUUCUUGCCAGCUGAAGGCCCCAAAGCACAGCCUCUACUUCAGCCAAGCUUACUGACCCCUUUAGGAGGUUCUGAUUAAUCCCAGCUGCAACUAUCUUACCAUUAGAGUCUCUAAUCACAGCUCACACUCCUUCACUCAGAUUCUUUGAAUUAAUAGCAGCAUCCACGUUAACUUUGAAAACAUUCUCAGGGAGGAGCCACUCCUGAUGCUUCUCUUUUCUGUGGAGAGAGAUAUGAGCUUGCUCGGGCUUCUUAACUCUCUGAAAUGCUAUCAACACAGAUUCCACUUUAGCAGCUGAGAUAAUAGGAUUAAUCUCCCUGCCAUCGAAAAUACAUUUGUUCCUAGCCUACCAAGCAGACCAACACAGAGCUACCAUUAAUUCCAAAUCUGUUUUCCUCAGCUCCUUAGCCAUUCUUUGAAGAGUGCUGAAGAUGUCCUAAGAAUUAGCUUCUAAGUUAUGGGCUGUAAAAGGGGACUGGAGCCAAAUCUUUCUCGCAACCUUGCACUCCAAGAGGGCAUGGCUGAUAGUCUCUACACUUAUUUUGCAUCGCUUACAAGUUGGCUCCUCCACUAACUUCCUUUUCCACAAAUUUUCCACCGAUGGAAGCAGAUUAUUUGAGACCCUCCACAUGAAGAUUUUAAGCUUCUCAGGUAGCUCCAGUGACCAAAGGGCACUCCAGUACUGGUUGGAAGCCUCUGAGCAGCUGGUAGAAUCUGAAAAUUUCGUUCUCAAUGCUAGUUGGUACCCACUCUUGACAGAGUGGUUCCCUCUUUUGCCGUAAUGCCAAAGCACUUCAUCUUCCGUUUGCUCAGCUGGGAGGGAAAUCUUGAGGAUCUCUGCUGUGUCUGCAUCCAUGAAGUGCUGUCGUGGCUUGAUUUCAUCCUAUUGGUUGUUAGCCUUAAUUAAGUCUACAACAACUGAGUUUACAGGCAAUGAUGGAAAAUAGAUCUGAAGGUCUCUGGUCUUGGCAGCCAAUUGUACGAGAAAAUUGCUAUCUUCUUGCCAUUACCUAUAUGCCACUCAGGCCCUUCUUAAUCACUUGCCUACCUCAAAGGAUGCUUCUCCAAAUAUACGAGGCAUUGGCUCCUGCUUCUGCACAUAAAAAGCUGGAUUUCCUGUAAUAUCUUGCUUGAAGGACUCUUGAGACUAGGGAAUUUAGGUACUGCAAUAACCUCCAUGCUUGCUUAGCUACCAAUGCUUGAUUGAAACAAGUAAACUCUCGAAAUCCCAGCCCCCUCUAAUCUUUGCUUGGCUAAGCUUCUCCCAUUUCCGCCAAUGGAUUCCGCGCUUAUCCCCUUUCGAGCCCCACUAGAACUUCACUAUAGCUCAUUGAAUAUCAUCACAAAGGCCUUUUGGGAGCUUGAAAACACUCAUUGCAUACACUGGAAUUGCUUGGGCUGCCGCUUUGAUCAGAAUUUCCUUCCCCCCACUAGACAACAUUUUAUGCUGCCAUCCUGCAAUCUUGUUCAACACUUUCAGUUUGAUGUCAUUAAAGAACCCCAUCUUCUUCCUCCCAAUCAUUGAUAGAAGACCGAGGUAUUUCUUGUGCUUUGAGACCACAUUUAGAUUAAAGAUACCCCUUAUAGCAGCCCUUUGAUGCUCUAGAAUUUUGCCACUGAAGAACAAUGAGGAUUUCUGAAAAUUAAAGAUCUGUCUUGAUGUUGCAGCGUAUUUAUCAAAAAUCUCUUUUAAAUGAAUGCAUUCAGCCACUGAUGCACGAGAGAAGACCAAGCUGUCGUCCGCAAACAACAAGUGAGUAAUUGAAACUUCCCGUACAAAUUUGAGGCCUCGGAUUAGCUGGUUUUGUUAUGCCAAUAUCAACAAAUUGGAGAGAGCCUCUGCACAAAGAAUAACAAGGUACGGGGAUAGUGGGCAGGCCUAUCGCAAGCCUCUUUCCAGCUGGAUCAUUCCUUUUGGCACACCAUUAAUAAGCACCGAGAAUGAAACGGAAGUAACACAUCUCAUUAUCAAAGCUACCCAAUUACUAGGAAACCCCAACUUUAUCAUAGUUUGUUCUAAAAAGGGCCACUCAACUCUAUCAUAAGCCUUACUUAUGUCCAAUUUUAAAGCCAUAAGUUCGUUCUUCUUCCCUUUGCUAUGUCUUAUUUUAUGAAUGCAUUCAUAACCAAUAAUGACAUUAUCGGUAAUGAGCCUAUUAGGGAUGAAUGCACUUUACAUUGGGGAGAUGAUUUGGGAAAGGAUCGGCUUCAUUCUAUUUGCAAUGGCCUUAGCUACAACUAUAUAAAUAACAUUACAAAUGCUGAUAUGUCUAUAAUCACUCACUUUCCUAGGAUUUGCAAUUUUUGGAAUCAAAGCAAUAAAAGUGUGAUUGAGGAUAGAUGGGUUACCUUGCUCAUUAAGGACAUUAAGACACGUUGAGAUCACUCAUUUACGGACGGAUUUCUAAUGCUUCUGAAAGAAGACAGCUGGAAGACCAUCAGGCCUUAGGGCCUUUGUGGGGCACAUGUUGGCAAGGGCUUCCUCUACGUCUUCAGCGAUGAACGGCUUUUCCAGCUGAACAUUCAUCUCCAGAGUUACUUUUGCAGUCAUUCCUUGAAGGGUUGCUUGGAUUUGGCUUGGAGUCGGGCUGGAAGUAGUGAAUAGCUCUUGGAAAUGGCUGCAAAACUCCUCCUCUAUUUCAUCCAUGUCCUUCACCCAAGUGCCUUAGUCGUUUUCAAUCCCCCACACCUUGUUCUUCCUUUUGCAGGCAGAAGCUUUGGCGUGAAAAUACUUCGUGUUCUUAUCCCCUUCUCUAAGCCAGUUGGCCCUCGAACGCUGUUUCCAGUAAAUCUCCUCGUCAACUAGCAUAGAGUUAAUCUGACUUUCCAACCUCUUAAUUUCCUUGCCAUCAUCCAGCUUUGAAUUCCAUCUCAUAGCAUCUUGAAGGCUCUGCAUCAACUUUUCUUGCUUUCUUUGCCUACCAUUAAAUUCGGUUUUGCUCCAAAGUUUUAGCUGGGCCAAUGAAGCUUUGGCCCUUCUCUAAAAUUGUUGAACAGGGGAUUCCCAAGCUCUAGUCCCAUGUCGACUCCACUCUUCCUGGACUCUACUCUUGCAGCCUUCGUGAGAACUCCACAUAUCCUCAUAAUGAUCUCGGGGGAAUGAUUUGCCCACAUUUCUCGAAUUCUUGCUUCGCUCAUUGAAUUCUAGAAUGAUUGGGCAAUGGUCCAAAGUCCAGUUCACUAGAUUUGUGGCUAUAGAUUCUUGGAAUUUAAUCCCCCAAUCCUUACUACACAGAAAUCGGUAUAAUCUCUCCUCAAUGAAAUGAUCUCCGUAUCUUUUAUUUGACCACGUAUAGAGAUAUCCCUUACUACCCAUAUCCUGCAAAUUGCAGUUUUGCACAACUUCCCUAAACUCGGCAACCAUAUUCAGAUUUCUCUCAUUGCCCCCAUUUUUCUCAUGCAUAUGCAUUAUCUCAUUGAAAUCCCCAAAACAGCACCAAGGAUAGGAGAAUAGACUGGCAACCCUUUUCAUGAGAGUCCAAGUAUUAUGCUUCUGGCUGAACUCGGGAUGGCUGUAGAUCCCUAUGCAUCUCCACCUCAAUCCACUUUCAUUACUCACUAUUGCAUCUAUAUGAUGUGGGCUGUACGAGGUAAUGCUAACAUUAACAUCUGCACUCCAAAGCAAGGCUAGACCUCCCCCCAUGCCCGUUCUAUCUACUGCAAAACAAUUCUCGAGAUUAAAGUCUCUACAAAUAGAUUCAACUUGCCUAGCCAACAUCUUGGUUUCACAAUAGAAAAGAAUUUGAGGCUGGUGUAGGUGGAGAAUUUUUUUGAGAGCUAGGCGCGUUCGAGGUUUCCCCAGACCUCAAACGUUCCAACUUAGGAGUUUCAUGGUUGUCGACGGGCCUGAAAUUCAGCACCCGCCGAUACUUCUUCUUCCAUAGCUGCCACAUUUUCCCCUUCAUCUGAUAUCUCUUCUGUUAUCUUUAGCUGCCGAGCUGUUCUGUUGGAGCUAAUGUGGUUGCAGUAGUCUGAGUUUAUUGCUAAACUUAUGUGGUUUCCCACGUGUGGUUGUUUUGGUGGACUGAGCACUCUUUUUUUUUGUGGGCUGAGCUGAUUGUCAUCACUACUAGGUCUUUUUGCUCCUAUUAACCCAUGAUCCUUCGCUCCUUUUGCUAUGGGAAUUCUUGCCUUAAGUUUCCAUUUUCUUGCUUUGGGCUUCACGUUAGUCUUGCUUGGCCCACUAUCCAUUUCUUCCAUAUCUGAUCUGGCACUCUCUUCAGCCUGCUUCCUUUUAUCUUUUAUUAUUUUCAAUCUUGCUUUAUCCAUAGGAUUUUCGUUUUCCUUCAAAAUCUUUUCUCCCACCUUUGUACUUUCAUAGCUAUAAUGGCUAUCAUUACUUGCCACCCUAUUCUGCACCUCGUCGAUGUCACAGCCCAUACUUUGACUCCCCACUUGCUGAUUUUUCGUCUAUGAAGAGGUCAACAUUAAAUGUGCUUUGUCAUAUUUCAGCAUGUUUCUUGUAUCCUCUAGUUCUGCUCCAUCUUUUAUUUCCUGAUUCGAUUUGUUCAAUUUUGACCUGUCUCGAUCAAUCGGGUUGUUUGAGCUUGGGCUGGUUGUUGCUUGCACAUUUGCUUUGAGAUUGGAUUGCUCUCGAUUGCCUUUCUCUCUACUUCGAUUUUGCUUUAUCCUGUCAGCUUGUGUAACAGUUCUCAUCCAUCCACCAUAAGGCAAGUCCUCCUUUUGUUGCCCUUUGUAUCUCAGGCAUUCCCUGUACUGGUGACCGAUAUGCGCACAACAAAAGCAAAAAUCAAGAAGUUUUUCAUACAAAAUUGGCAUUGGAGUUUUGCCAUCCGCUUGUUGUAGGAACACAAUCUUUUUUAGAGGCUGUGAAAUGUCAAUGGAUAUCCUGACUCUCGCAAACUGCCCAAUACAUUCCCCAGCUUCGUCUGUCUCCACUUCCUUGACUGUACCAAUUUUUUCUCCCAGCUUUUGGAUGACCUCCUUGUUCAUACACAUUAUUGGUAUGUUAUGGAUCUGAACCCAGAAUGUGGUAUGUGUAAAAGAUUGAUUUUUGAUAUCUCCAGUCAAGACUAUCAAUACUUUGUCGAAAUGCCACGACCCUCCCAUGAGCACCCUUUUCUUUUCUUCUUCAUAGGCGAACUUGAACAUGAAAAUGUUAUCCCCCAUGCUUUCUAUUUUAACCUCUUUGACGGAUCUCCAAGCCAUUUGCAUUGCAGCUUUCAAGCCCUCCUUGUUUAUACUUCUUGAUGUUAGCACUUUGCCCACUAAACAAUUCGCAGCUACUUCCUCUCCCUUUAUCUUCAUCCGCCCCAUGAAUGUUACGUUUAAUAUUAUAACGCUGUCAAUGGCAAAGUACGUGAGUGAUACAAAUUAAAAACAAACAAAUCAAACCCUGUGCACUGUCAUCCCUAAUUAUAUUUACCACUUCAUACUCACAGUGAUAAUAACUGUGUAUCACAGUUGACUUUCCAGACGGCUAAAAGUUCCAAGUCCGGAUGCUUGGUUAUUGAAACUUGAUGAAAAGGGCAUGAAAGAAAAUAAGAAAUUAAAUAAUACAGGAGGUAUUAAUCAUAACAUCUCUAGUUAAUGAAAAUUGAUGAACGGUAAUCCAAUAUUUCUGCAGACAUGAGCCGUAAUUAUGAUACCAUUAAGAAUGAAGCAGAAGAGUUUCCCCAAAAAAGUUAAAACGCGGCACUUGGAUUUAAAGAAUUAUCAUAUCACAGUACCGGGACAAAAAAAGGUUAAUGCAACAACAUACAUCAAGUUAAUUCCAUAAUCUAUCGCCAAAGAAAGACAAACACAAGCUUAUAAGAUUAAAACUUUGGAAAACAUUAGAGUCGGACAAAAUUGUGCAAUCUUCAGAGUUUGGAGCCUAGUUCAUCCAGGAAAGCAAAAGAAAUAAUAAUAAUAAUAAUAAUAAUAGUGGUUUGAUCUCAAAAGGUGACAUCAAGGUGGUAACUUUGAGGUAUUGGAAGCUAAAACGUCUUCAACUUUGUCCUGAUUUUGAAGUCCCUUAACCCAUCCGCCAUCAAUGGAUUGAAUGCUUCCAUUCAACCCAUCAUCCACAAAAUCACCAACCCGUUUCACCUUCAUCUCCUUCGGCUUAACAGGGUACUUCCCAUAGAAGCAAGCAUAACAAAAAUUCUGAGAAUCAUCGCCUGACAACUUGUUCAGGCUGUCAAUUGGCAGAAAAGCAAGCGAGUCACACCCAAUAAACUCCCUGAUUUCCUCGACGCUCAUCCUGUUGGAAAUCAACUCCUCACUACUUGGGGUGUCCACUCCAUAGUAACAACUUAACAAGAAGCUAUGAUUGGUGGGCUUGCAAUUCUCAUGUGAACCUCUUUAGCUCCAGCCUCCUUAAGCAACCGAACAAUUUUCGAUGAAGUUGUUCCUCUCACUAUUGAAUCAUCCACAACCACAACUCUCUUUCCCUCCAACACUCCCCUUACAGGAGAGAGCUUAAGCUUGACACCAAAGUCCCUAAUUUUCUGGGACGGCUCAAUGAAAGUUCUCCCAACAUAGUGUGACCUUAUCAACCCUUGUUGAAAUGGUACCCCGGCUUUCGCAGCGUACCCAAGUGCAGCCACCACUCCAGAAUCUGGUACUGCAAUCACAGCAUCACACUCAACAGGAGCCUCGGUAGCAAGUACUUCCCCAAAAUGAUACCUCAACUCAUAAACAGACCUACCAAAUACAACAGAAUUGGGCAAAGCAAAAUAAAUAUGCUCAAAGAUGCACUGGUUAGGUUCAGGGUGAGGCAUCAAACAAAGUGAUUGAACCCCAUCUUUAUCCACCAUCAAAACUUGGAUAUACCUCUCUCUCGUAUGUGGCCUCAAUCAAAUAGUGCACAAGUCUCUGUCGCAAAAACCAGAGCACCAUUACUCCUCCUACCCAUCACCAACGGCACAAACCCAUACGGGUCACGAACCGCAACAAGCUUAUCCUCAGUAACAAACACCAUUGAAUAAUUAUAUUAUUAUUAUUAUUGUUUUUAAAAAUAUCAUUUAUUUAUUUUUUAAAAUUUUUUUAAAGGUAAAGAAGUGGGUAAAGAUCAAAUUCAAUUUUUAUUCCUUACCCCCUAAGAUUUGAACUUAAGUGACCAAAUGUAUAAUAUUAAGCAUCUCAAAUUUCAUUUCUAAUGAUAUACAAUUUAUUAAGUGAUUGUUAAUCUUUACAAGAUUCGAGUGAAUUAAUUAUAUUAUUUCACUAUUAAUAAUAUGAGUAUCAUAUUAUUUGGAAUAACUUUUGAAUAAAAACAUUGUGAUGGAUGAAAUAUUCUUUUGAGAAUUUAUUGACUUAUCUCAUUUAUGAUUUAUUGUUGCAUUUAAGUGAUAUUGCAAAUAAUCUCAGAUAAUUUCAAGCCAUAUGUCAUUAUUGGGAUAAAAAUAAAGUAAAAUGGUUAAAACUAUUUUUAUGUAAUUUAUAAAAAUUAAUGAAGCAACUACAAAAUUUUUUAAACGAAAAACAAUUGAAAUGUGUGUGGAAAAAGAAGAAAAAAAAUAAGGCAUUUAAAUAUCUUCUUAAAAAAUACGAUUGAGUAAAAUCAUUUUAACAGAAUGCUCUUCCAAAUACAAUUCCACAUUUUUUUUAUUGCAGUGGGAUAUUCCAAAAUUGGCACAACUCAUUAAGAAUUCGGCAACUCAAAUUUUAUUUAUCACUCUAUGCAUUUGACAAAUUAAAAAGAAAAAAAAAAUUCAUAUAUCUUCUGUUCAAAAGAAACCUUGGUAAAUAUUGUAAAACAAAUUACCAUUUUUUUUAAUUUAUGCCAUUAUAUCGUCGCUAUUUUCUCGCCCACUUUCUUAAAAUAGAAUCAAUAUUCAUUGAUGGGUUGGGUUCCAGAGUAAGCACCAAUUCUGCAAAAUGGUUUUAUAGUAGAAAAAGCACUUGUAAGACAUUCAGAACACAUUUUUCAAUUUUGUCUUUUGAAAAUGAGUCUUGAGUUCCACAAGCCAAGAAGAAUGGCUAAAAAAUGUAUGGUAUCAAAGAAAGAGAAACACCCACACACACAGAGAUUAAUGGGGAGAUAUAUGAUUGUGUAAUUUGCAUAUAUAUCCCCAUUAAUUGUUGAUAGUCCAAUGGGUCUAUGCAAAAGGAAAAAAUUGGCUGUCCUUAAAGACAAAAUUGACUGUCACAUGAAAAUAAAAAAAUUUGUUACCACGCAACGAAAAUAAAGAUUUCAAGAACAACUUUAUGGUCCCCUUUCUGUCCAAACAUAUGCGAUAGCAAUUAGUGUAAACGACACUUGAAAUAUAUAUAGUAGAUCCUCACGCAAUUGAUAAAUAUUUAUAGUAGGAUGGAGUGAUAAAUAGUUUCACAAAAUUAUUGGAAUUAACUAUUGAAUACAUGAGAUCUAUCUCAUUAAGGAUAAAAGAUUUGAGUGCUACUUCAAAAGCAUGACGUUGCUGGCAACAAAUUUAACACAAAAGUUUAAUUAAUUAUCUUAGUUGAGACGAUAAAAUCUUGGAUUAAGAACAAAAGGUUUGAGGUUCGAACCUUCUCAUUCAAGAAAAUCAAAAUAUUACAUCUUCCAGCACAUAUCAAACAUUUUUUCAAAGGCAGACUGACAAUUCAGGGUAAAAAAAACAAAAAAACAAAAGGAAUAUAUGCUAUUGAAGACAAGUAUACCUUGGACAUGAAGUCUGAGUCCAGAACAAGAAGCAAUUAGCUGAUCUUUCAAUUUCCAAAACCCAACAAAAUCUUUGUCAAAAUAUACGAUCUAGUCCCAUAUUAAGCACAUUCAUAGCCGUAUCACCAGGUUCAAAAUAUUUUCCCCAAAAAGAGAUAGAGAUUCCAUUGAAGUUGAGUUGUGACUGUCCCAACGUUUGUAAUUAUAUGUUUCAGGAUACCAUGCCUAUGAAUCAUUUUUUUUUUCCAUGUUUCGAAGUCUAUCAAAUGAAAAUGUAAUUAUAUGGUUCAGGAUACCAAUAUGCCAGAGCUGCAAAGGUUGACUUCUACUAUCCUAUCAAUGUCUAUACUUUCUAUUGAAUUUCCUUGUUUGUUUUUUUAAAUUGCGAGAUUUAUUUUUAGAAAUCUUUGACACAUUUUAUGAAAGAUACCAUAAAACCAAAUACAACCAUUUUGAUUCAGCAACAACUUUUUUUUUUCCUUUUAAAAAAAGGAAGCCAUAUAAAUGAUGCUUUAAACAUUAUUUGCAGCAAGGAACAAUUAUUUCAUGCUUUCAGGUAUUAGAAACUUCCCAAAAAUGCUAGCAAGAAAAUGAAAUGGAACUUUACCUAGUCACAGAAUAUGUAUUGCUGUUAGCCCAAUUGUUAUGAAGUGGCUUCUGCAUCAGAAGAUUCCAGCUCCCACCAAGCAUUGUUAUCUCUCUUCUGAAUACAAUCUGCAUCCCUGGGCAUGAGUUAUAUCAUUAAUGUCUGCAUCCUCACUUACAUCAUCCCAAUCAAGUGUUUUUUCUCCAUAUCUGGAUUAUAAGUCCACUCUAAUCUCUUCAAAACAUCCUAGUCCUUCCAUCAUACGACUUCCUUCCUAAUUACUUUCCCAUUAAUAAAUCGCUCCAAGAAAAAAAAAGCAUUAACAAUUCUCUUCAACGCCCCAUCACUCAUAUCCCCUACAACAAACAUCUUUAGACACCUCAAUGUUGCCUCUUGAAAGACCUCCACAAAAUCCGAAUCAUCUGACACAACCAUCAAACACCUAAACCUUCUUUAGUCCACCAUAUCCACCAUAUAAUUCCUUAACUAAACAUCGGCAUCUUGUGGCUUAUCUAACACCUUCCUGACCCAAAACCAUGCUCUUUUCAACUAAUCUGCAAAACCAUAACCCACUUUUGGAGUCAAAAUUGCGCUUGCAGCCAUUUUAUAUUUUUCCAUCUUUAUUGAAUAGUUGCCAACCAAAAGCACUCUCACCUUCCCUCUAGUUGAUUCUAUUUGAUUCGACCUUUUCUUUUGUUCACCCUCAUGAAUUUGCCUAAAAUGAUUAAUAAGUUUGUCAUUAUUAUAAAAUCUCCUUCCACAAUCACCAAUACAUACGGCUUAGCAGGCCUAAUUACACCCUUGAUUUAUAAUUGGAUAAACAAUUCUUUUUCUUUCUUUGCUCUCUUACAACUUGAGGCACAUAACUAAACGUGUGGCUAUUAGCAUUUGCCACCAUGUAUUUAACAACCCCAAAUGAAGAUAUUAAUUUUUUUAGUUUAAUUGCUGCUUCAAAAUGGGGUACUGCAUUUGGAUUUUGUUAUUCAAAUUCCAAAAUGUUCCCACAUUGUGUUGGACAGUUUUUGGUUCUAAAGUUUAUGACUGGUUUUGCCAAUCAGGCUUCAAAUGAGAACUUCUAAACAAUAAGACAAAUAGGUUUUGAGUUUCUAAUCUUAUAAACUUUGUUCUAUUGUAUAAGUUAUGAAAUCGCUGAAACAUCACUACAGCUACAGGUCUUUAUGUGUCAAUGAACUGCAGAAGCUGAUGAUCUACUUGUAGUAGACUCCUAUUGCCCCUGCCAUUCUAGGAAGACAAACAAGUUCAGGAACUACAUCUGGACCAAACUCGUAAUAUUGCCACUGCUUUGUGCCAAUCUGAGACGGAAAGAAGAUUGAAGUUCCUAAAUAAGGCACAUCAUGAUUUAAUAGAAGUACCAUUAUAAGGAAAAAAUGAUUUCAGGAAAGCACUAAAAUAUGACAUAAUCUCCCCCUAAUGGUCUAAAGUAGUCAAGAAAUUAUAUCAACCAAGCAAAAACACAUAAACUAGUUGAGAUACAAAGUUAUCAUAAAAGUCAAUUUUGAUCACAAAUCCAUUAAAAUUAAAAGACAUCAGAAAGUUAUAGAACAUUAUAAUUUAGGACUUAGCUAAGUUGCAAAUUCUGUAAUUAACAGCUGAGUCCACAUUGGCCUUGCAUCAGCUGAGUUUGGGUUGCUUUUCCUCUCUCCUGCAACGCGUGAAAGCGUCCCAUUUGCUGUGUUAUAUACAGAGUCGGUACCGUAGCAAGCUCCUAUAAUUUAAGUUUGAUUACUGUAGACAAUAGUCUGCCUCUGUUCAAAAGCUAUGCUGCAAGAUAUAACGUCUUUGCAAUGUUGUACUUUCUAAAAGUAAUAAGAAAUGAAACCAAGGGGUAAACCGAACACCAAAAGAAAUUUAGUCGGCCAACCAUAUUAUGUUCCCACACAGUCCACUAAUUAAGUUAAUAAUUAAAGGGAAUUAAAAUCUAAGAAAUCUCAUCUUCAAGCAGAAUACAAACACACCAGGAUUGAAAAUCACAAAAUCAUAAAAAGAAGCUGACUUGAAAAGCUCAAAUAUACGUUCAUCAGCCUCUCAACUUAUAUCUAAGAACAAAUGCCUGCAGCCUGUGAAGACAUAGAUAAUUGAAGCUGAUGAGGCAUAUUUAACAGAUGAUAAUCAAAACUCAUGUGAUUAAAAUUAUAAUUCAAUAAUGGAUCACAUAAAACAACAAGUAACUAGUUGUAUAUAUACCAAACAACUUUCUGAAGUUAAGGCGUAAAACAAAAACGUAGAACAAAUUAAUUAAAUAUACUAGCACCAAUACUCUUAUUAUUAUCCACGUAGAAAAUAACAAUGUAUCAAACAAGGAAAAUGAAAUAUUGUUAAUAACUCAAAAACCACUAGUGUCAAGAACUAGACUAAUAAGUGAAACCCAUAAUCAGACACAACCACAUCAAAAUCUCUGAAAAUUGAGGUCUAAACAUUGAAAACAAUUAGACAUAUAUAACAGUCAAUCGAAACAAAGCCUCAAAAUAAUAAUAAACUACAAUAAGACAGAACCUAAAUUGUAAACACACGCAUACCCAGUAACAGUAAUCAAGUAACAAGUCAAAACCAGAAUCAAACGUAGAAUUUUGAAAUCCAUACGAACUCUAACGUAUUAGAAUGAAAGAAUAAGGAUGAUCAAUAAACUAGACUCAAACAAAAACAUGCCCAGUUAAAAAAUGAAGGUAAAUAAAUAAAAAUGGUAUAAAACUGCGAAAAAAAUUAAUGAAAUGAAGAGAAAAUCACAGGAAUCCUAUGAAGAGGAAGGUAAAGAAACCUUCCAGAGCCGAGAAGAUGCCUUUUUGGUUGACGUUUGUGCCUAUACAUAUAUAUAUAUAUUUUUUAAUUUUGAAGAAAGCAUUGGUUAACAGAAAGGGAUGGCAACGUGGCAGAUAUAUAUUAGAUUUAUUCUACUCCAGAUUCGUAUCCAUAAUAAAAAUUAAAAUUCGUAUAUGCUCUAUAUUUGUCAUAAAUUUAUAUUUUUCGUUCCAUAUUCAGAUCUAAAAAAUAAAUAAAUAUCUAUAACUGCUCUAAAUCUGGAAAAAAAAAUUAAAAUCCAAAUAUACUUUAAAUUCAUCAUGAAUUCUAAAACUUAGUAAUAAAAAAGUAAUAAUUUUUUAGAAUGAAAAUUGAAGACUAAAAUGUAUUGAUAACAAUAAAUUAUAUAUUUUUUCUCAAAAAUAUAAUAAAUAUUGUAGCUUAUACUUUUACACUAAAACAACAAAUAAGAAAGAUAAUAAAAUAUUUUUCAAAAGUAAUUGCAGGAGUAAGAUCAAUAUAAUAUUAUACUGUCUCUUUUAUCAUUUUAAUAUCCAUGACACACCUACCCUUAUUUCUACAACAUUAGAUAAUGACAUAUAAAUUAAAUAUGAUUUAUAUUCAGUGCUUUUUAUUUUUAUUAUGACCAUAUUUAACUAAAUAUAUGAAUAAUUAUAUUCAUUAAAAAUUAUUUGGCCAAUAUAAUGAAAUAAAUUGUCAGGUUGUAUUACUUGGCUUGCAAUUUGAAUAUUGCAUGUACAUGCUUUGGGGCUGGCUGAUCUUUAAAUUUACAAAACUAAUCUUUAAGUUUUAAGAGUUUAAAUACAUGGUAAAUAUUACUAAUAUACUAUGAAUAAAAUUUAUUAUCAUUAUAAUUCCACAAUUUUUAAGAAACUUUUAAAAUAAAAUAAAAUUAAAAGAUUGGUGGAUAUGGAUAUGGAUUUAGAUAUUAUGAUAGAUCCAGACCUGCUCCAGAUCUGUCUUAGAUCCGCACAUCAAUAUCCAAAUAUGAUCUAAAUUCAUUUUAAGCUGACCCAAAUCCGAUCCGAUUGGAUUUAGAUCACGUGGAUCUUGAGUCAGAUCCAAUCAUUGCCAUUAGGGAUGGCAAUUUGCGGGCCUGGGCCGGGCUUUUUAAAGCUCAGGCCCAAGCCCACAUCAGUUAAACGAUGUCCAGGCCCUUCAAAAGCCCGCCCAACCGAACUCGGGUCAGGCCUAAGCGGGCCUAGGCUAGGCUCGGGCUUUUAAAAUUAAUUAUAAAAUAUUUUUUAAAUUAAGAAAAUUAUUUAAAUUAAAGAUAAUAAUAUAAUAUAUAAAUAGAAUAAUAGUCAAAUACAUUAAAUAUUAGCAAUACAACCUAAUAAAAUAACAAAUACUAAUAUAAAAAAUUAAAGUAAUUUAAUAUUUUGAUUUUUUUCUUUUUUAUUUAAAUUAAAUUUAUUUUUUAUUCAUAAAUUUAGAAAGCCCUUGCUUUUUUGCUAAGCCCUUGUCUAGGCCCAACAUAUGUGGGCUUUGUAAUUUUUAGGCUCAUAUCCAAGCCCACCCCCUUGCGGGCCGGGUGUUAGGCCCGCGGGCCUGGGCUGGGCUUGACCGGGCCUGGGCCGGCCCGGGCUUUUUUGCCAAAUAUGAUCUAAAUUCAUUUUAAGCUGACCCAAAUAUGAUCCGAUUGGAUUUAGAUCACGUGGAUCUUGAGUCAGAUCCAAUCCAUUGCCAUCCCUAUUAACAGAACGAAAUAUUAAUAAUAGAUGUUGGCAAUUUCAACAAGGACAAUCUUGGAUUCAAAUGUACCCCUAUGAUAAAGAAAAAGCCAGCUUGGCUAAAUUUUGAGCACCACAUUACAAGAUCUAGGUGUAUGCUUAACUAUGCAAAAUGAAACAUCUAUUAAUUGUAAGUCCCUUGACCUCUGUAACCAGCCAACCGGUCUCUUUCCUACUAGACAACCUUCCAUCGACCAGAUUAAUAAUAUUUACUAAAUCAUGUUCUAUAGUUAAUGAAGUUGGACCAAGGCAAUUGUUAGCUUAAUGUCACAGGCCGCUCAAAUUUGCCGUAAUUGGAGGAUAAUUAUGUGCACAUGAGUUUGCUUAGCAAAAGUCCGCCUCGACGUGGAGUGCGCUUAAAAGCGGGAUGCACUUAGAAGUGGGAUGCGCUUAGCAAAUCAUCCAAGCCCAACCCAAGAUCUAGAACUCUCUGCAAAUUAUAAAUAAGUUAAAAGUUUUUAUAUUUCUCCACGUAGGUCCCUAGGAUAUUUAUGGAAGUUGCUAGGAAGUUUCCUCCCCUAAAAUGUUAACAUUUUGGUGGACGGUUAAUAUAAGUUACAAACUUAAAAUAGAAAAUCAAAUAAAUUCAAAUUUUCAAACUAUUUAUGGCAAAUUUAGGACAUAUGGUUAAUAAUUUUCCCAUGUCUUUUUACAUUGGUUGGUAUAAGUUACAAACUUAAAAUAGAAAAUCAAAUAAAUUUAUAUUUUCAAACUAUUUAGGGCAAACUUAGGGUAUAUGGUUAAUAAUUUUCCUUUAUUUUUUUUUACGUUAAAUUGAGUUUCAAAGGUAAAAUGGUCAAUUUAUUAUAAAUCUGUUAAUUUUUUAGUGGAAGCAAAUGAUAUAAUGGACGAAUGAUAUAAAUUGUAAAAUUAAGUUGCAUGAAUGAUACAACUUUAAAGUAUUGUAGUAAUCUUAAUAAUAGAACAAUUUAAGGGUGGAUUGGCAAUAAUUUAAACUUUAAUGAAGCAACUAAAAAAAAUUUUUAACAAAAGAAAAAUAAUUGAAAUGCUUUAAGAAAAAUAAAGGAAAUUAAAUAUCUUUAUAAAAACAUAAUUGAGUAAAAUCAUUUUACAAAAUGCUCUUUCAAAUGCACAUUCCACAAGUCAGGGAGAACGGGUGGCUAACAAAAAUCUCACUUUUUAUGAGUUUAUAAAAUCUCACUUUUGCAGAAUUCAAAAAUAACAAAUACUAAUCACACAAAAAAUAAAAAUUAUUGCUGUCACGACAUUACGCACUUUCUUCGUUGUCUAGAAAGGUAGAACAUUUCGAUGUUCCUCAAUACAAAAUGCGUGCUACUACUAAAUUGGCCCAAUUAAUGCCCAUCGAAAAGGCCAUGAAUUUAGCCAACAAUUUUGUCAAAAUUUCAGCAAUUGAAGAAAUAAUGAUCACAAACAGAACAGUUGAAUUUUGAAGUUUGAAAAAAUCUCCAGAUACGUACAACAAAGUCUUGAAGCUCUGGUCUUUACAAUUUGAGCACAGAAUAAAUAUUAACUACCUGCCAUUUAUAAUUUGUAUUAACUCUGUACCAAAACGUUAAUCGUCAUUCAUAAUUAAUGACGUGACAAUGAUAAUUUAAACAUUUGAUAUGCUUAAUAAAAAAUAAAAUAAUAACUUUAAAUAUAAAAAUUAAAAGAUAUUUUUAUAAUCAAUUCAAUUAAAUACACUUAAAAACUCACAUUAAUCCACAAAAUGCAUACAAAUGUACAGUACCAGAGAAUGAGAAACACACAUUUAUAGGCAAUCCAUUUGAGUUUAUGAAAUCUCAGUUCCCAAAAUCCAAAAAUAUUCAAUACACUCACAAACUUAAAAAAUAAAAAUGAUUGCUGUCAAGACACUUUUUAGCUGUCUAAAAAGCUAAACAUUUGAAGUUGUUUGAUACAAAAUGCAUGCUAAAUUGGCACAAUAAAUCCCCAUCGAAAGGUUAACAAUUGAAGGACAAUGAACACAAACGUAAUCUUUAGAUACAUACAACCAAUCCUUCAAACUUUAGUCUUCACAAUUUGAGCACGCCAUAACCACCCGCAAACAAGUUUUGGUAGCUUCUUGCGCGAACUGAACCCGCUGAAAUGUUUCUCUUAUUUUGUUAUUUUUUUUCUUUUUUUUUCUUUUUAGUCAUUUAUGUUCGCUGGCAUCUUCGUUGGCGUCUCUAUCUUCGCUGGCAUCUGCCUCGCCUGUAGUUUCAGUGCUAAUAUCCAACCAAUAAAAUGGGCAUUAAAUAUGAAUGAUGAAUAAAAUAAAAUAAAACAGAGAAAAUAAUGACAAGAAGAAAAACAAACUUUAAAAAAAAUUAUUAAAAGGGAAAUUUUGAGUUUAGCAUAGAUCAAACAGGCAUCACAAACUAAAACAAGAACCAACUAUAAAUAGAGUCAAUUAAUUGAAGUUCUCAAGAGCUUACCUCUGCUCCGGAAUUCUCGGAAUCAUCCACAUAUCUCCUUUUGAAUUUGCACCAAGCUUGGGACAAUUAUAAACGUAUGCAGAUGGAAAUCGAUUUUGAAAAGAGCUGUGGAAAAAGGGAUGGCGAAUGUUGCGAUAUGGAAAAUUUAGCAGUUCAAACUCCCGAAGUUGCUUCAUAACAAUUUGAUUGCAAUCCACGACGUCUGCUCCAUUUUUAUGCCAGAAUAUUGCUUCUAAUUCAUCAUUUCGUUCUAUCCGUAAGAAAUAUAGUUUUUGAAGACUUGGAGCUACGCCGAUAUGAAAUAGAUGCUUUAGUUUGGGGCAACCACAGACAGUGAUGCUUGUGAGUUUUGGGAAACAUACAGGUUGGAGAUGAUCCUCAUCCUCAUCCUCAUCAAUGAUUUGCUCUAAUUCGAAGCAGUUAUCAAUAACCAGCCCCUGCAAUUGCAACAGAUUUCGAGCAAAUGUUGAUGUGAAGAGACGCCUGAGCAUAGUGCACCCGUCCACUCUUAAAUGGGUAAGAUUUUGGAGGCUAAAAUUAUGCGUGGGACCUUCAUGAUAUAAUAAUACUUGCAGUUCUCGAAGGUUUUCCAACUGCACCUCCUUCAAACAUGGGAAUAAUUUGUUUUCUUGUCCCUUAGCGAUAAUAGCUUCCAAUUGAAAUACCACAUGUACUCCAAGUUGGCUAAUACCCAAUUCUUCCAAAUUUUUUAAGCCGUGCUUCAACAGUGCUGGAAUCGUGUCACUCAAAUGGGAACAAUUGUCCACAUAUAGAAUUUUUAAGUUCUGAGACAAAUAAAUAAAUAACUUGAUGCAAUUAAAAUCUAUUAGCAAGCUAGGAUUAUCACAUGAUAAGUGAUGAACACUGCAAAAAACAAAAACAGAAAACAAAAUCCAAACAAAAAUAUCAUAAUACAUAUGUAAACUAAUAAAAUAAUUAAAAAGUAAUGGAUUUAAAAAAAAAUUAGUUAAAAGAGAUCAUGUGAAGUGAUAUAAAUGUGACAUUAGAUUGUUUUAGAAAAAAUAUUAUUCUAUUAAUUUAUAUGGUUUGAUCAACUAUUUAAUUGAAUUUGAUUAAUAUUAUAUACACUUCAGAAGUAUUUGAAGAAUGGUUUUAGCCUUAUAAUAAAGAAAAUUCCCUAAGAUAUCUGAGCAUUAUUAUUAUCAUUACCACAUUCACGACCACCAUCAUCAUCUCCAUAGGAUCAAAAAAUUAAUGGCUGAUCAUAAAAUUUAUUGUUAAAAUAUCCUUUUGAGUAAAAUUGAAUGAAAAGAAAAAAUAUGAACCCAAACAGACAUACCUCUUUGAGAUACUGCAAAUUGGCUUCAAGUUCAUUACUGUUGAUGGUCAAGUUGGGACAGCAAUCAAGCUGUAACUCUUCCAAUGCUGCCCAAAUUGAACAAUAAUUCUCUGAACAGAACUUGGUGAGUUCUGGGAGAUCUUCAAGUUCUAAUUUUCUCAACAAAGGGAGGGCGAGCAUCGUAUUUCCAUCUCCGACACUUAUUUCCCCUUCAUUAUGAUCAAACUUUGCUUCGACAAUACAUUCCAGUCUCUCGCAUUCCCUUACAUGGAGACUUUUAAGCUGCUCCAAACUUCGAGCUUGUGACAACGUGAAGAUAUAUGUCAACUUGUUGCACCUAACCACAUUCAAUUCUGUAAGAGUUUGGAGACUGAUCACAUGUUGGGCGGGCGCCUUCCAUAUCCACUUCAGUUCUGGUAAGUUCCACAUAGAUAACUCUGCUAAUCUUGAGAGACUCUUUCCAUGCGGCGACUUAGAGGCUUCCAUUAUGCAUUCUAAAUCUUCGCAAUCGCCGACAUCAAGACAAGUCAACUCAUUUAAGCCCCUUUCAUCUAUGCUUGGCACAAUAUUGUAACAACCUAUAAUCCAUCUUAUAUAAAGAAUUUCCAGUUCUUGAUACAAAGCCGAAAAAAUACCGAGCGAGGUCACUUCAGGAGGGUCAUUCUCAAUGAUUAAGCUCUUUCUCUGACUACCAUAUUCCAUUUUAUAAAAAACUUCUUCACCUUUACAGAUGACGUACCUUUGCAAUUUCGGGAAUGUAAAGUCUUUUGGAAGAUAUACAACAGAUCCGUCGGCUUGGGAGUUCAACUCAGCAAGCCUAGCAUUACUUUCUUCUGAACUCAUCCCUUCAACCUCCCAAUUUUUUAUCCGACCAUAAAAUUCUUCUAAUUUUUUUAUCGUAAUGGGAGAAACAGAACUAGUAUCAAUAUGUAGAAGUUUCAAUCUACCAAGUUCAUCCGACAAUUCUUCAGGAAUUUCAAUGGGAGACGACCGGAGAUAAAGAAGUUCAAGUCUCUUCAACUUUCCAAGAAAAAACGCGUCACUCAAAUCACACAAAAUCAACUGCAGAACUCGGAGGUUAUUGGCUAGGAAUCGAAGUGAUUUUAGUGAAAGGACUCCAUUUAUUAUAGUAACAACUUUCAAUGCUGGCAUCCCUUCAAAAAAAUUUUCUGGAACUUGCAAUUUGUAGUCACAUAGAGUGUUGUCCAGUCGCAAAAUAUGAAGGUUAGGGCAUACCAAACGACUAGGAAGCUCUUCUUCUUUAUUUCCCAUUACAGAGAUUCCUCUAUAUUGCUCCGGGCCUUCUUCCAUUACCCGUUCUGCCAAUCCAAUGCCAACUUUACUAAAAAAUUUCUUCUCCACUAGUACUUCUGAGCCUAUCCAUAUGGCUACAUCACGAACUAUGUCAUGCAUUUUCACAGAUCUGUCAUUACCAGUGUCUAACAGUAGUGAAGCAGCUUUGAGUCCGUCAAUUGUUCCAAGCAGUAGGCUUCUGGUGUUCUCUAUUGACUCAGCUUGAUACCAAGUCAACCCUACUGCAUAUCCAACCAAAUCCUCCAAAUUAAUCUCAUAAUCUUCUGGAAAUAGCGAACACAACAAGAAGCAUAACUUGGAAUUGUCAUCAUUCAAUUCGUCGUAACUAAAUUUGAGACAACCGUAAACGUCUAAGUUCUCCUCAUCAAUACCUUCUAUUGCAUAGAGUUUUGCAGCCUUUAGGUUAUGUAGAGCUAGGUUCCAUUCAUUAAAUCUUUUUCCUCUUAGUGCACUUCCAACAGCUUCAAUAGCUAAAGGCAGCCCCUUACAUUCUCCAGCAACUUCUUUGGAAACAUCAUUCAAGGUGGAGUCAUUUACAUUAAUUUUGGCAUUUUUUCGCAGUAAAGCCAAUCCUUCUUCUGGCGUUAGUGUACUAAGUGGAAUCUGUGUGUCACAACCCAAAGAAUCACAAACUGACUUUUUGCGAGUGGUUAGAAGGAUUUUGCAACAAUUAUCUCUACCACCGACGGUAAUACCUAAUUUUUUCUCCGAGUCGAGUGGUUUCCAAACAUCAUCAAGGAUUACGAGGAUUUUGCUGCUUUUACUCUCAGAAAACAUCAAGCGCAAUCGGUCUGCUCUCUCUUUUUCAUCUUUCUCAUUUAGUGCCCAGCCUAACGACUUUGCCAACUCACCUUGAACCUUUAUUAUAUCUAGAUCCUGAGACAUAGUGGCUAUCCCCACCUUAUCGAAAAGCUUUUGUUGCCGAAGUUGAUUGCCCACAUAUUUUGCCAGGGUUGUCUUUCCUACACCACCGAGACCAUGCAAUCCCACCAUCUUUGUGCUCUCUUUUUUCAGUGCGUCAAUGAUCUGAUUGCAAGCGGAUUCUGUGGUCUUGAAAAUAGAAGUAAAAUGCCUUGGCAAACUUAAUUCUCUUUCUAAUGGUAGAGGUUUAGGAGAGGCAACUGUGUUGAAUUGGCUGCAGCCUUGUAGCAGAUCGGACAACUUGCUAGUCUUCUCUGAUGCUUUUCUGCCCAGACGAUAUCGGCAACACCAAUUAGGACACAAUCCAUGAAGACUACUAUCCUUUUCAUCUAUCUCUGCUUUCAACUUCCAAACAUCGUCCAAUUCUUCGACUCCAUUAUUCAGCCACUCCAUUACAUUUUCAUCGACUACUAUGUCGGGGCAUUUUCGCAGUUCAUCGUCUAUUCUUGUUUUGAUGCCAUCUCGUGCCUUCUUCAACUUAGUUUCUUUAUCCUCAAGUUCUUUAACAAUGCUGUUGAAACAGAACAUAUAGCGAGCUUGGUCAAUGGCUGCAUUCACCAAUAAUUCUUCAACCUUUGAUUUUAAAGCUUCCAUGCUAUUUAUCUGCAAAUAACGAAGUUGAUCUCAGCACACUAUUAGCGAAACAACAAGGCUUGAUCACCAGACAAAAUGAGAACGUUUAAUUACCUCUUUCUGCACUGUGAAUGCACGUCUAUUAACACCAGCUUUGACCAAUAAGAGCAAAAUGCAGAGGUGGGGCCUUAAGAGUUUCGGUGGCCUUUAGCUGCAAAACGGCAGAUGACAAAUAAGGUGAACGUUCCUAGCAAACGUGAUUUACGGUGAAUUAUAUUCAAAUUAGAUUAUUUUAAAAGUUGGUAAAUUAUUUAUCACUCUAUCUUAAUGAUACCUUAUUUGGGAUGAUAAAGAUUGGGGUAAAUUCCCUUUUAUUCUCACAUGUUUAUAGUAUUUAUAUUUUUAUAAAUUACCUAAAACAUCCAUGUAACUUACUUUUAUAGCUAUUGAACAUAUCAUUUCAAAUAUAAAAUACUAUUUCUGUCUAAUAUAAAUUAAAAAUCAAACAAAUCUAUCAUGCAAUAAAUGAAAAGUAAAGAAUAUUAAUUAGGUUUUAAUGGAAACAAAUAUAAAACAUAGAGGUUUUGAGUAACUUUUGUAUUUUUUUUAAUGUUCAAUUUAGAAUUGAAUAAUUUGCAUAAUGAAAUUUUGAGGUUUCUAUAAUUUAUAUGAAGAUAAACUGCGAAAUAAGUUUAUAUGCCGAAAUUAAAAUAGUUAUAUAUUAGCAAUCAUAUAAUAAUAAAAAAUUUUAAUAAAAUUUAUUUAAAAAUUGGCCAAUUGUGUUUCAUGAGUAAAACAGAGAGCAUAAUGGACUUAUGUUGGGUCUUGGGAUUGAAAGACUAAGGGUAAGGGGCCGGGAGGUAGGACGGUAGGAAAAUUAAUUUUUGUUAUUUUUAAAGUAUGGUCAACAUUAGUGACUUGGAGGUGAUUGCCGUUAAUCAAUUACCUUUAACUUAAGAAUUAAUACAAAUAAAUGGCAAAAAUAAUUUAAUGAAAAUUAAUUUAAUAAAAAAUUGCACUAAAAACUUAGAACUCAAAUUCUCGAUCAUUUUAUCCGUACGUUUUAAUCCGACGCUCAGAAUUGGCAUAAAACAAACUAAUAUAGCCAUUGGAAAUAAAACAAACAUCAAAUCAAGAGCCUAUGAAACAAUAUUAUCUCGUACCUUCUUCCUUAUAGAUCCUCAAUUGCUGUUGAAAGCUGCAUAUGACAAUAUAAAUAAACAUGAGAUCAAAACAUCAUAGGAUAUAUCUAGCCAAUUAACAUCAUAUAUAACUCCUUGUUCUCAGUCAAAUCUUUCAUUCUUAGAUUAAAAAAAAAAUGAAAUAAUAACUGUUAAGUGAUAUAGGAAGCAAAAGUAACACACCGAAAUGAAAGCAGCUAGUUCACAGAUGACAGAUGCGGUGACUUCAAGAGCAUGAAAAAUGAUUAAACUUUGGUAGAAGGGUCUGAGCCGUGUUUCACAAGUUGCUAUUGACUUCGUGGCUUCGCUUUUAUUUAUUAUUAUUAUUUUUUUAAAUUCUAUAUCAGUGAGAAUUGAAAUGUGGAAAGUGAAAUGAUACACAUGCCUUAUCAUCUAUCAUGAGGGGUGAUUUGGUAAAACCGAUUUAAAAUAAAAAAAGUUUAAAAAAAUUUAAAAAGAUGCUUUGUGUCUGACUGCUUGUAUUUGGGGUAUUUUUCGGGUUGUUGAGACUUGAGAGUGAGUUUAAUUAAAUAUAAGAUUUUCAUUUUUCUUAUUAUAUUUUUCUCUUUAGAAUGAAUUUAAAUCUCAUUCUUAUUAAAUUCAUUUUUUUAAAUGAAAAUAGAUUUCUCUCCACACAUUUGAGAUAUAUUUUAAAAUUAAUGUUAAGCAUAUCUCUAAAUUAUAUUAUAAAUAUUUUUAUUUAAAAUCUCAACAGAUUUCAUAACACACAGAGAGAAAUACAUAUAUAUGUUGUAAUGUUUUAAUGAUGGAUCUCUAAAGUUAUCAAGUUAAAAAAUAAAUAAAUAAAUAAAAAAUACACACUUCAACUUAUUAUAUGAUAAAAUAUAGUAUAUUAAAGUGAGUAUUUUUUGUGUGAAAUAAAAUUAAAGUGAGUACUAUUACCACCUCACAUCUUAUAAAUUCUAGAAAAUAAUCAAGGCUUGACAUACUUUUAUUUAUGCAAAAGCAUAAGAAAAUAAUUCAAAGUACUAAUUAGUGUACUAUUCCUCAAAAUUCUAGAAUAGAUUUGUUAGUUCUCUUUAGCCAUAGAUUGGUCCGUGAUUGGCACCGCAAUAGCUCAUAAUCACCUCAACAAUUGUUCCACACGGCCCAACAUGACACAUUGUAAACUAGUCUACAAGAAUUUUUUGAGUGGCUUUCUAGCAAUAUUCUUAGAGAAAGUGUUUAGUAGUUUCAAAUCUUCUUUUUUUAACACAAAUGUUGGCAUGAUAUUCUUAAUAUAUUUCUAAAAUCAAAAUAAGAUGCAUAGAGGACGAUAAUUUUAUUUCAUAAUUGAAUUUUUUGCAAAGAAAGUUUGAACAUGAGAGUGAUGAGAGAUGAGAAUAUUGAUGAUGGUGUGUACUUUGAAUGGAAAAAUAGAUUGGAAAUAUAUAUAGACAUAUUAAAAGAAAAAAAUUUGGUCUAUUUCAUAAGAGAAAUAAAAAAUUAUAAACGCGGGUGUUAAAAUGUAUUCAGAAUUUAUAAAUUUUUAUAAAUAUGAUAAUCAUCAGACCCUUAUAAAAGUAUAACAAAAAAGUUUAAAAUUUUUUAAUAAAUGUAGAAGAGAUGAACGAAGAAAUCAUCCACCAGUUCAGAAUUAACAAUCAAAGAUAUGAGGACUUGAUUGAAGAAAUGAUGAAAAAUAAAAGGAAACUGGGUUGGUUAGCGGGACCCUAAUAUUAAUGGUGAAAAAUAAAAGGACACUGGGUUGGUUGGCAGGACCCUAAUAUUAAUGGCAAAAAAUAAAAGGACACUGGGUUGCUAUCAAUUUCGAUCGUGUAGGUUCAUAGCCGGGGAAGUAAUUGGGCACAAAUAUCUCGGAUGAGAAAUAACCAUUUUAUCCCGCAACCAUAUGUUUAUGGCCUCUAAAAAUUUUCACCUCUUUCACUUUCUGGAACCCGUGCUUUCUGGCACAUGCACAAAUACUUGGUUGCUACUUAUAGAGCGUUUUUGGAAUUGCAACAACAUGGUGCUCUUUGAUAAUUCAAAAAUCCAAUAUAAUUUAUAGAGAAUUACAGAAUUGUGGUACGUGAUAAUUUGCUGAUGCAAUGAGGCGCCGAAAUUCUUAUACAUGUGAUUUAAGUUAUAUAUGUAUAAUUAAGUAAUUAGAAUAUACUAGUUGGGGGUAUUUGUGUCCAUGAAAAUUUACAGCUGGUUGUUGACAUUACACUGCGGGUGUGUAAGUGUAAUCAUGGAUCUGACCAUUCAAAUUUAAAAAAUGGGGGUCCCGCUAGCUUACGGAGUUAGUAAUUAUUAGAUAUGCAUAUAUGCUCCCAUACGAUAAUCUUAUCAUAAAUUUGAAGGAUACGAGGACUUGAUUGAAGAAAUGAACGAAUAUUUGAAUUAAAAAAAAUUUUAGAAUAAAGACAAGUAUUAAUUUACUAUGAAUGCAACUUACAUAAGCUGUAAGUUAGCGGGACACUAUUAAAUCACAAGCAAAAAGCAAUCUGACUUCUUCUUGAUUCCGUAAUUUGGCUGUCAAAAUGUAAUCUAUAAAAAUUACGAUACCUCGAUUCAAAAAAAUGUUGUUUCUGAUGAAAUAAAUGAAAAUUGAACGUACAAUCUGCCACGAACACUGUUUAAUUAACCGUUUAUUUCCCCUUAAAUUUUUAAUCUCAAUGAAACAUAGAUCUAAUGGGAACUACAUAUAUAUAAAAAUACUAUAGAUUGAAGAAGUUGAAUUUUUCUUGUGUGUUAAGUAUUUUUAGUUAAUACGAAAGGAUUCUAGCAAGUUAAUACAAAAGUAUCAUAAAUUCAUAGUAGUACAAGAGAUUUUUUUUUUCUUUUGAUAUUAAGAGUUUUCGAGAUAAAAAAAAAAAAAAUAGGUGAAAGAAGAAGAUGAGAGAAGAAAAAAUAUUAAGAAUAGUUUUGGCAUUUUGAUGCGUUUUAUAGUGUAAAAUCUAUAUUUUAUAGUAUAAAAAGGUACACCCAUAAUUUAAUGAUAAAAUUUUAGGAAAAAAUUGCACUCGUCAAAAAAAAAAAGAAAAGGCUCAGCUUAGCCCAAAAAUUUUUUAUUAAUCGUCUAGUCGCUAAUGUAAUCUCUUUUUUAUGAGAUUCUUUGGCGUUUUAGUUUAGUCCAUUGUUAGCAAUCCUAAUAGCUUUUAUGUGCAUCUAUUUUUAUUUGGAAUAUGUUUCAAGCUUGAAUAAAAUCUGCGGGACAACUGGUAAGUAAUAAAGCUCAUCAUUUUUUUAUUUUGAAAAUAAAGGGAAUCACUUACACUUAGCAUGAUAUUAUUUUUGAUAAGUCAUUUUUUUGGUAGAUUAUUUUUUCUAACACGCUCUUAGAUUUAGUGAAAAUAAAUUGUAUACUUUUAAUGAAGAAAAGUAAAGAUCAACAAAAUAUUUUGUUCUUUGCGACAACUUUUGCGUUCUCAAGUGCGCCUGAUACCCUUUUUUUUUUAACAUGGGCCCACGUGCCAUGUUUCCAUUUCAAGUUUCAUAAGUUAACAGUAGAAAUGGGUUCCACAGAUAAUUUAUUUUAUAAUUUUUUUUAAAAAUUACUAAAAUAUAAUAAAUAAGGUAAUAAUAAUUAAUAAAAAAGUAGAUUUUAAGAUGGAAAAAUCUUUUUGUGUACUUAAUAAAAAGAUGAUAAGAAUGGGAUGCUUUUAGUUUACAUUCUCAUAGCUAUUUAUACUGAAAAAUUACAUCAAAAUUUAAUUAAUAAAUCAGUGAACUGCAGACUUAUUAAAUUUAAGCUAUUUUAAUAAGUCAUAAAUAUACUAAAUUAAAAUAGUAAUAAACCCAUUGUUACACAAUACUCUCCAUUGAGUGUUCACCAUUUUAAGAUAAUCAUAAAAUGACACCGGAAGUGCUAUUAUAGCUGUCUCAUGGAAAGCCUUCACCAAUAAAAAGGAGGAUAGAGCACAUACAUCCAGUUUUUAUACCCUUUGAUGCUCAGUCGACACGUGCCAAUGCUAUAGACUAGCUUUUCGAAGGUUGAAGUGGGUAUGCUAUUAGUAAAAAGACCUGCAAAAUUAUAGUGUACCUAUUUGACAUCAACUUUUUUUAUCUGCUGGAGCUUAUGAUUAUAGAAGAUCUUCGGUAAGAUGUGUUUGAUUUUAUCUUCUUUUAUAUAUCCUCCUCUAACUUGUGUAAUAGUAGUAAACCCCUGCCCGUUUUUAUUUCGUUUAGUAUUUUCUAAAUGGCCGAAGGAAAAUUGGUAAAAACUCAUUUAAAAAUAAAAAAAAAUCAAAGAAAUUCAAGAAGAAGCUUUGUAUCUGUCAUUUGUAUUUGGGGUAUUUUUUUGGUUGUUAAGUGAAUGAGCUUAAAUCUAAAACAUUUAUUUAUAUAUUUCUUGUUGGAAAGAAUUUAAAUUUUAUUCUUAUUAGACUUAUUCUCUUUAAACAAAGGUAGAUUUUUCUCUAUGUGUUUAACGUGUAUUUUAAAAUUAAUGUUCAACAUAUCUUUAGAUUCUAUUAUAAAUAUUCAUAUCUAAAAUCUCAACAGAUUUCAUAAUAUAUAAAUGUAUAUAAAGAGAGAGAAUAACGUUUCUAAUAAGAAAUUUAUUAAGUUAAAGAAUAAUUCAAAAGAUAAAUUUGUAUUCAACCCAUUUAUAUGAUUAAUUAAGGUUUUAAACAAAUUUUGGACUUGUUCUAUUGUAGAGCUUAAAUUCAAAAUGGAAGAGUGAAGAAGGGAAAAAGAAGACGAAUAAAGAAGAAAAGAGGAGAACAACUUAUACAAAAGAGGGAGAACGAAAAAGUGAAGGGCAGAAAAAGAAAAAGAAUAAAGAAGAAAUUAAUCAUCGCUGAUAUGAAAAUAAUUCCUUCUUCUUUAUUGUUCUUAGUGGUUCUACUUUUUUUUAUUGGAUUCUAAAUUUUUGUCGUAGAUGGAUUAUAAGAACUAGAAAAUUAUAAAGAUAAUUUUUUAAUUAUUCGAUUAAUUAAUUCCAGCAGAAGACAAGAAAUUGAUUCUGCUUCGUUAGAAAGCCAUCACAUUCUAUACGCAAUUGCAAAAAGUAUAUAUUUUUGUCUGUUUUAGACAAGAAUAAAAGGGAUACCUGGUAUUGCAAAUCUAGACACGUUUUAGUGCUUUAUGUCCGAAUGAAUUCUUUCUUGCAACAAUAAACUUGGCCGAUCAGGAUUUGCCGUUUACAUAUGUAGGUCCUGUUGGUUCUGUAGUAGGACUCAUAAAUUUUUAUUUUUAAUUUACUGAAUCCAUAAAUUUAAAAUAACGGUGCAACUCCUGAGGAUGACAAUGGGGCGGGUGAGGUCUUGGAGUCCUGAAAAAAUUUAUAUCUGCAUAUUAAAAAAUGUGGAUCCGAAUAAGAAAAUCCGCAUGAAUCCGAAUGCAAGUGCAUUUGGAAAAUCGGAUAUCGAGAUCUGGAUAAAAAUUUAUUUCAAAUUAAAAAUUAAAUUAAAUAUAUAUUAAAAAGUAAAUGAAAAAUUAAGAAAGUAAAUUUUAUUUGUAGAUUUAUGAUGUCAUUGUAUAUUAUUCAUGUUGAAUUAUUAAUUGUUGGAUUAUGAUUGAAUUUUAUUUGAUAUUAUUGGGUAAAUUAUUGAAUUUCAUUUUAAAUUAAAAAUAUUUAUUAAAAAUUAAAUUUUAUUUGUAGAUUUAUGAGAUUAUUGUAUGUUAUUCAUUUAAAAUUUUUAAUUAUUGAAUUAUGAUUGAAUUUUAUUUGAUAUUAUUAGGUAAAUUAUUAAACUUUUAAAUUUUAUAUUAAAUUAUAAGCAGUAGGAAAUUAUGGUAUUCAGAACAUGUAUACCUUCGCACAUGAAGCUUGAGUCCAGAACAAGAUGCAGCUAGCCAAUCCUUCAACUUCCAAAACCCCACAAAACCUCUGUCAACAUAUCUGCUCUACUUCAAUAUUAAGCACAUUCAUAGCGGUAUCAACAGCUUACAGCUCCAAAAAUAGUUUGAGAUUUCAUUGAAGCUAAGUUGUGACUUGUGACUGUCCAAAUGUUCUGUCACACGAAAUGAUUAUUCUUGUAACACAAAUCCAAUAGCAUGCAAUAUAAUCUACUCUCUAACACUGUGCAUUAGUAAAAUAAAACAGAGUAAAGCAUUAGUAAAAUAAAACAGAGUAAAAAGAGAAACCAUGCCUGUGAAUCUCUUCUCCUCCCCCCACCACCCCUUUUUUUGGUAAAGUCUAUCAAAUGAAAAUGCAGCAUGACCACAUUGGCCACUACCACUGCCAUUACUCCUUCAACUGUGCCCUUUGUUGCAAGAAAUCUUCAAGUGAAAGAUGGAUUAUAUAAUUAAAGAUUCCAAUAGAAGCAGCAAAGGUUGCCUUCCACUAGCCUAUCAGAGAAUAUGCUUUCUAUUUUCCUAGUUUUAAUCAAAAUUUUGCAAGAUUUAUUUAUGGAAAACUUGGACAAAAUUUUAUGUAAGAUACCAUAAAGCCAAACACAAUCUUUUUAAUUCUCAGCAGCAACAUUUAAAGUAAAAAGAUGGAAGCCAUAUAAAUAUAACUAUAUUUGGUACGAGGAACAAUUAUUUCAAGCUUUCAGAAAUGCUAGCAAGAAAUUGUAAGAGAACUUUACCUAGUCACAGAAUAUGUCAAGCAUACUACCACCAACUGUCUUUAGCACAAUUGUUAUGAAGUAGCCUCUGAAUCGGAAGAUUCAAGCUUCCACCAGGCACAAUUAUUUUCAUUCUCCAUACAAUCUGCAGCAGUGGCAUGAGUUAUAUCAUCAACAUUUGCAUCCUCACUCUCAUCACCCCAAUCAAGGCUUCUUCUCCACCUCUGGAUUAUAAGUCCUCUUCGACAUCUUCAAACAUCUCGGUCCUUCCAUUUGCAAACAACCGAUAUGGCUUCUUUCCUUGCCUUCCUCAUCGUUUAUAUCCCCCAAAAAAGGGUCUUUAGACACCUCAACUUUGCCUUCUGCAAAACCUCCACAAAAUCUGAAUUAUCCAACACAACAGCUAGACGCUUGAUCCUUCUUUUGUCCAUCAUAUCCACCGCAUGAUUCCUCAACAAACAUCUGCAGCUUGUGGCUUAUCUAACACUGUCCUGACCCAAAACCCCACUCUUUUCAACUCAUCUGCCAAACCAUAACCCACUUUUGGAGUCAAAAUUGUCCUUGCAGCCCUUUUAUAUUUUUCCAACUCCAUUGAAUACUUGCCACUCAAAUGCACUCUCCUACCUCUAGCUGAUUCUACUUGAUUCAACCUCUUCUUUUGUUUACACUCAUGAAUUUGGAUAAAAUAAUUAACAAGUUUGUCAUUAUUAUAAAAUCUCCUUUCACAAACACCACAUAAAUAUGGCUCAGCAGGCUUAAUUACACCCUUGCUUUCCAAUUGGUUAAACAAUUUUUCUCUUCUCUUUGCUCUCUUACAACUUGAGGCACAUAACUAAAUGCAUGGCUAUUGGCAUAUGCCACCAUGUAUUUAACAACCCAAGUGAAGAUAUUGAUUUGGGGGUUUGUUGUCCAAAUCCCUAAAAAUUCACACAUUGCGUUGGACAGUUUUUAGUUCUACAAUUAAUGAUACGUUAUGUGAAUUAAGCUCCAAAUGAGAACAUCUAAACAAUGAGACAAAUGGGCUCUAGGUUUCUAAUCAGUAAACAUCGUUCAGUCGCAUAAUUUAUGAAAUUUUUGAAACAUCACUACAGCUACAGGUCUUUAUGUGUCAAUGAACUGCAGAAACUAAUGAUCUACUAGUAGUAGACGUUUGUUGUCCCCACCGUUCCAGGAAGAAAAAUAAGUAGAAGAACUACUUUUAGACCAAAAUUAAAAAAUUGAAACUAUCUUGAAAGACUUUCCCUUCAACUAAGUAAAAAAGAAAAGAAAAAAAAAAGGUAUUAGACAAGCAUUUUCAAAGGAAAAAGAUCAUCCAUUUAUUGUAUGUACUCAGGAAAAAUAAAUGUACUAAUAGGUAGAAACACAGCAAUAAAACUCAAAAACUAACAUCUAUAAAGCUCAAUAACAAUUAUGAAUUAGAUAUUUUGGUCCCUUCAUAAUUCCUCCUCUUGACUUCACAUUUCCCCUCAGCCCGUGAUAAUUUUACCUAUUGAAUUCACAUUUCCCCUCAUCCAUUGAACUUUCCCAAUAACAAGAUGAGUCUAAAUCAUCAAUCUCAUUAAACACUCACAUCUACUAAAUAAUAUCGCAUGCAGUAACUUUAAGUAAGGAUCUAAAACUUACAAGAAAAAGAAAACUACUGUUUAUUAAUUUCAAAAUUUACACAAAAUUACAAAUGAUUUUAUAAACUGUACCAAAACAUGUUCUCUAAAAGAGAUUCAUUAUCCUGCAUUUUCAAAAACAAUAUAAACUAACACUAGAAUAGCCAUUUGAUAAUGAUGUGAAUUUGGGCAGCACCAAGAAGCAGUGAGCCCCAUUUGGUGAAAGCAAAAAGAAAAAAAAUUAAAAUAAAGCACUAUAAAUUCUAAUCAAAUUAUUAACAUUAGCUACACAUCAAGAAACCAGAAUAAAAUCGUUAUCUAAACCACAUACUGAAAAAGAAAAAACAAUGCAGUUAAAAUUCUAUCAUUUUCACUUACAAACAAAUAAAGAAAAAAUUAAGAACAAAGGUUGAAGCAAAGAAUGAUUGUACCUUGAGGUACUUGAGGUUAAUGUUUCCAUAAACGAGACCGAGCGAAAAAGCCGAAACCAGAGCAACCUAUUCUUACUACUCAAAAACACGCCCAGAUCAGAAAAUAAAUGAUCAUUCAAUAACAAUUCAUAGGAAAAUGAUGUUUGCCCCGGGUCAAACCCCGGGUCAAACCCCGAAAAUAACUUAAACGGCGUCGUUUUGAUUAUUUUUUUUCUUUUGGAAUACUCCAAAACGACGACGUUUCUGAUGAUAUUUUGAGAAGAAUAAAAUCUAUCUUCCUCUUCGUUUUCGUUUCUUCGUUUCACCUGUGAAAGAACAGAGCAACAGAGCAACAGAGAUCCCAACUUGGUCUUGUUCCGUUUGACCGUAAAUCUCUUCAUUUCUUCGUUUCUUCGUUUCUUCAAAUAACGGCAAUAUCACCCAAAACAAAGUUUCAUGCAAUGUUGUAAAAAAUAAAUUAUGAUUUGAGAACUGAAAAAAUAAUAUGAGAACUAAAAAAAUGAGACAAAUCAAGAAUAUGAGAACUGAAAAAAUUAAUUCAAUGUUACAAUGUUACAAUGUUCUAAAAACGAAGGCCAACUUCCUAAAAUAAAAUUAAAAAACAAAAUGCUACAAUGUUAAUCUUCGAAAAUUAAACUGAAAAAAUGAGACAGUACCGAAAAAAACAAAUCUUCGAAAAUUCAAGCUUGGCACAAUGUUAAUCUUUCGUCCAAACUCAGCUUUCAACCGUCCAAAUUCAGCUUGUCCAAACUCAGCUUUCAACCGUCCAAACUCAGCUUGUCCAAACUCAUCUUUCAACCGUCCAAACUCAGCUUUCAAGGACACAUUUCGCAGCCGAAACUCAGCCGAAACUCAGCUGCUGUUGGUCUUGUUCUUCAAUGGGUACCAAACGAAAAAGAAACGAAAAAGAAACUCAGACGCUUUCAACUCAGCUUCCAAGGACAAAUUUCGCAGCCGAAACUCAGUCGAAACUCAGUUGCUGUUGGUCUUGUUCUUCAAUGGGUGCGAAACGAAAAACAAACUCAGAUGAAGAGGAUGGAGCUUUAAUUAGUAGAUCCCGUUCUGCUGUCGAUGAGUGCUCCGGCUGUGGAUCUCGGUCGAGGAUGGAAGAAACGAAAAAGAAACGAACAAACGAAAAAGAAAAUAAAAGAAAACGACGCAAAUCAUUCAAUAAACAAACGAAAAAGAAAAAAAAAAAAGAAACGACGCAAACGACGCCGUUUAAGUUAUUUUCGGGGUUUGACCCGGGGCAAACAUCAGCACUCUUUCCUUUAUGAAUUGGGAAAAUGCUACUUUCCCCGGGUCAAACCCCGAAUUAUUUCAAAACGGUGUCGUUUUGUUUUUUUUUUUUUCUUUUUACUUGCAUGAAACGUGGUCGUUUGAGCUAGUAAAAACAAAACAAACUAAAGCAGAAAAAACUCAAGUGCUUAUCUUCUCUGCCCCUUUCUUAAUUUCCUUUUGACAAACCACGGAAUCACACCCACAAACAACAAUCACCCACAGUCACGCGAACAGCCGGCACAGACGAAGGAUGAGCCCACAGACGACGGACCACCGCAUUGAAAUCUCUGUCCACAUCACCGGCACCAUCAUCGUAGGUCUGUAACAAACUGUCGUAAGUUAAACCCUUCUCACCGUCGAUGAACUCGACGUAAGUACGGAAUACUUCGUCGAGAAUUGCGUUGAUUUGUUCGUCGCUGAAUUUGACUCGAGGGUUUACGGCCACCACUAAAGCCGCCAUUUCUUCUCUAUUACGGCCACCGUCGCGGUUCGUGUCAAAUUGUUGAAAAAUUCUCUUCACUUUCUCUGAUCUGCUUCCUCUCGUAGCCAUUUUUUUUUUCUGUUUUUCUGGGGGUCAGUUUGGUUUCUCAGUGUUUGUUUGAGAAAGCGGAAUUAGUAGAUAAGGGAAUAUAAGGAAAAGUUGAUAAAAAGGCAAAGGGUGGUUACUUUAAUUGUUGGUGAGAAUAAUGAUGAUGAUGGCUUAAUUCUGGGUUUUGUUGGAUCUGAAUGAAUUCUUAACGGCAAAAGUUAAAGAGUAGAAGAAGAGCAAGAGGACGGACUCUCAUUCUUUCCCUUUUUUCUUUUAAUUUUAAAUAUAUCAAAAACGGCAGCGUUUUGGAGAAACAAAAAAGAAAAAAAAAUUAAAACAAAACGACGCCGUUUUUGUUUUCGGGGUUUGACCCGGGGCAAACAUCAGCACUCAUUCAUAAAAACUCCAUCCCAUCGCAUUUAAAACAAAACAAAGAAAAUAUUGAUUAGAAAAAAAAUUACACGCAUGGAAUAAAAGAAUAUAAAAAUGGAAUUACCAGAGGGAGCUAGUGCCGGAGUAGGAACCAGAAGGCAGCGCCAUAUGAUGCUCUUGUUAUGGUUUUCCUUCUUGUGGGUCUGCGCUGAAGUCGAAGAUGAAGAAACAAGAAAGAGCCAGCAAAUUGAGAAAUCGACUACCAUCUUCGAUUCCGACUCGCAUGGCCAUUUUUCUUUGAUGAAUGAAAUAUUGUUUUACUCCCUAAUUCUUAACCAAAUUACAAGUUUUGACUUCUGUUUGUAUGUUCUUUCAUACGGGUUCUUGUUCACAGGAAUAACAAAUGGGCCGGACGUGUGGCUAAGCCCGGGCCUGGUGUCGAUAGCCAGGCCUGGGCUUUUACGAGCCCAGGCAUUUUAUUCUGAGUAUGAUCCUUAUAUCACUUCACUUUUGUAAUCGUAAUUUUAUUGUACUGAAAAUUAUAUGAACGAUUAAUAUGAAUUUAAUUAAACAAACAUGUCUUUACAACUCAUGCAACCUUACUAUUUUCUAAUCCUAAUAUGUGAUAUAAUUAAUUUUACUGAUAAAAUCAAAAUAAUUUUUAAACAAUGAAGAAAUAAAUUAUAAUAACAGUAAAUUUAUUACGAAAAAGUAUGUUUACAAAAUUUAUUUUAAAUGAUAUGAAAUCUAAUUAAAAUUCUAUUCUAAUUUUAUGCCCUUUUUUACAAUUUUAUUAAAAAGUGGGAUCUCUUAAGAUUUUAGGAGUGUUGGAAUUCUAUUUUUCCAGAUUUGAAUUUUAGUGACCUUUACUUCAUUUAAAUUUUUUGUUAUAAACUUGCAAGCAAGUGCAUUUAGGAUAUCUUUGGUGAACUGGAUUGUAACAAUAAUUUUAUUUAUUAAAAUUAUUAAAAGUAUUUAAUUAAUAAAACUUCACGUAUCCUCGGGUCUAACCAAUCAAAUUCUUUCUCUCAAAAGUACACAAAAGUGAGAUUGGCUCUUGCCUAUUAGUUAACAUAUGCAUAUUAAUUAACACUGACAGAUAUAUAGAUAUACAGCACAGCUAGCAGCACAUUCGACUUACAGAUAUACAGAACUUGAACAUAAUUCACAUAUCUGAAGGGAGAGGGAUAUCGAUGUUGCGGCCUGCAAUUCAUAACAUAUCAUCGGUCAUUUAAUCUAGAAUUGAGGAGAGAAAAUGAGUCUAAAUUCGAAAACUUUGGCACUAUUUACAUAUCAUUAUUUGGGUGAAAAUUCAUUUCUCUGCUUUGAUAUGAUUUGGUCUUUCAUUGUUACGGUGCCAAUUUUUUAUUUAAAGAUGUAAGGUAGUGGUACUAUAGCUUAUAUUUUCCGUAAUUACUAUCCGGUAAGUACAAAAAUAAAAUACUAGUUUAAAAUAUAAAAAUGAAAAAUUAUUUUUAUAACCAAUAUUCAAUUAAAUACAUUUAAAACUCUAUUUUUUCUUAAUAAAAAAAAUUCUAAUUUAUUUUCUCAAUUUAUCUAAACAACUUUACCUAAUCAAGCUAAAUCUACAUAUUACCCUAAACCUUAAUUCAUAAACACCCAAUCAAUCUAAUUGUUAAAUCUUAUUUCAUAAUAAAAAAAAAUUAAUUUCUUUUUUAUUAUUUAUGGUGCAAAGGAAAAAAUGAAUUUAAAGGUAAAAUUGAUAUUUUAUUUAAAUUUUGUUAAUAUUCUAAUAAUAUUAAUGUCUUGGUGGUUAAUAAAAGCAUAAAGUUAAACUUUUGUAGUAUUUUUAAUAAUAUGGUAAAGAUAUAUGUUUGAUAAUUUUCUUAUGUCUUUUUACGUUAAAUUGAGUCUCAAGUAUAAUGAAUAAAUAAUACAUAUUAUAAAAUUAGUGUAGAUAAAUAAUACAACUUGAAAAUAUUAUAGUAUUCUUAAUAAUAGAGAAAUUUAAAGGUGGAUAGUUGAUUGUUUAAUGAAACAACUACAGAAUUUUCCUUUCAAAUAUCUUUUUGAAAAAACAUGAUUGAGUAAAAAUUAUUUUACAGAAUGACCUUUCAAAUGCCCAUUCGACAAGCCAAGAAGAAAGGGUAGCUAACAAAUUUACAAGUACCAGAGAUCCAGAAACACAUUUAUAGCCAAUCCAUUUAUGAGUUACAUUCAACACUCUCACAAACUGAAAAAAUAAAAAUUAUUACGGUCAAGACGCACACUUUUUGACAUCCAAAAAGCUAAACAUUUGAAGUUCUUCAAUACAAAAUGCAUACUAAAUUGGCACAAUUAAUGCCCAUGGAAGGGUCAUCAAUUUAAGCCAACAAAUUUGCCAAAGUUUUAACAGUGAACACAAAAGGAACAUGUAAAAUUUGAAGUUGAACAAAUCUUCACAUGCAUACAACAAGCCUUAAAACUUUAGUCUUCACAAUUUGAGCACGCAAUAAAUAUUAAGUGACCACCCGCAGAACAAGUCUAGAAUAAACUUGUUAGGUUCUUGCGCGAACUGAACCCCUCUGAAACACUAAAAGAGAAAGUACAAAAUAAAGAAGACCAUAUUACGUGGCUAACUAACAGCCAUUCCCAAAGAAAUGAGAGUGAUGAUAACGUCUUUUUUUUUUUUUUUUCCUUUCAAUCAUAUUUCUCGUCAUCUUCUUCUUCACGGGCAUCUACACUGACGUCUCCCUCUUGGCUGGCAUCUUCCUCGUUUGUAGUCGGUCGCUAUCCAACCAACAAAUUGGGCAUUAAAGAACAAACAGAGAAAAUUAUAACAAUAAGAACUAUAAACAUGAAAAGAAAAAAAAAAAAAAGAUAUUUGAAGGGAAAUUUUGGUAGAACUCUAUGGCUCAUCCGUGAAAUUAAUGUUAAUAUAUAUGUUUAUGUAAUGACGGUCUAUUGAUUUUAGGAUAGAUCAAUAAGCUAUUACAAACGAAAACAUGAACCAACUAUAUGUAGAGUUAAUUAAUUUAAAGUUCUCAAGAGCUUACCUCUGCUCCAGAAUUCUCGGAAUCAGCGCGAAACUUGGGACAACGACAAACGCGUGCAAGUGGAACUGGGAUCUGAUAACCCGUAGGCCAAAAGUUGGUGAGGUUUGGUAAAUCUUUCAGACUCACGUACGGAAGUUCGUCCAUAACAAUUUCAUCGUAAUCCAUGACGUGUGCUCCAUCUUUAUCCCAGAAUACUUCUUCUAAUUCAUCAUUACUAAAUAUCUCUAGUUUCAUUAGUUUUUGAAGACUUGGAGCUACGCUGAUAUGAAAUAGAUACUUUAGUUUGGGGCAAUGACCGACAAAGAUCCAUGUGAGUUUUGGGAAACAUAUAGGUUGGAGAUGAUCCUCAUCCUCAUCCUCAUCAAUGAUUUGCUCUAAUUCCCAGCAUUUCCAAAUAUAUAACUUCUCCAAUUGCAACAGAUUUCGAGCAAGUGUUGAUGAGAGGAGACGUCUCAGCUUAAUGCACCCCCUUACGGUUAAAUCAGUAAGAUUUUGCAGGCUAAAAUUAUGGGUGGGACCUUCAUGAUAUAAUAAUACUUGCAGUUCUCGAAGAUCUUCCAAUUGCAACGACUCCAAACAUGGGAAUAGUUUGUUUUCUUGUCCCUCAGCGAUAAUAGCUUCCACUUGAAAUACCACCUGUACUCCAAUUUCCACAAUAUUCAAUUCUUCCAAAUUUUUUAAUCCAUGCUUCAACAGUGCGGGAAUUGUGUCACACAAAUGGGAGCAAUCUUCCACAUCUAGAGUAUUUAAGUUCUGAGACAAAUAAAUAAAUAACUUGAUACAAUUAACAUCUAUUAGCAGCUACGAUUAUCACAUGAUAAGCAAUAAACUAACACCAAAAAAAAAAAAUCUAAAUCCGUACAAAAUAGUUAUACUUUAUGAAAGUAAUGGAUUUAUUAAAAAAAUGAAAUUAGUUAAAAGAGAUCGUGUGAAGUGAUAUAAUGGUGAAAUCGGUUUGUUUAUGAAAAUUUUGUAUUCUAUUUCUAUGGCUUGAUUAACGAAUUAAUUGAAUUUGCUUAAUAUUAUAUGUACUCCACCAGUGUUUGCAUCCAUUUUUUUUUCCUUCAAAAGCGAAGCGAGAUUUGACUUUCAUUUGAAGAAUGAAUUUUAGGCCCUAAAAUAAGGAAGUUUCCCUAACAUAUUGGAUUUUAUUAUUAUCAUCACCAUUAGCACUACGAUCAUCAUCAUCAUCUCUCUCUACAAAGCCAAAUGCAAGGUGGUAUGAAUGGCGGAUCAUAAAAAUUAUUGAUAAACUAUCAAUUUGAAUAAAAUUGAAGAAAAAUAAAGAAAAAAACAUAAACACAAACGAACAUACCUCUCCAAGAUACUGCAAAUUGGCUUCAAGUUCAGUAUUGUGGACAGUCAAGUUUGGACAGCUGGUUACAUCUAACUUUUCCAACGCUGGCCAAGUUGAAUAAUAAUUUUCUGAACAAAAGCUAAUGAGUUGGGAGACCUUCAAGGCUUAAAUUUCUCAACAAAGAGAGCUCGAGUAUUCUAUUUUCAUCUGCUACACUUAUUUCCCCUUCAUUAUGAUCAAACUUUACUUUGACGAUGCAUUCCAGUCUCUCGCAUCCACUCACUUCGAGACUUUUAAGCUGCACCAAACUUCGAGCUUGUGACAACGAGAAGAUAUAUGUCAAGUUGUUGCAUCCGUACACACUCAGUGCUGUAAGAGUUUGGAGGCUCACAUGUUGGGCGGGCGCCUUCCAUAUCUGCUUCAGUUCUGGUAACUCCUGCAUAUAUAACCUUGCUAAUCUUGAGAGCAUCAUAGGAUUCCCACUCUCUCCUUGCGGCGACUGAGAGGCAUCCAUUAUGCAUUCUAAAUCUUCACAAUUGUUGACAAAAAGAAAAGUCAACUUAUUUAAGCCCCUUGGAUCUAUGCUUGGCACAAUAUUAUGACAACUUAUUAUGUCAAACAAAGGUUUCAAUGCAGAAAAUAAUUCUUUCGUAUAUUCUUCUCCAAAUCAGAGGCAAUAUAUGAAGCUAAUUACAUCCUAAAAAAGGAAGAAAUAAAUUGUUUCUAUAUUUAAAUACAAGAUUGAUCAACUAAAAAGAUUCCCGGACGUAAUAACAAAAUCAAUUCUAUAAUUGACAGCACAUGCCGACAGCUCAUGCUAGCUCAUGCCGACACUCCCCCUCAAGUUGGAGCAUAGAUAUCUAUCAUGCCCAACUUGUCAAUUAUAUCAUGAAACACCCUUCCUGAUACUGUUUUUGUGAGUAUGUCAGCCAACUGAUCUCCAGAUUGAACAAAUGGGAACUGUAUAGUUUUCUCGUCAAGCUUCUCCUUGAUGAAAUAACGAUCUACUUCAACAUGUUUUGUGCGAUCAUGUUGUACAUGAUUCUGGGCAAUCUCUAUGGCUACUUUAUUAUCACAUUUAAGAUUCAUGGGUUUUGCAUAAUCAAUCCCCAAAUCUUUCAGUAUGUUCUUGAUCCAUAACAUCUCACAUACACCUUGUGCCAUUCCACGAAAUUCCGCUUCAGCGCUUGAUCUUGCCACAACCUUCUGCUUCUUGCUUCUCCAAGUGACGAGAUUGCCUUCAACAAAUGUAAAAUAACCUGAGGUAUAUCUUCUUGUUGUCUGGUCACCUGCCCAAUCAGAGUCCGUAUAUCCUUCAAUGUUUGAGACAGUAUUUUUUGAGAACAAUAAACCUUUUCCAGGAGCACACUUCAAAUAUCUCAGAAUUCGAUAGACUGCAUCCAUAUGUUCUUCACUUGGUGAAUGCAUGAAUUGGCUUACUAUACUUACGGCAUACGCUAUGUCUGGCCUUGUGUGGGAUAAAUAGAUUAACCUCCCAACUAGCCGUUGAUAACGACCCUUAUCAUUUGGUAAAAUCCCAAGCUUGUGAUUCAUCUCUAUAGGCGUUUCAACUAGUUUACAAUCAAGCAUACCAGUUUCAGUGAGGAGAUCUAACACGUAUUUUUGUUGUGAAAGAAAAAUUCCACUUUUCGAUCUUGCUACCUCAAUCCCCAAGAAGUAUUUAAGCUGCCCAAGAUCUUUCAUUUCGAAUUCAGUAGCCAAAUGUUCUUGUAGUGCUUUCAUUUCAGAUAAAUCAUCCCCUGUUAACACCAUAUCAUCAACAUACACUAUUAACACCGUCACUUUUCCGCCUUUGUGUUUUAUAAACAAAGUAUGGUCUGAAUUACUUUGUUUAUAACCAGCAGCUUUCAUUGUCGCUGAAAACCUCCCAAACCAUGCCCUAGGUGACUGUUUUAGUCCGUACAAGGACUUCUUCAGCUUACAUACUUCAUUCCUAUGCAUAGAACUAUGUUUGACACCAGGAGGUAGCUCCAUGUAAACUUCUUCUUCUAAAUCUCCAUUGAGAAAAGCAUUUUUGACAUCGAACUAUUUUAAGGGCCAAUCUCGAUUUGCUGCUAUAGAAAUAAUAAUACGAAUGGUAUUUAUCUUGGCUACUGGUGCGAAAGUGUCUUGGUAAUCUAAUCCAUACCUUUGUGUAUAUCCCUUUGCCACUAGUCUCGCUUUAUACCUAUCAAUGAUUCCAUCCGCUCUGAGUUUUACCGUGAAUACCAUCUACAUCCAAUUGUUUUCCUUUCCUUAAGUAGUGAAACCAGUUCCCAAGUGGCAUUUUUUUGUAGAGCUUCCAUCUCUUCAUUCAUCGCCUUAGUCCAUUUUGGAUCCUCCAAAGCAUCCUGUACACUACUAGGAAUAGAUAUAGUGGAUAAUUGAUUAAUAGUAAGUGCAUAUGAUUCACACAACCUAUGAGAUGACAUGUAGUUACUGAUUGGGUAUUUUAUUUUGGAUUUGGGAUCAGGUUCAUAUUGUUUAUUUGGAAUUCCUCUAUUUGACCUUUGUGGAUAUUUAGGAUUCAUGUCUUCUACAGAAAAAAAUGGUUCAUUAGACUCAUUAGACAAUGGAUUUGAAAUUACAUGAGGAGGAACACUUUCGGUUAAUUCUUCAGUUAAUGGUGUAGACAUGGGUAGCUCUAGUGGCCUUGAUUGUGCUUCAGACAUGUCCAGAAAAUUGGAGGGAUCACAUUCGGUUUCAGUCAUGUUAUCACACCCUUGUUGAACCUCAUUUCCAUCACUGUUUUGAAGUUUUUCGACCAUGUCUUCUAAUUCUACAAAAUCACCUCCUCCUUCAUUUUCCCUUUGACCAUUCUCUUCACACAAACUCUCCCCCUGGAGGGAAUGGUAAGAGACUCCCCCUGAGUAAUAAGGUUCUAAUUCAUGAAAAGAGACAUCCAAAGUUACAUGCAAUUUUUUUGUGUGUGGAUCAUAGCACCUAUAACCUUUUUGAAGAUCAGAAUAGCCAAUAAAAACACAGCGUUUGGCACAUGGAUCAAGUUUAGUUCGUAAACUUUUUGGAAUGUAAGCAUAAACAAUACAACCAAAUAUUCGGGGUUCAAGAUUAGGAAGAUGAGGAAUUGAGAGUAAGGAUUGCAUUUUUUGUUGGGGAGUUUGAAAAUCUAGCACUCGUGAAGGGGUUCGAUUAAUGAGAUAAGCUGUCCCCAAUAAAACCGAGGCAUGUUCAUGCCAAAAAGAGAAGCACGAACCACCUCUAAAAUCUGUCUAUUUUUCCUCUCAGCCAGCCCGUUUUGUUGUGGGGUGUAAGUGCAUGAGGUCUGAUGACGAAUUCCAUGAAUGUUUAAAAACUUGCCAAGAGAGGCAUCCAUAUACUCAGUACCAUUGUCAGAUUGAAGUACACGAAUCUGCUUUUGAUAUUGAGUACUUACCAUUUUGUGAAAUUCUUGAAAGGCUAGACAUACAUCGCUUUUUUUUAUAAGUAAAGACACCUAAAUCAUUCUAGUACAUUCAUCAAUAAAUGUCACAAAAAAACGAGCUUUAGAAAGAGAAGCAACUUUUGCAGGACCCCAAACAUCGGAAUGAAUCACCACAAAAAGGUUCUAGACUUUUAUUUAAACUUGGUAAAUAAGAAGUGCGAUGGCUUUUAGCCAUCUCACAAAUGUCACAAUGAAAAUUCAAAUCAUUUAGAGUUGAAAAAAGAUGAGGCUGUAAUUUUUUGAGAUAACCAAAAGAAAGGUGUCCUAAUCUACGAUGCCAUAACCAAACAUUUGCCCGAGUUCUAUCUUUAUUAGAAGCUUGAUUUGCCUGACUGAUAUUUGGUCCCUCAUUUUCUGUCAAUUCCAAGUAAUAGAGUUUACCCCGUCUAACACCAUAAUCAAGAAUCUUCCGAGUUAGGAUGUCCUGAAAAACACAAAAAGCGGGCCAAAACGUUACAGUGCAAGCAAGUGUGGAGGUAAUUUGGCUAACCGACAAAAGAUUAUAUUCAAGAGAUGGGACAACAAGAACUGUAUCUAAUGUAAGAGUAUUACUCAAGGUAAUAGACCCUUCCCCAAUAAUAGGAGAAGUACUACCGUUUGCAGUGGAGAUAACAGAUUGAGAAGAGGGAAGAACAGAUUUUAAUUGGCUAGAAUCUCUGGUCAUAUGCUCAGAUGCACCUGUAUCAAUAAUCCAUAUUCUAUUCUUAGAAGUUACAGAACAUACAGAUGUCUUACCAAUAAUACCUGGGUGGGCAACAUUUGCUGAAGGGGAUGGUUGUUCUUCAUCCUUUGCUGCUGUCACAUUAGCCUUCCCAGAUAUUUUCUUACGGGGCUUCUUUGAGAAAUCCCACCAAUCUGGAUAGCCAAUGAUUUCAUAGCAGCGUUGUUGUGAAUGACCUUUUUCUCCGCAGUGAGUGCACACAAGGUUGUUAACUUUGCUGGAUGAUUGAUUGCCUCGAUUUUUUGAAGAUCCAUUUCGGUUUUGACUGGCCAGCAUGGCAAGGUUCUCCGAAAUUAAAUUAGAGCCUCUCAUUGUUUGUCUCUGUUGGUAAUCCCUUCUAACAUAAGCAUAUGUGCUUUCUAAAUCAAGUUUUGGGUAUUUUCGCAAUAUUUCUCCACGAACCUGUUCAAACUCUGAGUCGAGGCCACUUAGAAAAAUAUGAACUCGAAGCCUAGCCAUUGCAGAAUGCAGCUGUAAUAGCCCUUCGACUGUGCCUUCUUUAGUGGUAGUCCUAUGAUCGAUUUCCUGAAAAAUGGCAACCAGUUCAUUGUAAUACGUUGGCAAUGGUCGCCCAUCCUGUUUGGUAGAGAAAGAUCUCUGGUUCAGCUCAAAAAUACAGGUUUCAUCGGUUCCAUCAUAGAAGGUUUUCGAUACAGCCUCCCAUAUAUCUUUGGCUGUAGGGAGACGAAUAAAUCGUUGCAUCAACGAUGGACUCAUUGAGUCAAUCAACCAGCUCUUGACUCUUUGAUUUUCAGUAAUCCAUGAUCCAAGAUUAGGAUCUCCUGGUGCUGGUUUCUUCGUUUCUCCAGUAAGAUAACCAGCUUUGUUGCGAGCACUAAUCCGCAUCUCUAUGAGUUGAGACCAUAAUGAGUAGUUGGUCUCAUCCAGAGUGAUUCCAGUUGGAAAUGCCGAGUUGUCUUGAUGAACAACAACUUGUGGUGCUGGUGGUGGGAUAAUAUCCAUUGAUACGCCUGUGAUAUCAGUCAUAGAGAUCACAACAACGGUGAAUAUUCAGAAUACGAAUACAAAUUUCGAGAGAAAAAAAGAAAAAAGAAAAUAUUCGGUUGUCAACACAAAUUCUCUUGAUGAGGAACCUGCUCUGAUACCAUGUCAAACAAAGGUUUCAAUGCAGAAAAUAAUUCUUUCGUAUAUUCUUCUCCAAAUCAGAGGCAAUAUAUGAAGCUAAUUACAUCCUAAAAAAGGAAGAAAUAAAUUGUUUCUAUAUUUAAAUACAAGAUUGAUCAACUAAAAAGAUUCCCGGACGUAAUAACAAAAUCAAUUCUAUAAUUGACAGCACAUGCCGACAGCUCAUGCUAGCUCAUGCCGACAUAUUAUCCUGCUCAAAUCAAGAAAUUCCAGAUUUUGAUACAAUGCUGAAAAAAUAUUGAGCGAGGUCGCUUCAAAAGGGUAAUCAAUGAUUAAGCUCCUUGUCUUAUCAGCAUCUUCCAUUUUAUAGUCAACUCCUUCACCUUUAAUCGUGUACCUUUGCAAUUUUGGGAAUGUAAAAUCUUUUGAAAGAUAUACAACAGAUCUGCCAACUUGGAAGUUAAACUCAGCAAGCCUAGCAUUACUUUCUUCUGAACUCAUCACUUCAACCUCCCAAUCUUUUAUCCGACCAUAAAAUUCUUCUAAUUGAGGAAAUUUUUUUAUCGUAACGGGAGAAACAGAACCAGUAUCAAUAUAUAGAAGUUUCAAUCUACGAAGUUCAUCCGACAAAUCUUCAGGAAUUUCAAUGGGAGAAUUCUCGAGAUAAAGAAGUUCAAGUCUUUUCAACUUUCCAAGAAAAGACGCGUCACUCACAUGACGUCCAAUCAACUGCAGAACUCUGAGGCUAUUGGCAAGGAAUCGAAGCGAUUUUAGUGAAAGGACUCCAUUGAUUAUAGUAACAACUUUCAAUGCUGGCAUCCCUUCAAAAAAAUUUUCUGGAACUUGCAAUUUGUAGCGAUAUAGAUUAUUGUGCAGUCGCAAAAUAUGAAGGUUAGGGCAUACCAAACGACUAGGAAGCUCUUCUUGUUUAUUUCCCAUUACAGAGAUUCCUCUAUAUUGCUCCAGGCCUUCUUCCAUUGCCCGUUCUACCAAUCCAAUGCCAACUUUACUAAAAAAUUUCUUCUCCACUAGUGCUUCUGAGCCUAUCCAUAUGGCUACAUCACGAACUAUGUCAUGCAUUUUCACAGAUCUGUCAUUACCAGUGUCUAACAGCAGUGAAGCAGCUUUGAGUCCCUCAAUUAUUCCACGCAGUAGGCUUCUGGCGUUCUCUAUCGACUCAGCUGGAUGCCAAAUCAACCCCACACCGUAUCCAACCAAAACCUCCAAAUAAAUGUCAUAAUCUUCUGGAAACAUCGAACACAACAAGAAGCAUAACUUGGAAUCCUCACCAUUCAAAUUGUCGUAACUAAAUUUAAGACAACCACAAACGUUUCGCUCAUCCUUAUCAAUCCCUUCGAUUGCAUAGAGUUUUGCUUCCCUUAGGUUAUGUAGAGCUAGAUUCCAUUCAUCAAAUCCUUUUCCUCUUAGUGCACUUCCAACAGCUUCAAUAGCUAAAGGCAGCCCCUUACAUUCUCCAGCAACAUCUUUGGAAACAUCAUUGAAGGUGGAGUCAUUCACAUCAAUGCCGGCAUUUUUUUGCAGUAAAGCCAAUCCUUCUUCUGGCGUUAGUGUACCCAGUGGAAUCUGCGAGUCACAACGCAUGCGUUCACAAACUGACUGCAGGCGAGUAGUUAGAAGGAUUUUGCAGCGAUUGUCUCUAUCACCAAUGGGUAUACCUAAUUUUUCCUUCAAGUUUAGUUCGUUCCAGACAUCAUCGAGGAUUAUGAGGAUUUUGGUGCUUUCGCUCGCAGAAAACAUCGAGCGCAGUUGGUCUGCUCCAUCUUUUUCAUCUUUCUGCUUUAAUUCCCAACCUAAUGAAUUUACCAGCUCAUUUUGAACAUUUAUUAUGUUUGGAUGCUGAGAUACAGUGGCUAGCCCCACUUUAUCGAAAAUCUUUUGUUGCCGAAGUUGACUGCCCACAAAUUUUGCCAAGGUCGUCUUUCCUACACCACCGAGGCCAUGCAAUCCCACCUUCUUUGUGCUCUCUUUUUUCAGCGCGUCAAUGAUCAGAUUGUAAGCUGAUUCUGUGGUCUUGUAAGUAGAAGAAAAAUAACUUGGUAAACUUAAUUCUCUCUCUAAUGGUGGAGGUUUAGCAAGGGCAGCUGUGUUGAAUUGGCUGUAGUGUUGUAGCAGAUCAAACAACUUCCUAGUCUUCUCUGAUGCUUUUCCGCCCAGACUAUAUCGGCAACCCCAUUCAGGACACAAUCCAUGAAGACUACUAUCCUUUUUAUCUAUCUCUGCUUUCAACUUUUGAAUAUCGCCCAAUUCCCCGUCUACAUCCUUCAGCCACUCCGUUACAUUUUGAUCGACUACUAUGUCGGGGCGUUUUUGUCGUUGAUCUUCUAUUCUCUUAUUGAUGACAUCUAGUGCCUUCUUCAACUUAGUUUGUUCAACCUCAAGUUUUUUCACAAUGCGGUCGAAACAGAAUAGAUAGGAAGUUCUUUGAUUUCAUUCACCAAAUAUUUUCCAAUCGAUUCUAAAAGUGGUUUAAAAAUUUCUUUUAAACAAUCUUUUAAAAUUUCCAUGCUAUUUAUCUGCAAAUAAAAAAGUUGAUCUCAAUACGCUAUAAGCAAAAGAACGAGGCUUGAUCACAAGAUCGAAUGAAGACGUUUAAUUACCUUUUUUUGUUAUGUGAAUGCACGUUUAUUAACACCAGCUUUUUUUUUUUUGGUCUAAUCCAUCCGGUAUCCGGUGACCACAUUGGGCCCCGACUACUCCGGAUUCGGAGAGAGGGCGUAAUUCUCCUCCCAACGUAGGCGACUCCACCAAGACUCGAACUGGGGAGCAAACCCAGUCGAGCCCCUGAGGGGUUCAGCCCGCUGCCAACUGAACCAACCAGUCGUUGGUUUAUUAACACCAGCUUUGAUCAAUAAGAGCAAAAUGCAAACGCCGGGCUUCAAGAGUUCUAAGUGGCCUUUAGCUGCAGAAUAGAAGAUGACAAAUAAGGUAAAACGUUCCCAGCAAACGUGAUAUGUGGUGGACUUAAAAUGAUACCUUAUUUGGGAUGAUAAAGAUUGGGGUAAAUUCUCUUUUGUUCUCAAAAUUUUGAACCUAUUAUCAGUUGUAGUAUUUGUAUUUUUAAAAAUUACCUAAAACAUGCAUGUCACUACUUUCAUAGCUAUUGAACAUUUCAUUUCAAAUAUAAAAUACUAUAAAUUAAAAAUCAAACAAAUCUAUCAUGCAACAAACGAAAAGUAAAUACUAAUAAUUAGGUUUUAAUGGAAACUAAUAUAAAACAUAGAGGUUUUAAUUAAUUUUUGUGAUUUCUUUUAAUGUUCGAUUUAGAAUUGAAUAAUUUGUAUAAGGAAAAUAAACUGCAAAAUAAGUUUAUAUGCCGAACUUAAAAUAGUUUCAUAUUAGUAAUCAUAUAAUUAUCAAAUUUUUUAAUAAAAUUUAUUUAAAAAUUGACCAAUUGCGUUUCAUGAGGAAAACAGAGAGCAUAAUGGACUUAUGUUGCGACUUGGGAUUGAAAGGCCAGAAGGUAGUGUUAGCCUAUAUGGCUAUAAAAUAUUGAUUUUGAUGAUAACAAACCACAUGUAUUGACUAAGCAAAGAUUUAUAAAUUAUGCUUUUAUAAUAAGAAAAUAAUGUUAUGGAAUUAAAGUAUUUUGGACUAAAAUGAAAGUAUUUUAAAAUCUUUGAUAGUGUUUUUAAAUUUCGGAUUUGGACCUAUUUAAAACUAUUUAAAUGUUUUUGGGUCAUUCUAUAAGUAUGGGUCAGUUGAAAUUUAAUGGAAAAGUUUACGACAUAGUCAAAGUUCGAGAGCUAUUUUCAAUUUGAGGAUAAAACAAUGUUGCAAUUGUUGGCUUGUUGCAACAUUCCAUAACUUUUGUGUAUUUGUGGCUUAAGUAUAUGGCAGUCCUUGAUAUUGUAUAUUACAUAUAUCCUGCCUUCAACUCACUGAGAGUAAGAGUGCCACUGUUGUCAGUGUCCAUCUCUCUAAAUUUUUCCGUUAGCUUUUGCUUUUCUCCUGUUGGAAGAUUUUCCACAAUGACCUGAAAAUCCACUCAGUUUUAUCAGUAGAGGAAGCACAAUUAAAUGCAUAAAUUUAAUGGCUUGCACAUAUAUAGCUAACUGAAUAUAAUAACAAGUACUUCGCAAUAAAACAUUGUUGGUGAGGAAGUGCAGAUGCAGAAAUUCGAUCAAGCAUUUAACUAAUGAUUGUCGCUGUUGUAUCCAAUUCUCAUACUUAGCCCUAAUCUGAGCUAGCUCCUAAAUGGGAAGAAUCUUUUUAAUUACAUGCGUAUGUAUAUAAUUAUUAGUUAGCUAGUUGUGGUCAAUGUGACCUGUAUUUUAUCAAUGGAAUUUUAAUCAGGUGUGCGCGACAUCACACAUUGUGCACUAGAUCAAUCCUCUUAUCAAUUAAUAUAUAUUAUAUAUAGAUAUAGACACGUAUGUGAGUGGAGGAAGAAAAAAAAAUUAAGAAUAAUUUUGGCAUUUUGAUGGGUUUUAUAGAGUAAAAUCUAUAUUUUCAAAUAUGAUAAUUCUUUAAUUUAAUUUGGUGUUAUGAAAAAAGGGCAUUUUAAAUAUGUUUUAAGUUAUAAAUAACUCCAUCCAAAAUUUAAAAAUGAAAUCUGGGGGGGGGGGGGGGGGGAGGAGGGGGGGAAUUUCACCCGAACUAACAAAGGCCCAGAGUAGCCGCGGCUUUUUUCACCAAUUCUCUAAUUCCCAAUGUGGUCUAAUUAUUUACAAGGAAUAUGAGAUUCUCUACCACUCCAAUUUAUCCCAUUGUUAGUAAUCUUAUUAGCUGUUUUAUAUCCUAUUUUUAUUAUGCUCCCCAAACAAAUAUGUUUCACCUAAAGGUGCCCAACGGGCUGCACCGUCCGUCUGAAUGAACGCAUGAGAGGCUCCACAUGACCCGGCAAUCUUUUUCUUUUUAAUGAGGGCGUGACUGAUAUGCUUUUUCAAGUCUAACGCUCUUUUUUUUAAAAUCCAUAUAUUUUUUUAAGCUCAUGUCAAAUUCGGUAGUAAGAGAAUGCAAUGCUAGUUAAUAAGUUAAAGUGCAUCCGUGCCACUUUUUUCUUGUUGUUUUAUUUGUAUGAUAAUUAUCAUGGACCCACGUAACUUUCUUUUCCAUUUAAAAUUUUAUAAUAUAUUAAAUUAGACAAAAGAAAUGAAUCCCACAAAUAAUUUAUUUUAUAAUUUUUUAAAUAAUACUAUUUUAAAAUAAAUUAUUAAAACAAAUUUUAUAUUCACUAAAAUUAAUCAUAUUCAUAUUAUAAAAUAUAAAAACAACAUUUGAAAAAUAAUAUCAAAUACACCCUUAAAUUUUAUAUCGGCACUAGAACCGAUGAACAAUUUUUGACAAAGAUGUUGCGACCUAAGUAGGGAUAGCAACUAAAUUCGGAUCCAACUCGGAUAUGUAAGGAUCCGAAAGAUCCAGAUCCAGAAAAUUUUUUAUCUGAAUAUUAAAAAAUGUUGAUCCGGAUAUAGAAAUUUGGGAUCUGCACGGAUUGGGAUGGAAGUACAUUCGGAAAAUUGGAUGUCGAGAUCCGGAUAAAUUUUGUUUCAAAUUAAAAAUAUAUAUUAAAAAUUAAAUAAAAAUUAAAAAAGUAAAUUUUAUUUGUGGAUUUAUGAUGUUGUUGUAUAUUAUUCAUGUUGAAUUAUUAAUUGUUGGAUUAUGAUUGAAUUUUGUUUGAAAUUAUUGGGUAAAUUUUUGAAUUUUAUUUUAAAUUAAAAAUAUUUAUUAAAAAUUAAAUAAAAAUAAACAUUAAAUUUUAUUUGUAAAUUUAUGAGAUUAUUGUAUGUUAUUCAUUUUGAAUUAUUAAUUGUUGAAUUAUAAUUAAAUUUUAUUUGGUAUUAAUAGGUAAAUUAUUAAACUUUCAAAUUAUAUAUUAAAUUAUUUAAUUUUAAAUUUUGCAGAUCCGAAUAUCUAGAAUAUUUGUCCGCAUAUUUUUUUACGAAUCCAGAUAUAGAAAUAUGAAUAUGGAUCCAAAUUCGGAUUUUGACAACCCUAGACCAAAGCAUGAAUGUGCCUAAAGUUUUUACUAAGAACAUGGAUCAUUCAAUGACCCGACAUGUUUUGCAGCUCUCAUUAGUAUAAUUGAAUAAUUAAUUCAUCUCUAUAUUCAGCUUACACCGUCUCAAAUUGCAUGCAAAUACGAAAGUACACAUCUGAAUCGUUCACUUGAGGAAAAUUAAUUUUAACGCAAUAAGUCCUAAUUCUCCACGUAGAAUUUUAAUUCAAAGCAUAGCAAAUUAGACAUAAUUCUAAUUUAUAUGGGAAAUAUAAUUAGCGAAGACACUCUUUAUAUAAACAUUAUUGUCAUAGGAUGCCAAACCUAAUAAGAUUCAAGAUCUUAACAUACUUCAUAUGAAAUUUGAUCUUGGCGCGUACCGACACGCUUAACAUCAAGACUCUACUUCAUAUAAUGUAACUUCAUGGAUUUUUUGCUCUCUUGUGAAAUUGACAAUUAUUGGCGCUGUGUGGCAGUGGUACAUAAUAAAAUAAACGUUUAUUUUUAGAAUAUUAUUAUUUAUCUCAAUUUUUUAUUUAAUAGUUAAUUUUAAUAAAUUCUUAAACUGUCAUAAUCAAUUAAUUUUUUACAUUAUGGCAUCUUAAAUAAAUUUUGGAUCUAUAAUAAAUAAAAACUGGUAACGUUUGUUCUAUUAAAACAUAAAACAACCGUAACAUUGGUUUUUACAUUUUGAAUUUUUCUUGCAUCACUAUUUAGAAAAAUGAUGUUAAAUCAACUCACAAAAUAUAUCAAGCCAUCUAAAAUCCAAAUAUUAUUACAUUUGUAUUUGCAUUGUUAAAUUGUUGGAACGACGGCAAAGCAAUUGAAAAGAGAUUAACAAAAAAGUAAAGAUUGGCCAAGGAUUAUUCAUGUUUAGGAAAUGCCUUAACUUUUGAUAUAAUCAUUGUUAUAAUUAUAUUGUAGAAAUAAUCAAUUACCUAAUGUUUGUGGUGGUAAAUAUUAUUAACUUGUUUUACUAUACCCAUGUUUAUGUUGGUCUCCUUUUUGUCCAUUUCUGUACAACGAAAUAUUUGCAUGUUUCGAUAGAAAUUGGUUUAAAUGACAUUUAAAAUAGUAUAUCCCCAGACAAUUAACGAAAAAUUUGGAUGGUAGGAUGAAGUAAUAAGUAGUUUUACAAAUUACCGUAUUAGAGGUAAAAAAAAAUCAAGAGGUUACUUGACAAUUAUGACAUUACUAACUACAAAUUUAACACAAAAAGUUUAAUUAACUUUUCUUUUUGAGAUGACAAAAUCUCUGGUGUUGAAAACAAUGAGGUUUGAGGUUCAAGCUUGAAUAUCAAGUUACAAUUAGUAGAUGGUCUUAGGACAUAUCAAAGAUUUCUUUAAAGACAAAAUAAUAAUUACAAGCAAUAGGAAUUUAUGGUAUUCAGAACAUGUAUAUCUUCGCACAUGAAGCUUGAGUCCAGCAAAAGAUGCAGCUAGCCAAUCCUUCAACUUCCAAAACCCCACAAAAUCUCUGUCAACAUUGUUAGAGUUAUAAAUAUAAAGAAUAUUUUUGUAAUGAUUCUGCUGAUGUGGCAGCUGAGUAAGCAAGGCUAUUAUUGUUAGUUUGUAAGUUUGUUAUGGAGCUAAGAAGUUAGUUAAUCACAGCUCACUCUCAACACGUGUGUGAGCAAAUGCAUAAGGUUCUGGAUCUUAGUAUAUAAGGUCAACAUAUGUAUUCAUAAUUCAUUGAAUAAGAUUCGAUCUAUUUUUUCUUAUAGUUUCUCUUAUUGCUCAUUAAAUUUUCCUUCAUUUUCUCUGCAACCAAACAAGCAUAAAUAGCUUGGUUAAACUUCAAUUUGGUAUCAGAGCCACAUCUAGUCUAAUCUCAUGGCAUUAUCAAGCUUGAACACAAACAUCUCUUCUUCAGCAACAACCUGUACUUUCACAACUCCAAUAAAACUUGAUCGAUCAAAUUACUUAAUCUGGAAAUCUCAAAUUCUAUCCUCAGUUCGAGCAAAUGAGCUUAAGAGUUUGCUUGAUGGAUCCAGAAUCUGUCCAGAUCAAUUUCUCUCAAGCACUCAAGGAAAUUCAGAUGCUAUGUUCAAUGCUUCUGCAAGUUCAACUAUUGCUUCACGAGAGAAUCCUGAGUUUAAUGUGUGGAGAAAGCAAGAUCAGAUGCUACUGAGCUGGCUGCUAUCCUCUAUCAGCAUUGAAAUCCUCAGCUUGUGGUAAACUCUAAAACCUCUUAUGAACUGUGGUCUAGUUUAGAGCAACAAUUUGGAUCUGAAACUGAUGUUAAGAAAGUUCAUCUCAAAAUGAUGUUGAAUAAUCUGAAGAAAGGAUCUAUAACUAUGACAGAAUAUUUUAGUAAGUUGAAGUCAGUUACAGAUGAGCUUGCUAUUGCUGGAAGUCCUGUUAGUUCUUUGGAUUUUAUAACUCAUCUCAUCUCUGGAUUAGGUCAGCCUUAUUAUCCAGUAGUUGUGUAUAUUGAAGCAAAUGUUCUAAAAAUGAGUAUUAAUGAGGCUUAUUCAAUGUUGUUGACACAUGAGGCACGUUUAGAAAGCAAUCAAUCUAAUUCUUUCAAGGAAGUGAAACAGAACUAUGCUGCUAACUUAGCUCAGGCUGGAAAUAAUCAAAAGAAAGUUAACAAUCAGGGAGGCUGGAAUAAUAAUAGUCAAGGAGGCUGGAAUGGAAACACUGGAAACAAACCUGGAUUUCAUAACUGGAAUGGAAACUUUACAAACAGAGGAGGUUUCAAUUCAGGAAGGGGACAAAAUUCAGGUAGAGGACAAUGGAAUAAUAACUGGAAUAACUGGAAUGGAAAUCAAGGUAGAGGCAAUUUUGCUGGUGCUGCUGGAAAUUUUUCUGGUAGAUUUCCUGGUGGCUAUAAUGGAUUUGGAAGAGGAGGAGGCAGAGGAAAUAUUGUUUGUCAGAUUUGUUUCAAACACAAUCAUACUACAGUUGAUUGCAAAGAUAGAUUUAACAGAAAUUUUGUUCCUAAUUUUUCUGUGCAAGGAAAUUUUCCAGAUCAGAAUCAAACUUCUAGAUCUGCUUUCAUGGCUACAUCAGAAGGAGUUGCUGACCAAGGAUGGUAUCUGGAUAGUGGAGCAACACAUCAUCUCACAAACAAUGUGGUGAACCUAGCUGAAGGUAAACCUUAUCUUGGAUCUCAGUUGCUGUUAGUUGGUAAUGGACAAGGUCUUAGAAUCACUUCCAUAGGCAAUAUCUGUCUCUUUACAUCCUUUGGCAAUCAAUUAAACCUUUCCAAUGUUCUGUGUGUUCCCAAAAUUACCAAGAAUCUUAUUAACUUAUCUAAACUUCUCUCUGACAAUCAUAUAAUCAUUGAAUUUGUUUCUAAUCUUUGUUUCAUUAAGGACAAGAUGGUCUCUUUAAGCUACUGACUCAAGAUACACCUCUUUCUGAUUCUAAAGCCUUGGGUCUCAAACCUAGUUCAAUGUUGUCUGUUUUUUCAAAUAAAGAGAAUGUACACUCUUUGAAAGAGUUGAAUAACCAAAUAAAUGUCUGUUCAAAUUUGAUCAAUUCCAAUAAUGAGAAUUCUGUCAGUUUUUUAGCUUCCAGUAGUGAGUCUAUGUAGUUGCUACACAAUAGGUUUGGUCAUCCAACCAAACAUGUCUUGCAAACAAUAAUGAAAAGUCUUCCCAUGCAUUCAACCCAUUCUCAAUCUCUUAAUUUUUGUGAUGCUUGUCAAUAUGGCAAAUUACAUUAAUUCCAUUUUCCAGUCACUGAUAUAAAAUCAAAAUUCCCUCUCCAACUCUUAUAUGCUGACUUAUGGGGUCCAGCUUCUGUGUUGUUUAUGGACGGAUACAAGUACUAUAUUUCUUUUGUUGAUGAUUUCACAAGAUAUUGUUGGAUAUUUCCACUCACACUCAAAUCUGAGGCAUUUGACACCUUCAAAUAUUUCAAGUCUCUUGUCGAAAAACAGUUUUCUUUAUCCAUCCAAACACUACAAACUGAUAUGGGGGGUGAGUUUAUAGCUUUCAGAUCAUUUCUCCAACAAGAGGGUAUUCAAUUUAGAUAUAGUUGCCCCCACACUCACCAUCAAAAUGGUGUGGUGGAAAGGAAGCAUAUGCAUGUUGUUGAAACUGGACUCACACUCUUAGCUCAAGCUCACUUACCUCUCUCUUUUUGGUGGGAAGCUUUUCAUACAGCCACUUACUUAGUGAAUAGAAUGCCAACACCUGUUCUAAACAAUUUAUCUCCUUUUCAGAAACUAUACAAUCAGCUUCCAUAUCACAAGUUUGCUAAAGUGUUUGGAUGUUCUUGUUUUCCUUUUCUUCGAAAUAAGUGAAAAUUAAACCUACAAUUCAAAAUAGAGGACUGUAAAUGCGUAUAAAUUGAAGAAGGUAAAUUUUGUGUGUGCGUAAAUAUUUUAGUUAACAACAAAAAAUUCUAACAAGUUAAUAUAAGAGUAUCAUAGCAGUACAAGAGAAUUUUUUUUUUUUUUUAAUGUUAAGAGUUAUCGUGAUACCCAAUAUAUAUGUGUGUGUGAGAGAGUGGAGGAAGAAAAAAAUAUUAAGAAUAGUUUUGGCAUUUUGAUGGGUUUUAUAGAGUAAAAUCUAUAUUUUCAAAUAUGAUAAUUCUUUAAUUUAAUUUGGUGUUAUGAAAAAAAAAGGGUAUUUUAAAUAUGUUUUAAGUUAUAAAUAACUCCAUCCAAGAUUUAAAAAUGAAAUCUUAGGGGGGAAAAAAUUUCACCCGAACUAAGGCCCAAAGUAGCCGCGGCAUUUUUCACCAAUUCUCCAAUUCCCAAUGUGGUCUAAUUAUUUACAAGGAAUAUGAGUAGGUGUGGGCACGGUUCGGUCCGGUUCGGUUUGGAUCGAAAUUAAGCAGAACCAAUUUAAAUCGGUUAUUUUAGAAAAAGAACUAAAUAAGAACCGAACUCAAUAAAAACCGAAGAUAAACGAAUCUUUUCGGAUUGGUUCGGUUCGGUUCGGUUUUUUCGGUUUUGGGCCUAUUGGGCCUAUUUUCAAUUUUUAAAUUGUUAGCCCAUUAGGCCUCAUAAAUGUAAUAAUUUUAUUCAACAAUUAAUUUAUCCUAAUUUCAUUACAAAUAUUAACAAUAAAUACAAAGUAUUCAAAACACAUUUUAUCAUUAAUAUCUUACUAACUACUAAUAAGGUACUUACAAAAUAUGAAAUAUUAAGAUUUCAAAAUACAUAAUCAAACUCCAAUACUCCAUCUACAUAAACAUAAUGUUGUAAAGAAAAAUAAAAAUAACAACAAUUAAAACUUACAACACAAAAUAAAAAGAAAAUUUGGAAACAAACACCAACAACAAUUUUUAAAUAUAUAUAUAUACCAGUAAUUGUGUGUGUUCAUGCCUAUUUUAGUUAUCUCACGCAACCAAUUAAAAUUUAACACGUGUCUAUUUAAAUAAAAUUUCAAGAAUAACUCGGUUUUUCGGUUCGGUUUUUUGGUUCAGCUGAGUGAACCGAAUAUCGAACCUGUAUUUCGAUUUUUUUUACAAACCAUAUAUUUCAGUUAUUUUUUAAAAUUAAAACUAGUCCGAACGGAACGGAAUGGUUCGAAUCAAUUUUCUCUAGUGCACGAUUUUUUUGCCCACCCCUAAAUAUGAGAUUCUCUACCACUCCAAUUUAUCCCAUUGUUAGCAAUCCUAUUAGCUGUUUUAUAUCCUAUUUUUAUUAUGCUCCCCAAACAAAUAUGUUUCACCUAAAGGUGCCCAACGGGCUGCACCGUCCGUCUCAAUGAGCGCACGAGAUGCUCCACAUGACACGGCAAUCUUUUUCUUUUUAAUGAGGGCGUGUCUGAUAUGCUCUUUCAAGUCUACAUACCUAACGUUCUUUUUUUAAGUGCAUAUAUUUUUUUUAAAGCUCAUGUGAAAUUCAGUAGUAAGAGAAUGCAAUACUAGUUAAUAAGUUAGAGCCUACAAAAUAAUAAUAAUAAUAAUAAAAUUUUCUUUAAGGGUUAACAUUUUAUUGUUAAUUUGAAUUUACAUACAGUUAUAGAUUAUAGUCUAUAAUAAUAUUAAUACUUACAAGUUUCAAAUUAAAAUUUAAUAAUUAACGUUUCAUUAACACAACUAUAUUAUCUAAUUUUGCAAUAACCAAUUAUAAUACAACAAUACAUAAUUCUAAUUUCAUAGACCAUGGUAAUAAAAUCUAUACGUUAAUGAAAAAUUUUAUUUUGAUAUACGUCGGUCUGCUUGUUAUUGAUGGCCGAUGGUCGUAUGCUAGCCUGCUAAUGAAGUGUGUUUAUUAUUGGUUUUUUCACGUGUCUUGCUUUACCACAUCUCUAGUCAAAUUGUGUUCUUAAAAUCCACAGCCUAACCUAGCCUCUGUGUGUGUCCUGUUGUGCCAUACUAUACAAACACGUAUCCAGUACAAUGCCACAUACCGGUCGGCCCUUAGCCAUCUCUAGUUUCACCCCUAAAUGAAAUCUAAACGGCUACUGGCAAGUAAGAAAACUUGUUAUUCUUUAUUUUGAAAAUAAAGGGAAUUGCUUAGUUUGAUAUUGUUUUUGGUAAGUCAUUUUUUUGUUUUGAAACAUUUUUCUGAGAUGUUGUUGUAUUUGGUGAAAAAUAAAUUAUUUUAUUUUAUACUUUUAAUGAAGAAAAGUAGAGAAAAACAUUUUGUUGUUUUCGACAACAUUUGCCUUAUAAGUGCACCCGUGCCAUUUUUUUCUUGUUUUAUUUGUAUGAUAAUUAUCAUGGACCCACGUAACUUUCUUUUGCAUUUAAAAUUUCAUAAUAAAUUAAAUUAGACAAAAGAAAUGAGUCCCACAAAUAAUUUAUUUUAUAAUUUUUUAAAUAAUACUAUUUUAAAAUAAAUUAUCAAAACAAAUUUCAUGUUCACUAAAAUUAAUCAUAUUCAUAUUAUAAAAUAAAUAUAAAAACAAUAUCUGAAAAGUAAUGCUAAAUACACUCUUAAAUUUUCUGUACAGCAUUAGAAUUGAUGAACAAUCUGACAAAGAUGCUGCGACUUAAGUAGGGAUGACAAUUAAAGCCGAAUUUGGAAAAAUUCAUGUCUGCAAAUUAAAAAAUGUGGAUUCGGAUAUAGAAAUUCGGAAUUCAUACGGAUCCAAAUAAAUUUUAUUUUAAAUUAAAAAUAUAUAUUAAAAAUUAAAUGAAAAAUUAAAAAAUAAAUUUUAUUUGUGGUUUUAUGAUGUUGUUGUAUAUUAUUCAUGUUGAAUUAUUAAUGGUUGGAUUAUGAUUGAAUUUUAUUUAAAAUUAAAAAUAUAUAUUAAAAAUUAAAUUAAAAAAAAUUAAAUUUUAUUUGUAGAUUUAUGAGAUUAUUGUAUGUUAUUCAUGUUGAAUUAUUAAUUGUUGAGUUAUGAUUGAAUUUUAUUUGAUAUUAUUAGGUAAAUUAUUGAAAUUUUAAAUUAUAUAUUAAAUUAUUUAAUCUUAAUUUUUACAAAUAUGAAUAUCUAGAAUAUCUGCCUGCAUCCGUUGCAGAUAUUAUCUGCUUCCAGAUCCACAUCUUUUUACGAAUCUAAAUAUAGAAAUAUGAAUGCGGCUCCGAAUCUAGAUUUUACCAACCCUGAACCUAAGCAUGAAUGGGCCUAAAGUUUUCACAACAAACAUGAAUCAUUAAAUGACACGAGAUGUUUUACAGCUCUCAUUAGUAUAAUUGAAUAAUUAAUUCAGCUCUAUAUUCAGUUUACACCGUCUCAAAUUGCAUGCAAAUAGGAAAAUGCACUUCUGAAUUGUUCACUUGAGGAAAAUUAAUUUUAACUCAAUAAGUCCUAAUUGUCCACGUAGAAUUUUAACUCAAACCAUAGCAAAUUAGACAUAAUUCUAAUUUAUAUGGGAAAUAUAAUUAGCAAAGACACUCUUUAUAUAAACAUUAUUGUCAAAGGAUGCCAAACCUAAUAAGAUUCAAGGUCUUAACAUACUUCAUAUCAAAUUUGAUCUUGGCGCGUACCGACACGCAUAACAUCAAGACUCUACUUCAUAUAUAAUAAUGUAACUUCAUGGAUUUUUCGCUCUCUUGUGAAAUUGACAAUUAUAGGCGAUGUGCCAGUGAGGCAGUGGUACAUAAAAUAAAGGAUAAAAGUUCAUUUAGUCCUUAUAUUUUAAUAUUAAUGUCUAUUUAGUCCCUGUAUUUGUUAAAAUACCUCGAAACAUUCCUGCCGUUAAAGUAUUGAUGCCCUUACUGUUACUUUUUAUUUUUUUAGCUUACUUUUACAAUAUUACCCUUUUAUAAUAAAUUUUUUGUUUGGACAUUAAUCAAAAUAAAAUAAUUAAUUAUCAAUUUAACCCUAAAAAAAUUAUAUUAAUUUUUAAUUGUCAAAAAUUAAAUUGUCAAAUAUCAAGUGUGCAAAUGGUGCUUGCAAAAAAAUUAAUAUAAUUUUUUUUAGGGUUAAAUUUGGUAAUUUAAUUAUUUUAUUUUUAUUAAUGUCCAAACAAAAAAAUUAUUAUAAAAGGGCAAUAUUGUAAAAGUAAGCCAAAAGAAAUAAAAAGUAAUGGUAGGGGUAUCAAUACUUUAACGGCAUGGAUGUUUCGAGGUAUUUUUAAAAAUACGGGGACUAAAUGGACACUAAUCUCAAAAUACAGGGACUAAAUAGACUUUUACCCUAAAAUAAAUGUUUAUUUUUAGAAUAUUAUUAUUUAUCUCAAUUUUUAUUUAAUAGUUAAUUUUAAUCCAUUCUUAAACUGUCAUAAUCAAUUAAUUUUUUACAUUAUCACAUCUUAAAUAAAUUUUGGAUCUGUAAUAAAUAAAAACUGGUAACGUUUGUUCUUUUAAAACAUAAAACAACCGUAACAUUGGUUUUUACAUUUUGAAUUUUUCUUGCAUCACUAUUUAUAAAAAUGAUGUUAAAUCAACUCACAAAAUAUAUCAAGCCAUCUAAAAUCCAAAUAUUAUUACAUUUGUAUUUGCAUUGUUAAAUUGUUGGAACGACGGCAAAGCAAUUGAAAAGAGAUUAACAAAAAAGUAAAGAUUGGCCAAGGAUUAUUCAUGUUUAGGAAAUGCCUUAACUUUUGAUAUAAUCAUUGUUAUAACAAUAAUGCUACACAUCCCAAAUUUUUUAUCCCAAAAAGUUAUCCCAAAUGAUAUGUCAUUAAUUGAGUGGUUGAUAAUUCUUUACAAGAUCCAAGUGAAUUAAUUGUAUUAUCUCACCAACCAAUUGAUUAAUGCCACAUCAUUUGGGAUAACUUUUUGGGAUAAAAAAUUUGGGAUGUGUAGCAUUAUUGUUGUUAUAAUUAUAUUGUAGAAAUAAUCAAUUACCUAAUGUUUGUGGUAGUAAAUAUUAUUAACUUGUUUUACUAUACCCGUGUUUAUGUUGGUCUCCUUUUUGUCCAUUUCUGUACAACGAAAUAUUUGUAUGUUUUGAUAGAAAUUGGUUUAAAUGACAUUUAAAAUAGUAUAUCCCCAGACAAUUGACGAAAUAUUUGGAUGGUAGGAUGAAGUAAUAAAUAGUUUUACAAAUUACCAUAUUAGAGGUAAAAAAAAAUCGAGAGGUUACUUGACAAUUAUGACGUUACUAACUACAAAUUUAACACAAAAAGUUUAAUUAACUUUUCUUUUUGAGAUGGCAAAAUCUCUGGUGUUGAAAACAAUGAGGUUUGAGAUUCAAGCUUGAAUAUCAAGUUACAAUUAGUAGAUGGUCUUAGGACAUAUCAAAGAUUUCUUUAAAGACAAUAAUAAUUACAAGCAAUAGGAAUUUAUGGUAUUCAGAACAUGUAUAUCUUCGCACAUGAAGCUUGAAUCCAGAACAAGAUGCAGCUAGCCAAUCCUUCAACUUCCAAAACCCCACAAAAUCUCUGUCAACAUGUCUGUUGUACUAAGCACAUUCAUAGGGGUAUCAACAGCUUACAGCUCCAAAAUAUUUUCCCCAAAAAGAGUUGAGAGAUUUCACUGAAGCUAAUUUGUGACUUGUGACUGCCCAAAUGUUCUAUAACACGGUAUGAUUAUUCUAGUAACACAAAUCCAACAGCAUGCAACAUAAUCUACUCUCUAACAUUGUGCAUUAGCAAAAUAAAACAGAGUAAAAAGAGAAACCAUGCCUGUGAAUCUCUUCUUUUCCCCCUGCCACCCCUUUUUUUGGUGAAGUCCAUCAAAUGAAAAUGCAGCAUGACCAUGUUGGCCACUGCCACUGCCAUUACUUCUUCAACUGUGGCUUUUGUUGCAGGAAAUAUUCAAGUGAAAGAUUGGAUUAUAUAAUUCAAGAUUCCAAUAAACCUGAGCUGCAAAGGUUGCCUUCCACUAGCCUAUCAGAGACUAUGCUUUCUAUUUUCCUAGUUUUUUAAUCAUAAUUUUGCAAGAUUUAUUUAUGGAAAACUGGGACAAAAUUUUAUGUAAGAUACCAUAAAGCCAAACACAAUCUUUUUAAUUCUCAGCAGCAAGAUUUAAAGUUAAAAAAGGGAAGCCAUAUAAAUAUAACUAUGUUUGGUACAAGUAACAAUUAUUUCAAGCUUUCAGAAAUGCUAGCAAGAGAUUGUAAGAGAACUUUACCUAGUCACAGAAUAUGUCAAACAUACUACCACCAACUGUCUUUAGCACGAUUGUUAUGGAAGUAGCUUUUGAAUCGGAAGAUUCCAGCUUCCACCAGGCACCAUUAUUUUCAUUCUUGAUACAAUCUGCAUCACUGGCAUUAGUUAUAUCAUCAACAUUUGCAUCCUCACUCUCAUCAUCCCAAUCAAGGCUUCUUCUCCAGCUCUGGAUUAUAAGUCCACUCCGACAUCUUCAAACAUCUCGGUCCUUCCAUUUGCCAACAACCGAUAUGGCUUCCUUCCUUGCCUUCCCCAUUAAUAUAUCACUCGAAGGAAAAAAAGCAUCAGCAAUUCUCUUCAACGCCUCAUCGUUUAUAACCCCCCAAAAAAAGGGUCUUCAGACACUUCAACUUUGCCUUCUGCAAAACCUCCACAAAAUCUGAAUUAUCCAACACAACAGCCAGACACUCAAUCCUUCUUUUGUCCAUCAUAUCCACCGUAUGAUUCCUCAACAAAAUAUGUACAGCUUGUGGCUUAUCUAACACUGUCUUGAUCCAAAACCCCGCUCUUUUCAACUCAUCUGCCAAACCAUAACCCACUUUUGGAGUCAAAAUUGUCCUUGCAGCCCUUUUAUAUUUUUCCAUCUCCAUCGAAUACUUGCCACUCAAAUGGAAUUACCAGACAGGAAUCCCAGUAACAAGUCCACUCAACUUCUUCUCAUCUGAUCCCUCUUUCACUCUGGCGGAAACAUUAAUAACCAUUCACCAGCCACAAAUUACCCAAGUAAGUACUCGUGUCGUCGACACUUACCCUUCACUUCAUCUACGCAAACGAGAAUUCAAAUUGCUUACUAGCUAGUGCUCGAGCAAAAGCCAGAAUAAAUUAAAUAUGUGUGUGUGGUAGCGAAGUUAUCUAUAUAUAUAUAUAUAUAUAUAUAUAUAUGAAGUUGGGACACGAGGAGAUGACGUGGCAUCACCAUUUCUCAUCUUUGUAUAUUCUCUAUUAUCUAAUAAAUAGAGAAUUUUUUUUUCAGAUUUAACUUUUCAUCUUCUCAUAAUUAAUUUAAUUGUUAUUACACAAUAACAAUUAUGUAAAAAUUUUAAUGAGGCAUAUUCUUUAUAAUGAACAUCCAAAGGGAAGUGUUAUGAAUUUAUUAAAAUAAAUGUAGAUGUUCAUAACAUAUAUCUCUUAUUCUCACCACUAUCUCUCAUUAGCAACCUUUAGCUUCCCUAUAACUCCCACUAUCUCACAAGGAAUUAUGAUCCAUAAUUUUUCAUUAAUUUCAUAGAGUGAUUAUGUAACUAUAAAAGGAGAGCUCAUCUUUUGUUCUGUACACACACAAUUAGAAUGAAUAAAAUCACUCUAUAAUAUAUUCUCUCAUUUUAUUCUUUAUCUUGCGUUGCUUCUUUAUUUGUAUUGCUGGUUAAUAGUUUUUUUUUUUUGUUUUUUAUAAGGCUGCCUCAUCUUCAAAAAAAAUCAAUUCAUAUUUUUUAUCAGUUUCAUAAAGUGUAAAGUAAAAAAAAAUAAUACUAAAUUCUUUUUUCAAAGUCGCAUGAAACGCGGUUCUAUUUUUUAGUAUAUAUAUAAAGCUGGAACUGGAGGAGGUGAUGUGGCAUCACCAUUUCUCAUCUUUGUAUAUUCUCUAUUAUUUAAUAAAUAGAGAAAUUUUCUUUUAGAUUUGGCUUUUCAUCUUCUCAUAAUUAAUUUGAUUGUUAUUACACAAUAACAAUUAUGUAAAGAUUUUAAUGAGGCAUAUUCUUUGUAAUGAAUAUCCAAGGGGGAGUAUUAUGAAUUUAUUAAAAUAAAUGUAGAUGUUCAUAACAUAUAUCUCUUAGUCUCCCCACUAUCUCCCAUUAACAAUCUUUAGCUUCCCUAUAACUCCCACUAUCUCACAAGGAAUUAUGAUCCAUAAUUUUUCAUUAAUUUCAUGGAGUGAUUAUGUAACUAUAAAAGGAGAGCUCAUCUUUUUGUUUUGUACACACACAAUUGGAAUGAAUAAAAUCACUCUAUAAUAUAUUCUCUCAUUUUAUUCUUUAUCUUGCGUUGCUUCUUUAUUUGUAUUGCUGUCUAAUAGUUUUUUUUUUGUUUUUUAUAAGGCUGCCUCAUCUUAAAAAAAAAUCAAUUCAUAUUUUUUUAUCAGUUUCAUCAAAUAUAAAGUAAGAAAAAAUGAUAAUACUAAUUUUUUUUUUCAAAGCCGCGUGAAACGCGGUUCUAUUUUCUAGUUAUACAAUAAAGCAAACCAAAAUAAAUUCUACACUCAUAUAUAUAUAUAUAUAUAUAUAUAUAAAGCUGAGACUUGAGGAGGUGAUGUGGCAUCACCAUUUCUCAUCUUUGUAUAUUCUCUAUUAUCUAAUAAAUAGAGAAAUUUUCUUUUAGAUUUGACUUUUCAUCUUCUCAUAAUUAAUUUGAUUGUUAUUACACAAUAACAAUUAUGUAAAGAUUUUAAUGAGGCAUAUUCUUUGUAAUGAAUAUCCAAGGGGGAGUGUUAUGAAUUUAUUAAAAUAAAUGUAGAUGUUCAUAACAUAUAUCUCUUAGUCUCCCCACUAUCUCCCAUUAACAAUCUUUAGCUUCCCUAUAACUCCCACUAUCUCACAAUGAAUUAUGAUUCAUAAUUUUUCAUUAAUUUCAUGGAGUGAUUAUGCAACUAUAAAAGAAGAGUUUAUCUUUUUGUUUUGUACACACACAAUUGGAAUGAAUAAAAUCACUCUAUAAUAUAUUCUCUCAUUUUAUUCUUUAUCUUGGGUUGCUUCUUUAUUUGUAUUGCUGUCUAAUAACUUUUUUUUUGUUUUUUAUAAGGCUGCCUCAUCUUAAAAAAAAAAAUCAAUUUAUAUUUUUUUAUCAAUUUCAUCAAAUGUAAAGUAAGAAAAAAUGAUAAUACUAAAUUCUUUUUUCAAAGCCGCGUGAAACGCGGUUCUAUUUUCUAGUUAUACAAUAAAGCAAACCAAAAUAAAUUCUACACUCAUGUGGGUGUUUCGUUCGCAAAAUCUGGACAAGAAAAAUAAUAUUGAUACAAUCUCCAAAUAAAGAGCAUUCCUCUUGGUAAAAUAGACAAAUCCUAUAAAUUUUGAUUAAUGGUGCCAAAUGAAAGAGUUGUAAUUUCAUGUACAUUUUGUUAACAUGAAUAAGGGUACAAAAUAGAUAACAAAGUGACAAAAACAAAGCUAAUCACAAUGAAUGAUAAGGCUUAGAGUAAACAAAAAGUUAUAAUCUUGAACAUAAGUGGCGCUCAAAGCCAUGAAUUUGAUAUCAUCCAUGAGGGGAGUUCAAACAAUAGCAUGUAAGAAGCAACAAGUGUUGAGAAAAAAAAAAUUUCAUUCUACCACAACAGAAUAAAUUGUAAAGAAAUCCCAGUUUGUAUAAAAGAAAGAAAACAAAAUUAAGGAAAACAUAAGCACAACAAAAUUCGACUGAUUAUUAAAAAUGAGAAAUGAGUUAUAAUGAGAAUUUUAGCUUUGUUGUGAAAUAAAUUGGGAAGUAUCCAAAGUACGCAUGUAAAUAAUAAAAAUGAUAAGAAGACGAAGGGAACAUAAUGAUAAUAAGCAAGCCAAAUAUUAAAAUGCAGAUUCUACGCUUCUGCCCCCCCAUACUUCAAGUUAGUGUCUCGCUAAUCAUUUUAGAUGUAUCAAUUACAAAGGGAGGCCAUCUAUUUAUAGUAAGCGUACGCCUCUAAUGCUUUGCCAAGUGUCCAUUGAUAAUAUCACAAGGGAAAUUAAAUUGGUGUAUGUGUAUUACACCUCCUAAAGUCAUGUUAAGAUAGUGUGCUGAUAAAGCUUGUUGCACGUGUGAUUGGUUAAGUCUGCUAGAAAUGCAAACGUGUAAAGCUGAGUCAGCAAGUUAGUUAAGGUUAUUAUGAAUGCUUAGAUUCAGCUCACGUGUAUUGUAUGUAAUACUUAGAUUCAGGUCAUGUAGAUUGUGUAAUCUCAAUAUAAAUACUUGAUGAUCAUGAUUCGACAUUCCUCACAGCAGGAGCUGUGGAUCUUUAGACAUCAGAUUUUAAUUUCUGUAAUGUUAAAUUUGGAUCCCAUAUUCGACAUUCCUCACAUCAGGAGCUGUGGAUCUUUAGACAUCAGAUUUUAAUUUCUGUAAUGUUAAAUUUCCCAAAACAUUAAAAAAAACAAUGCUGUAUACAUGGUGAAUGAUCUGGCGUAUCUAUAGGUAUUACCCAAGACAUUUCUGAGAACCUGAACUAGGAAUCCUUGUAUUUUUCUUUAUGUCAAGACAGUGACUUGAAGAUUUUAGAUUAUUUUUUUUGGCCAUUUUAUAAUUGUUGGCAUAUUGAACUUGAGUAAUUUUGAUAAACCAUAGUUCAGGAAUGUCUGAUAGAAAUAUUGGAGACUUGAACUUGAAUAUUAGAUUUGAAAUUAAAGAGGUAAGCCAUUAAAAUACAUCAAAGGAUUUGGAAAAUGGAGGAAUUGGAAUAUUGGUAUGAUGGGAUUACAAGAAAGGGAAACUUUUGCAUCAACAUCAAGCAUUGGGCAUUUUCAUUUGUCCUAUUCUAACACCAGUUAGGAAUAUCAACAAGGAGUUACGCUAUGAAUUAAGUAAUCUGCCAGUAAUGCAAGCAUUGAAUGUGAAGAGCUUCACAUAACUUUGAAUUAGCUUAUGAUUUAACACUAUUCCUUUUUGUGUGUGAUCAUGCAUUACGCCGUACUAGAUUUUUCUCUUUCUCUGCGGGAGAGAAAAGAAAGAGAAACAAUGGAUGCAAUAUAAAAAAAGUAAUACAUAUUUACCUAUUUAGUAGGCAAUUUACGCCAACGGUGACACUAUCACAUCAUGAGCGAGUUAUGUAAUAGUUCUUAGAUGAGAUCAUUCUUGCUGCAUUAUUAUUAGAAGUAUCUAUUUAUGCAAGAUUGAUAAUUUGAAUACACGUCCAAAUUAACAAGAGUUUUUAGGCAGUUUAAUUUAACUAACUAGCUAUUUAGAAUACACAUCAUAAUAAAAAAAAAGUACAAUUUAAGAUGUAUGAUUAGACUAUCUAUCUGCUCAAUCAAGACUGAGUGUGAUAUUUCCUCCGUAAACUCAUAGUUAGUUUUGUCACGCUUACAAAUCAAACUACAUUAACAUGAUUUAGGUAUUAGGGCAAGAUUGGAAAAAAAUGUCGAUAAUGCAAUGAUUAUGACGGAGAACAAACCUACAAACAGUACAGCGCAUGGACCUUUUUUCAAAAGAAAUUAUUCUUGAAAGAUAAAAAAAUUCCUUGCUUUUUACAUUAUUUUUUAAUGUAAAAAAUAUUCUCAGUUCUUGACUUGGUAUCAGAUUUUUACGUUACUAGAAAAAUCUAGUACGGCGUAAUGCAUGAUCACACACAAAAAUUUGAGGAGUUGAUGAUAAUCUCAAUAUAAAUACUUGUAAUCAACAAAUACAAUAAUAAGAGUCAUCAUUCUUCAUUUUCUCUCAGUUUCUCUCAUAUUUUCUCUGCAUCCAAACACAAUAUUCUCAGUUCUUGACUUGGUAUCAGAUUUGCAGUUUAAUUGUCAUGGCUUCCUUCCUUAAGCACAAAUUCAAACACAAAUCAGUCUCCUUCAUUCUUUACCGUCACAAAUGCGAUCAAACUGGACAGAUCUAACUAUACGAUAUGGAAAUCUCAGAUCCUCUCUUCAGUGCGUGCCAAUGGACUUGAAGGCUUUCUUAAUGGAACUAAAAUUUGUCCAGAUCAGUUACUUACUCAAGAGAUUGAAAGUUAUGGUGUUGAAAAUGCUGUUGUUGAAAGCUCAACUGAUAGAUCUCAGGAGAAUCCAGCCUUUGUUGCUUGGAAAAGGUAGGAUCAAUUGUUAUUAAGUUGGCUCAUGUCCUCCAUCAGUGUUGAGAUACUUAGUCUUGUGGUAAAUUCUGAUUCUUCUCAUAAACUUUGGACUAAUCUUGAAGAAAAUUUUUGGAUUAGAAACUAUGGCUAAGAAAGCACACUUAAAAAUGAUGUUAAGCAAUCUCAGAAGGGGAUCAAUGACAAUAACUGAGUAUUUUGCCAAACUUAGAGCUGUAACUAAUAAACUUGCUCUAACUGGUAGCCCUGUUUCUACUCUAGACUUUAUUAAUCAUCUAAUCUCGAGAUUAGGCCAGCCAUACUACCCUGUUGUUUUGUAUAUUGAAGCUAAUAUGAUGAAAAUAUUUGUCAAUGAAGCCUACUCUAUGCUUUUAACUCAUGAAGCAAGAAUUAAAUUUAAUCAUCCGAGUGCAAAUAAAGAAGCAAAGUUGAAUUAUGCUGCUAACAUAGCUUAGGCUGGACCUAGUAAUAACAAUAAGAAGUCUAGUAAUCAAGCUAAUUACUAUCAGGGCAACCAAGGUAACGGGAAUAGAAAUGCUCAUUGGUGUGGUAACAAUGGAGGAAGAGGUGGCUUUGGCAGAGGUUUUUCAGGGCAAGGAAGGGGUAAUUAGAAUAAUGGUGGUCAUUGAACAAUGGACCUUGGAGUAGUAGUCGAGCAGGUUAUAAUUGUUCUGAUAUAAACAUUAUGACAUGGUUGCUGGUGAACCUGUAAACAUAACCACAAAAGUAAGAAGGCAUAAUUUUUUUAUAAGAAACUCAAAAAUGUAUUAAUGAUGAAAAUUUUAAAAUAGAUAGUGGACCAUCUGUCCAGUAAGAAAACAAAAAACUGAAUAUUUGUGCUAUAAAAAGGCACACCCAAUCUCACCCCUAUAAAAGGCUAGAAUCAGCUACAAAUCCCUACCUCAAAACCCCAUCCCAGUUUAGAUGAAUGAAGAAAAAUGAUGAAUCUUGAAACUCCUUAGAAACUGAAGCCCAAAGUGAAGCAAGAAGAUGAACUCUAUCCCAAGCAAGCAAUAUGGCAUAUAUCUCCAUUAAUGGUUCAAAUAAAGUGAAUGGCUUUCUCUGAUGAGUGGGAAAUUGUCAAGAUCAAUAGUCAAACUCACGCAAAGUAAACGGACUUAAUUCUCAGAGGCUACUCAUUCUAAGUCUUAAAGAAAAUUUUUCUAAUUUCUAAAGAUUAUAUGGGGAAAAAAUCAUUAUUUUUAAGAUGGAAAAUUUGAUAUGGUGUUUAAUGUCUGAUCACAAUGAUAAUAUGAGUACUAACAAAAACAUCUUUAAUAGGCAUGGUGCGAGUAAAACACCUUUGUAAUGUACCUCAUCAAAUAUAACCCAAGCCACUUCGCGCGUAAUCUCUGAGCCUUUGUACUGCAUACUACGCCAGAUUUCAGUAGUCAUCACCUGAAAUUAAACUUCAUAUAAGCAAUCCACAAAUCAAAGCGCUGCAACACCCAAAAGAUGACACUACCAAGUUGACCUACCAAACAAGAAGCAUUAGGGUCAAUUGUGACAUCCCCAGUCAUCAAACCAACAUCUGAAACUCUUCUUUAAACUCUUCUGAUUGCUGAGUGCCUUAAUCGGUGAAGUAUAUAUCACACGUUGCUUAUUCCGCAACGACAUAGCAAUAGCAUACAAUGCUACCACAGUUUUCCCAGCAGAUGUAUGGGCCGAUACCUGUCAAAUAAAUGAAAGGCAAAUCCAAAUUAAAAAAAGAAAAGAAAAAAAAAACUAUUUUUAUUUUCACACAUGAUAACACUUCAUGCAAAAAUUCUUAAUUCUUAUCGGUGAGCUGAAAAGCAGAGCGCUUUGUACCAAAGCACUUCCAAAUUCGAAUUAAUGUUUUUACAAAAAAUUACAGCUUUAUAUAUUUGUAUGUGCGCGUGCGUAUAAUAAUAAUAAUAAUAAUUAACGAACCGUAACGGACUCGCCGUUGUCGAGGCACUUGAUAGCUUCGGACUGGAAUGGGUCGAGAGUGAAAGGGAAUUCCUUAGCAUGUUUAGCGUCAGCUUCAGCCACUUGACCAAGACGCAUUAAACAUAAAACGCGGCGUUUUCAUGGACUAGUACAUUCCAUGCUUCGAAAGUUUUAUGGUUUAGACUGAUUGGUUUGAUACAUUAUUUGUUUGUUGCGUUUUUCUUGCUUUAAAUAUUAUGUUGGAUACUUGGAUUGAUAAGUUUUGUACACGUUUAUAUUGCUCGCAGUAAAUAAUUUAUGACAUUUAAAAAACUAUCAACCGUCUAUCAAAAGAUUUCUACUAUAAAUAUAUAUACACAAAAAACUUUUAAUUUGGUCAAUUUGUUCUCUUAUUUAUUUUUGUUCUAUUUCUCUUUUCCUUUCCUUUCAUUUUAUUGUUUUAUGGUAUAAAAUAAAAAAAUAACCUUAAAAUUUAAGGUGAUGUUUGGUUGGGAGGAGAGAAUGUAGGAGAGGAAAGUAAUUUAAAUUCUCUUGUUAUUUCCAUUGUUUGGUUUGACAAAAUGUAUAAGAAUUAAAUUUUUAUUAGAAUUUAAUAUCCAUCAUAAUGUAGAAUUUGAAUUCCAUAUUAAGUAGCGAAGAAUUUAAAUUUCUCUUCUAUUAGAAACUAAAGGUUCCAAAAUUACCCUUCAACUUUUUAGCUUAUUUAAUGCCAUUAAUAAUAAUAAUUUAAUAUUAUAAAUGGACCUCCACCGGAAAGUCGCCGGACUACCCCCGGAUCUCGUCGGACCACCGCCGGAAGAUCGUCGGACCACUGCCGGAAAAUCACCGGACCACCGCCGACCUCGCCGGACCUCCGCCGCCGGCCACCGGAUCGCCAUUUAUAUAUAUAUAUAUAUAUUAUUACUAAUAUAAAUAGUUUAAUAUUUAAGGUAAAAGAUAAAUUUGUCUAAAGAAAAAAAUUAUAAUUCAUUUCCUUAUCAAAUUUUAUAUCAAACCAAACAACAAAAUUUAAUUUCACUACUCUUCUCUAUUCCUUUCUUCUCCAUUCCUCUCCAUUCCACUCUUUUCCACUCCUCCAUUUUCUUCAAACCAAACAUGACCUAAGGGUAAAAUACUCAUUUUACUAAAAUUCCGUUUAAUAUCAUAACGCUGUCAAUGGAAAAAUAUACGAGUGAUAUAAAUUAAAAACAAAUAAAUUGAAAGUUUUUAUGUAUUUUCCUUUUAUUUUUUUAAUAGCCGAUUGAGAUUUCCCUUCAUAUUUUUAAAUUCAAUAGGUUUAGACCGUUUAACAAAUCUUAAAUUAAAAAAACCCGCGGUGUAAUAACAAACUCACAUCAAACCCUGUACACUGUCAUCCCUAAUUAUAUUUACCACUUCAUACUCACAGUGAUAAUAACUGUGUAUCACAAUUGAUUUUGCAUACGGGUAAAAGUUCCAAGUCCGGAUAUUUAGUUAAUGAAAUUUGAUGAAAAGGGCAUGAAAGAAAAUAAGAAAUUAAAUAAUACAGGAGGUAUUAAUCAUUACAUAUUUAGUUAAUGAAAAUUGAUGAAAAUAUUUCUGCAGACGUGAGCCAUAAUUAUAUUACCGUUAAGAAUGAAGCAGAAGAGUUUCCCCAAACAAGCUAAAACACAGCACUUCAAUUUAAAGAAUUUUUAUAUCACAGUACCGGGGUAAAAAGUUUAAUGCAACAACAUACAUUAAGUUAAUUCCAUAAUCUAUCCCCAAAGAAAGACAAACACAAGCUUAUAAGAUUAAAACUUUGGAAAACAUUAGAGUCGGACAAAAUUGUGUAAUCUUCAGAGUUUGGAGCCUAGUUCAUCCAGGAAAGCAAAAGAAAUAAUAAUAAUAAUAAUAGUGGUGGUUUGAUCUCAAAAGGUGGCAUCAAAGUGGUAACUUUGAGGUAUUGGAAGCAAUAACGUCUUCAACUUUGUCCUGAUUUCGAAGUCCCUUAACCCAUCCGCCAUCAAUGGAUUGAAUGCUUCCAUUCAACCCAUCAUCCACAAAAUCACCAACCCGUUUCACCUUCAUCUCCUUGGGCUUAACAGGGUACUUUCCAGAGAAGCAAGCAAAACAAAAAAUCCGAGAAUCAUCGCCUAACAACUUGUUCAAGCUGUCAAUCGGCAGAAAAGCAAGCGAAUCACACCCAAUAAACUCCCUGAUUUCCUCAACGCUCAUCCUGUUGGAAAACAACUCCUCAGUACUUGGAGUGUCUACUCCGUAGUAACAAGAAGCUAUGAUUGGUGGGCUUGCAGCGUACCCAAGUGCAGCCACCACUCCAGAAUCUGGUACUGCAAUCACGACAUCACACUCAGCAGGAGCCUCGGUAGCAAGUACUUCCCCAAAAUGAUACCUCGACUCAUAAACAGACCUUCCAAAAACAACAGAAUUAGGCAAAGCAAAAUAAAUAUGCUCAACGAAGCACUGCUUAGGUUCAGGGUGAGGCAUCAAACAAGGUGAUUGAACCCCAUCUUUAUCCACCAUCAAAACUUCACCGGGAUAUACCGUAUGUGGCCUCAAUCAAAUAGUGCACAAGUCUCUGACGCAAAAACCAGAGCACCAUUACUCCUCCUACCCAUCACCAAUGGCAUAAACCCAUACGGGUUACGAACCGCAACAAGCUUAUCCUCAGUAACAAACACCAUUGAAUAAGCACCCUCAAGCUUCUCACAAACAUCCACAAUCCUCAAAAAGAACGGCCUAGCUUUCGAUAUCGGAAUCAAAUGGAGAACAACCACAGUAUCAGAACUAGUAUUGAAAAUGGAUCCAUUAUCUUCAAGCUUAGCCCUCAAAGUAUUAUAAUUAACUAAUGUGCAACACCAACAGAACCAAACCUGUACCCAGCAACAAAAGGCUGCACAUUCUUAAGCAUAGAACUACCCGCAGUCGAAUAUCUAACAUGACCAAUGGCCAUAUCACCCGGCAAUUGAUCAAGUUUAGACUGAUUAAACACAUCAGAGACUAAACCAACACCAGUAAUAGACUGAAGAACUUUGUUAUUCACAGCAACUAUACCUGCACCUUCUUGGCCGCGAUGCUGCAUCGCGUGUAGCGCCAAAUAGCACAAACGCGAGGCCUCUGGGUCACCAUAGAUGCCCAUAACACCACACUCCUCACGGGGCUUAUCGUCGUCAUCAUCAUCAAAACUGCCAAAACCGUCAUCUGGAUAUUCUUUAUUUGUGGUGAAAAACUCAGAGAUGGGGUUUUUUGAUAGAACAGUGAAGUUAUUUUUGUGGAUUAAAGAUUGUUGUUUCUGAGGAAAAAAAGGGUUUUUUUGCAGGGUUUUGGAGAAAAGAGAAAGAUGGGUUUUUUGCGACGGCUUAGGGUUAACAGAUGGAGAUGGGUUUGAGAGAGGGCAGAUGUUGGCGUGCCUGUUGUGGUGGCUGCCAUUAAUGGCUGAAUUUAUUCUAUUCUAUUUUAUUUAUUGGGUUGCCUUGCCCUUGCUCAAAGAAAAAACAGAGGAGGUGUGUGGAGGGAGACAGUGGCGAAGGGUACUUUAAGUAGAGGGGAACUUGUUCUAGGUUUUUUUCUGGAAUUGUGAGGGAAUCUGAUCCUGGGUUUGUGCAUAUGAUUCAAUUACUUAUAGGUGAUACUGUUGUGUCACCACAAAUUCUAAUUGGGAAGCUUCAGCUGUCAAUUUUUUUCCAAGGGUUAAUUAGGUAGAACUUUCAUGUCGUCGAUUUUAUUUGGAGAUUCUAAAAGUAGUUUCCAAAUAAAGAGAUGGACCAAAAUCAACAAUGUGACAAAGAUACUUUAGAUUUUUUUUCCUUGUGGGACAUGAAAAUUGAUGCAUGUUCCAAUGCAUUGCUCUAUCAGAAUUGGAAUUAAACUUAGUUUGUAUUCUCCUAUUCCGAAAGCAAAACUUAUAAGUGAUAUUAUAAGAAGAAGAAAUUAAGAACCAUAACAAAUUUGAUGAUUCUAAUUUGCUAGAAAUAUUGCAAUCCAAAACUAAGAAAGUUAAAACCAAUUAUUAGAAGAAAAAAGUAGGACGGAAGCUCCCAGAAUAUUGUUAUGUGUUGUAUUUUUUCAGUUUGUAUUUCCCAAUCAAUAAGGAAAAGUAAGUACACACGUUACAAAAAUUUAAUAAAAAAGAUUGGAGGUGACAAAACCGUCAAUUUUCUAAUUAACUUUCUCUCCUUUCGAAUUUCCUGAGUUUGGUAGAGACUGCUUAAGUGGUGUAUCUAUUAUAAACAAGCAAAACUAUGUUGCAACAGUGGUACGGUACCACUGUUGCAACAGUGGUACGGUACCACUGUUGCAACCAGCUAUUGAAUCUAUAGUUGUAUAGUUACAUUAGCAAGAUCCAAUAGCUAAACGAAACAAUAGUACCGUACCACUGUUGCAAUAUAGCUAGACCCAUUAUAAAUACCUGAAGUCAAAGUUAAUGUUUUAAUUGUUAAGAAAAGUUCGAAGAAGAAAUUUUUGUAUAAGAGAAUUGGGUUUAAAUUUAGAAUUCUUUGGAAGGAAAUGAGUCUAAAUUCCAAUAAUAUAAUUCAGCUCUAUUUAUAUAUAUCAUUAGUUGGGUGAAAAAUUAAUUUCCCUCAUUUGAUGUGAUUUUCAUCAUUUAUUUUCAUAUGAUGAUAAUUUUUUGUUUAGAGUGAAGUUAUUGGCACCCUUUCAUUAUCCUUAUAAAACCCUACUUCAAAUAAAAUUACACUUAAAGACAAUAGAAUUAAAUAACAUAGUUUUUUUUUUCAAACAAAUUACUCACAUUCAUAAUUUUUUUUUCUUCUAAUUUUCUAUAGGUUGCUUUGCAUCUAACUAAAAUAAAUUGUACAAAUUUAGAAUAAUUUAUUAUUCUUUUUAAAUUUCUUAUUGAUUAAAUAUUUGUGUAUUUAAGAUAGCUUUAAAAUUAUAAGAUAAAAUAUAUAUAAUUUAAGCCAAUGAUUAACAUUCAAAAAUUUCUCUCUCAUAAAAGUUUUUAAUUUGUGCGUAGGGUAAUAAUAAAAUUGCAAAAGAAAUGAGAAAUAGCAUAACACUAUUUUGAGUUUAAACAAUAAAAAAAUUAAAUGAAAAAUUAGAAGUGUAUUUAAAAAAAGGAUAUUUUUAAAAGUAAAAUAAAUAUAAUUAAAAAAAAAGAGUUUCAUGAGGGGUGCAAGCAAUAGUUCAACUCUUUUGUUUAUAAGUUUUAAGAUGUUGGUAUCCGUAGCUUAGCUUUUCCCUAAUUAUUAUAUUAAAAUGCAACAACAAUGAUGAUCAACCCUAAUUUCAUGGAGGUCAAAGAUUUUGGUCAUGCCGCAUUAAUUAGUUCGGUCAUACUUUCUACAAAUUUAUUUACAUUUAAUAAUUUGACCAAGACUAAGGCGCCGCCUGGAGUCAUAGAAUUUUAUAUGUCAAAAAUGCAUUUCACUUCAAUUAAGCCAUAAAUGUCGUUUAAUAUGCUUAUUUUGUAUUUUUUUAAAAAGUUUUAUUAAUUUUUUUUGUUUUUAAAAAUAUCAUUUAUUUAUUUUUAAAUUUUUUUUUUUAAAGGUAAAUAAGUGGGUAAAGUUCAAAUUCAAUUUUUAUCCCUUACGUCAUGGCUCCUAAGAUUUGAACUUAAGUGACCAAAUGUAUAAUAAUAGGCAUCUCAAAUAUCAUUUCUAAUUAUAUGUAAUUUAUUAAGUGAUUGUUAAUCUUUACAAGAUCCAAGUGAAUUAAUUGUAUUAUUUCACUACUAAUUGAUGAGUAUCAUAUUAUUUGGAAUAACUUUUGAAUAAAAAAAUUGUGAUGGAUGAAAUAUUCUUUUGAGAAUUUAUUGACUUAUCUCAUUUAUGAUUUAUUGUUGCAUUUAAGUGAUAUUGCAAAUAAUUUUUCCAAUAAUAUUAUUGUUUUGACGAGUAAGUUUGGAGUAAAUAAUACAUAUGGCAAGUGUGAGGUUUGUUAUUGCAUAUAUUUUGUGGAUCCAUUUUAAAGCCAAAAAAAAGGCAUUUCAAUUCAUUAUGAUUCCAGAUAAUUUCAAGCCAUAUGUCAUUAUUGGGAUAAAAAUAAAGUAAAAUGAUUAAAACUAUUUUUAUGUAAUUUAUAAAAAUUAAUGAAGCAACUGCAAAAAUUUUUAAACGAAAAACAAUUGAAAUGUGUGUGGAAAAAGAAGAAAAAAAUAAGGCAUUUAAAUAUCUUCUUAAAAAAUACGAUUGAGUAAAAUCAUUUUAACAGAAUGCUCUUCGAAAUGCAAUUCCACAUUAUUUUUUUUAUUGCAGUGGGAUAUUCCAAAAUUGGCACAACUCAUUAAGAAUUCGGCAACUAAAAUUUUAUUUAUCACUCUAUGCAUUUGACAAAUUAAAAAGAAAAAAAAAUCAUAUAUCUUCUGUUCAAAAGAAACCUUGGUAAAUAUUGUAAAACAAAUUACCAAUUUUUUUAAUUUAUGCCAUUAUAUCGUCGCUAUUUUCUCGCCCACUUUCUUAAAAUAGAAUCAAUAUUUAUUGAUGGGUUGGGUUCCAAAGUAAGUACCAAUUCAACAAAAUGGUUUUAUAGCAGAAAAAACACUUGUAAGACAUUCAGAACACAUUUUUCAAUUUUGUCUUUUGAAAAUGAGUCUUGAGUUUCCACAAGCCAAGAAGAAUGGCUAAAAAAUGUAUGGUAUCAAAGAAAGAGAAACACACACACACACAGAGAUUAGUGAGGAGAUAUAUGAGUGUGUAAUUUGUAUAUAUAUCCCCAUUAAUUGUUGAUAGUCCAAUGGGUAUAUGCAAAAGGAAAAAAUUGGCUGUCCUUUUAAGACAAAAUUGACUGUCACAUGAAAAUGUUAGCACACUUGCCACGCAACGAAAAUAAAGAUUCCAAGAACAAACUUUAUAGUCCCCUUUCUGUCCAAACAUAUGCGAUAGAAAUUAGUGUAAACGACACUUGAAAUAUAUAUGUAGAUCCUCACACAAUUGAUUAAAUAUUUAGAGUAGGAUGGAGUGAUAAAUAGUUUCACAAAAUUAUUGGAAUUAACUACUUAAUACAUGAGAUCUAUCUCAUUAAGUAUAAAAGAUUGAGUGCUGCUUCAAAAGCAUGACGUUGCUGGCAACAAAUUUAACACAAAAAUUUAAUUAACUAUCCUAGUUGAGAUAAUAAAAUCUUGUGUUGAAAACAAAAGGUUUGAGGUUCGAACCUUCUCAUUCAAGAAAAUCAAGUCAAAAUAUUACAUCUUCCAGCACAUAUCAAAGAUUUUUUCAAAGGCAGACUGAUAAUUCAGGGUAAAACAAAAAAAAACACAAGGACUAUAUGCUAUUCAAGACAGGUAUACCUUGGACAUGAAGUCUGAAUCCAAAACAAGAAGCACCUAGCUGAUCUUUCACUUUCAAUUUCCAAAAUCCAACAAAAUCUUUGUCAAAAUAUCUGAUCUAGUCUCAUAUUAAGCACAUUCAUAGCCGUAUCAACAGGUUCAAAAUAUUUUCCCCAAAAUGAGACAGAGAUUCCACUGAAGUUGAGUUGUGAAUGUCCCAACGUUCUGUAAUUAUAUGGUUCAGGAUACCAUGCCUAUUAAUCUUUUUUUUUCCUUUUAAAAAAAGGAAGCCAUAUAAAUAAUGCUUAAAACAUUAUUUGCAACAAGGAACAAUCAUUUCAUGCUUUCAUGUAUUAGAAACUUUCCAAAAAUGCUAGCAAGAAAAUGAAAUGGAACUUUACCUAGUCACAGAAUAUGUACUGCUGUUAGCCCAAUUGUUAUGAAGUGGCUUCUGCAUCAGAAGAUUCCAGCUCCCACCAAACAUUGUUAUCUCUCUUCUGAAUACAAUCUGCAUCGUUGGGCAUGAGUUAUAUCAUUAAUGUCUGCAUCCUCACUUACAUCAUCCCAAUCAAGUGCUUUUUCUCCAUAUCUGGAUUAUAAGUCCACUCCAAUCUCUUCAAAACAUCCUAGUCCUUCCAUCACAACUGAUACGACUUCCUUCCUAAUUACUUUCCCAUUAAUAAAUCGCUCCAAGAAAAGAAAGCAUUAGAAAUUCUCUUCAACACCCCAUCACUCAUAUCCCCUACAACAACCCUCUUCAGACACCUCAACAUUGCCUCUUGAAAGACCUCCAUAAAAUCCGAAUCAUCCGACACAACCACCAAACACCCAAACCUUCUUUUGUCCACCAUAUCCACCAUAUAAUUCCUCAACAAAACAUCGGCAUCUUGUGGCUUAUCUAACACCAUCCUGACCCAAAACCAUGCUCUUUUUAACUCAUCUGCAAAACCAUAACCCACUUUUGGAGUCAAAAUUGCGCUUGCAGCCAUUUUAUAUUUUUCCAUCUUUAUUGAAUAGUUGCCAACCAAAAGCACUCUCACAUUCCCUCUAGCUGAUUCUAUUUGAUUCGACCUUUUCUUUUGUUCCUCAUGAAUUUGCCUAAAAUGAUUAACAAGUUUGUCAUUAUUAUAAAAUCUCCUUCCACAAUCACCAAUACAUACGGCUUAGCAUGCCUAAUUACACCCCUGAUUUCUAAUUGGUUAAACAAUUCUCUUUCUUUCUUUGCUCUCUUACAACUUGAGGCACAUAACUAAACGCGUGGCUAUUAGCAUUUGCCACCAUGCAUUUAACAACCCCAAAUGAAGAUAUUAAUUUUUUUAGUUUAAUUGCUGCUUCAAAAUGGGGUACUGAAUUUGGAUUUUGUUAUCCAAAUACCAAAAAUUUCCCACAUUGUGAUGGACAGUUUUUAGUUCUAAAGUUGAUGACUGGUUUUGCGAAUCAGGCUUCAAAUGAGAACUUCUAAACAAUAAGACAAAUGAGUUUUUGAGUUUCUAAUCUUGUAAACUUUGUUCUAUUGUAUAAGUUAUGAAAUCGCUGAAACAUCACUACAGUUACAGGUCUUUAUGUGUCAAUGAACUGCAGAAGCCGAUCUUCACGUUUUCACGCGGAAGUGCACAUUUGUGAGGCGUACUCUUCAUGCACGAGGACGUGCAUGGUCAUGGCGGUGGGAGAAUGUCACGGACCGCAAUCGUGGCACCCAAGAUAUGUGCUUGUAUGCUAAUGUCGAUUAUGGUUGUGCUGAUUGUUGGAGACGUGCUUCAGGGGCGUGCAUGUGGGGAAUAUAAUGGCCCUAGACUCUUUGGAGUUCAGGCAGGCCAACCCGGUUUAGUUUGGGGAGCUUGUUGCUAGUCGAGGACUUAACCUUGAAGAGGGGUCUAGGCAAAACCCUACACACACUAGUUGGGAACUGGAGUCGUUCUCCUAACAAGCCCAAGGCAGGGCGAAACCAGUCGAUAUUGUGCCACUUCCACUAGGCUUACUCUCGUAGUAUGGGAUGCGGGAGUGCCGCACGGGUUCAAAACCUCUCGUCUCGUGACACUCUGCUCAAAAGCUAUGCUGCAAGAUAUAACAUCUUUGCAAUGUUAUACUUUCUAAAAGUAAUAAGAAAUCAUUUUAAAAAAAAGUAAUAAGAAAUGAAACCAAGGGGUAAAUCGAACACCAAAAGAAAUUUAGUCGGCCAACCACAUUAUGUUCCCACACAGUCCACUAAUUAAGUUAAUAAUUAAAGGGAAUCAAAAUCUAAGAAAUCUCAUCUUCAAGCAGAAUACAAACACACCGCGAUUGAAAAUCACAAAAUCGUAAAAAGAAGUUGACUUGAAAAGGGGUGGGCCGCCUCAUUUGCCCACCAACCACACCACACACACAAACACUCCAGCACACACACAAACUCUCUAGCUUUUGUAAAAAACUCUCUUGUAUAUUCUCUCUUUGUCAGUAAUAAAAUCAUAUUCAGCCCUAUUGCUCUACUUCUCUCUAGCAUUUUCCUCAAGUGUUCUUGCUUCGCUAGUUUGAGGAGUGGUCUAGGCUUGCUUAGCAACUUGUUUGCUACAAGGACAUCUUGGUCACAAAACAUGGACAUGCAAGGAAAAAAAAAAUAUUGAUACGUUCUAAAAAUAAUACGCAUUCUUCUACAGUGAACCAAAAAAUUUAGGCUAAUGGUAGCAAGUGAAGGAAUUGUGAUUUCAUGUGCAUUUUGUUGACAUGAAGGUAAAGAACUUUUUUAUAGUUUAUAUUGUUUAAUAUAACAUUUGAAUUGCAAAAUAGGGGUACAAAAUAGAUACACGAAGGGAUAAAACUAAGCUGAUUAUGAUAAAUAUUGAAUUAUAAGAUUUAGGUUUAAUCAUAAAGACAUAAGUGGCCCACAAAGUCACGAAUUGAUAUCAUACACGAUGCAAGUUCAAACAACUGCAUAAUAAGUUGCCCCAAUCUAAACUAUUAAUCUAGUAACUAUUCUAGUCGAUGGGGGAUAAUUUUCCUAUCACCAUUUAUCACGUGCAAGCCAAAUUUGUUGCUUGGUUCUUACAUGUGGUAAGGUAAUAUGAAUCCACUUGUGCAUAAAUUUGGCUCCGAUAUUAUAUAGAAGCUUAUGACCCAAAAUUAUACUUAAAAGUUAUUUCAAGAUUUGAGGGUUGCCUCAAGGUAAUAUUAUUAUUAGCCUGGUAACCCUUUUUUUGGUUGAUAUGUGAUAUUUUCCCUAUAACUUUUAUUAAUCUUUAUGCCUAUGUUUUGUCAUUUAUCCCAAAAUAUAACAUUAACAAAAGUUCCAAAAUUUCCUUCAAGAGAUAUACUUGAGACAAGUAAUUUGUGCAAUAACUUUGUGAAUUGAUGAGCAAAUUCAGAGAAAAGAAUAUAUGUGCCAAACGUAAUGUUUAUUAUUGUGUUUAUUUGUAGAGCUAUUUAAAGCCCCAAAAAAAAAAAAAAAGCACCGGUCCGCUAUUAUUUCAAAUAAGUUCAAGCCCUAUGUCAUUAUUGGUACAAAAAUGUAUUAGAAUGGUUAAAAACUAUUUGUAUUUAACUUAUAAACUUAGGAAAUUAUCAACUGUCCACCCUUAAAUUGCAUUGUUAUAAAAAAUAUUACAACAUUUUCAGGUUGUAUCAUUCAUCUACCAUAAAUUUACAAUCUGCAUCAUUUAUCCACCAAAUCAUUAACUUUGUUAAAAAGUGAUAGACGUCACAAGGGUAAUUUAGACAUUUAACACACACAAAAAUAAAAGAGAAAUUAUCUAAGCUUACCAUGUUAUCAAAAUUGCUACAAAAUUUUAAAUUUAUUCAAUUUUCCAAUCUAAGUUUAUGCCUCCAAGAUGUUAAUUGCAGUUUGUAAUUAAUGAGUUCAUAAGGAUAAUUUAGACACUCAAUAUGCAAAAUAAAAAAUAAAAUAAUGGCUUAAAACAUUAAAACAAAAAACUUGAUAUUCAAUUAAAUACACAUAAACUCUAUUUUUUUCUUAAUUAAAAAUAUUCUAAUUUUUUUUCUCAAUUUAUCAUCAUAAAUUUACAUUAAUAAACUAAAUCCACAAAUUACCCUAAUUCAUAAAUGCCCAAUCAGUCUAAUAGUUUACUUCGAUUUCAUAAUUAAAAAAGCUAAAUUUAUUAUAUUAGUUAUGGUGCAAAGUCAAAAAUGCCCUUAAAUUCAAGGGUAAAAUAACAUUUUAUUUAAAUUCUAUAAAUUAUUCUAACAAUGUUAACAUUUUGGUGGACGGUUAAUAUAAAUUGCAAACUUAAAAUAGAAAAUCAAAUAAAUUCAAAUUUUCAAACUAUUUAGGGCAAAUUUAGGAUAUAUGGUUAAUAAUUUUCCCAUGUCUUUUUACAUUGGUUGAUACAAGUUACAAACUUAAAAUAGAAAAUCAAAUAAAUUUAUAUUUUCAAACUAUUUAAGAUAAACUUAGGGUAUAUGGUUAAUAAUAUUCCUUUAUCUUUUUACGUUAAAUUGAGUUUCAAAGGUAAAAUGAUCAAUUUAUUAUAAUUCUGUUAAUUUUUUAGUGGAAACAAAUGAUAUAAUAGACGAAUGAUAUAAAUUGUAAAAUUAAGGUGCAUGAAUGAUACAACUUUAAAAUAUUGUAGUAAUUUUAAUAAUAGAACAAUUUAAGGGUGGAUUGGCAAUAAUUUAAACUUUAAUGAAGCAGCUAAAAAAAAUUUUUAACAAAGAAAAAUAAUUGAAUGCUUUGUGAAACCAAAAAUAAUUGAAAUGCUUUAAGAAAAAUAAAGGAAAUUAAAUAUCUUUAUAAAACCAUAAUUGAGUAAAAUCAUUUUACAAAAUGCUCUUUCAAAUGCACAUUCCACAAGCCAGGGAGAACGGGUGGCUAACAAAAAUCUCACUUUUUAUGAGUUUAUAAAAUCUCACUUUUGCAGAAUCCAAAAAUAGCCAAUACUAAUCACACAAAAAAUAAAAAUUAUUGCUGUCACGACAUUACACACUUUCUUCGCGGUUUAUAAAGCUAGAACAUUUUGAAGUUCCUCAAUACAAAAUGCGUGCUGCUACUAAAUUGGCCCAAUUAAUGCCCAUCGAAAAGGCCAUCAAUUUAGCCAUCAAUUUUGUCAAAAUUUCAACAAUUAAGAAACAAUGAUCGCAAACGGAACAUGUGAAUUUUGAAGUUGAAGAAAUCUUGAGAUACAUACAACAAAGCCUUGAAACUUUAUUCUUCACAAUUUGAGCACGCACUAAAUAUUAAACAAGUAUAGAACAAAGCUUAUUUUUAGCUUCUUGUGCGAACUGAACACGCUGAAUGAAGCUUUUUUUUUUUUGGAUUUUUGGAAUUUUUUAAAGUCAUUUAUGUUCGCUGCCAUCUUUUUCUUCGCUGGCGUCUUCCUCUCGGGGCUGGCAUCUGCCUCGUCUGUAGUUUGCUGUGCCUAUAUAUCCAACCAAUAAAUUGGGCAUUAAAUACGAAUGAAUGAUGAAUAAAAUGAUUAAAAAAAAACAGAGAAAAUUAUAAUAUAACACAUAUAUAUUGAAAGAGAAAUUUUGAUUUUAGGAUAGAUCAAUUAGCUAUCACAAACGAAAACAUGAACCAACUGUGUAUAGAGUCAAUUAACUAAAGUUCUCAAGAGUUGACCUGUGCUCCUGAAUUCUUGGACUCAUCUAUCUCCUUCUGAAUUUCCACGAAGCUUGGGACAAUUACGAACAACUUUAUGGGAUGCAGAUGGAAAUGGGAUCUGAUAACCCGCAGGCCAAAAGUUGGUGAGGUUUGGUAAGUCUUCCAGUAUCAAGUCCCGAAGUUCAUUCAUAACAAUUUCAUUGUAAUCCGUGACGUCUGCUCCAUCUUUAUGCCAGAAUACUUCUUCUAAUUCAUCAUUAGCUGCUAUACAUAGGUGCUUCAGUUUUUGAAGACUUUGAGCUAUGCUGAUAUGAAAUAGAUGCUUUAGUUUGGGGCAAUCAAGGACAGCGAUAUUUGUGAGUUUUGGGAAACAAACAGGUUGGAGAUGAUCCUCAUCCUCAUCCUCAUCAAUGAUUUGCUCUAAUUCCUGACAAUUCACAAUAGAUAACACCUCCAAUUGCAACAGAUUUCGAGCAAGUGUUGAUGAGAAGAGACGUCUCAGCAUAGUGCACCCGUCCACCCUUAAUCUGGUAAGACUUUGCAGGCUAAAAUUAUGCGUGGGACCUACGUGAUAUAAUACUUGCAGUUCUCGAAUGUUUUCCAACCACAACGACUUCAAACAUGGGAAUAGUUUAUUUUCUUGUCCCUCAGCGAUAAUAGCUUCCACUUGAAAUACCACCUGUACUCCAAUUUCCAAAAUAUUCAAUUCUUCCAAAUUUUUUAAGCCGUGCUUCAACAGUGCUGGAAUCGUGUCACUCAAAUGGGAACAAUUGGCCACAUCUAGAGUAUUUAAGUUCUGAGACAAAUAAAUAAAUAACUUGAUGCAAUUAAAAUCUAUUAGCAGCUAGGAUUAUCACAUGAUAAGUGAUGAACACCGCAAAAAUAUCAUAAUACAUAUGUAAACUAAUAAAAUAAUUAAAAAGUAAUGGAUUUAAAAAAAAAUGAAAUUAGUUAAAAGAGAUCAUGUGAAGUGAUAUAAAUGUGACAUUAUAUUGUUUGAGAAAAAUUAGUAUUCUAUUAAUUUCUAUGGAUUGAUCAACUAAUUAAUUGAAUUUGAGUAAUAUAAUAUACACUUCAGUAGUGUUUGCAUCAAUUCUUUCUAAACCGAAAUGAGAUAUGACUUUCAUUUGAAAAAUGAUUUUAGGCCCUAAAAUAAAGGAAUUUCCUUAAGAUAUUUGAGCAUUAUUAUUAUCAUCAUCACAUCCACGAUCAUCAUCAUCUCCAUAGGACCAAAUAAUUAAUGGCUGAUCAUAAAAUUUAUUGCUAAACUAUCAUUUCGAGUAAAAUUGAAGGAAAAGAAAAAACAUAAACACAAACAAACAUACCUCUUUGAGAUAUUGCAAAUUGGCUUUAAGUUCAGUACUGUUGAUGGUCAAGUUGGGACAGUCAUGAAGCUGUAACUCUUCCAAUGCUGUCCAAAUUGAACAAUAAUUUUCUGAACAAAAGCUCUUGAGUUCUGGGAGUUCUUGAAGUGUUAAUCUUCUCAACAAGGGGAGGGCGAGCAUCGUAUUUCCACCUUCGACACUUAUUUCCCCUUCAUUGUGAUCAAACUUUGCUUCGACAAUACAUUCCAGUCUCUUGCAAAAAGUCACACUGAGACUUUUAAGCUGCUCCAAACUUCUAGCUUGUGACAACGUGAAGAUAUAUGUCAACUUGUUGCACCUUUGCACAUUCAAUUCUGUGAGAGUUUGGAGGCUGAUCACAUGUUGGGCGGGCGCCUUCCAUAUCCACUUCAGUUCUGGUAAUUGGAACAUAUUUAACUCUACUAAUCUUGAGAGACUCUUUCCAUGCAGCGACUUAGAGGCAUCCAUUAUGCAUUCUAAAUCUUCGCAAUCGCGAACAUCAAGACAAGUCAACUCAUUUAAGCCCCUUUCAUCUAUGCUUGGCACAAUAUUAUGACAACCUAUUAACCCCCUCAAACGAAGAAAUUUCAGAUUUUGAUACAAUGCUGAAAAAAUAACGAGCGAGGUCGCCACUUCAUGAGGGUAAUUCUCAAUGAUUAAGCUCCUUGUUUCAUCACCAUGUUCCAUGUCAUGAUCAGAUAAUUGACCAUUACCGAUGACGUACCUUUGCAUUUUCGGGAAUGUAAAGUCUUUUGGAAGACAUAUAACUUGGGAGUUCAACUCAGCAAGCCUAGCAUUACUUUCUUCUGAACUCAUCUCUUCAACCUCCCAAUCUUUUAUCCGACCAUAAAAUUCUUCCAAUUGAGGAAAUUUUUUUAUUGUAAUGGGAGAAACAGAACCAGUAUCAAUAUAUAGAAGUUUCAAUCUACCAAGUUCAUCCGACGACAAUUCUUCAGGAAUUUCAAUGGGAGAUGACUGGAGAUAAAGAAGUUCAAGUCUCUUCAACUUUCCAAGAAAAAACGCGUCACUCACAUCACACCGAAUCAACUGCAGAACCUGGAGGUUGGUGAGGCUCUGAAGCGAUUUAAGUGAAAGAACUCCACCUAUUAUAGUGACAACUUUCAAUGCUGGCAUCCCUUUAAAAAAAUGUUCUGGAACUUGCAAUCGGUGGUCGUAUUCAGGAUUCUCCAAUCGCAAAAUAUGAAGGUUAGGGCAUACCAAACUACUAGGAAGCUCUUCUACUUUAUUUCCCAUUACAGAGAUUCCUCUGUAUUGUUCCAGGCCUUCUUCCAUUGCCCGUUCUGCCAAUCCAAUGCCAACUUUACUAAAAAAUUUCUUCUCCACUAGUACUUCUGAGCCUAUCCAUAUGGCUACAUCACGAACUAUGUCAUGCAUUUUCACAGAUCUGUCAUUACCAGUGUCUAACAGUAGUGAAGCAGCUUUGAGUCCGUCAAUUGUUCCAAGCAGUAGGCUUCUGGUGUUCUCUAUUGACUCAGCUUGAUACCAAGUCAACCCUACUGCAUAUCCAACCAAAUCCUCCAAAUUAAUCUCAUAAUCUUCUGGAAAUAGCGAACACAACAAGAAGCAUAACUUGGAAUUGUCAUCAUUCAAUUCGUCGUAACUAAAUUUGAGACAACCGUAAACGUCUAAGUUCUCCUCAUCAAUACCUUCUAUUGCAUAGAGUUUUGCAGCCUUUAGGUUAUGUAGAGCUAGGUUCCAUUCAUUAAAUCUUUUUCCUCUUAGUGCACUUCCAACAGCUUCAAUAGCUAAAGGCAGCCCCUUACAUUCUCCAGCAACUUCUUUGGAAACAUCAUUCAAGGUGGAGUCAUUUACAUUAAUUUUGGCAUUUUUUCGCAGUAAAGCCAAUCCUUCUUCUGGCGUUAGUGUACUAAGUGGAAUCUGUGUGUCACAACCCAAAGAAUCACAAACUGACUUUUUGCGAGUGGUUAGAAGGAUUUUGCAACAAUUAUCUCUACCACCGACGGUAAUACCUAAUUUUUUCUCCGAGUCGAGUGGUUUCCAAACAUCAUCAAGGAUUACGAGGAUUUUGCUGCUUUUACUCUCAGAAAACAUCAAGCGCAAUCGGUCUGCUCUCUCUUUUUCAUCUUUCUCAUUUAGUGCCCAGCCUAACGACUUUGCCAACUCACCUUGAACCUUUAUUAUAUCUAGAUCCUGAGACAUAGUGGCUAUCCCCACCUUAUCGAAAAGCUUUUGUUGCCGAAGUUGAUUGCCCACAUAUUUUGCCAGGGUUGUCUUUCCUACACCACCGAGACCAUGCAAUCCCACCAUCUUUGUGCUCUCUUUUUUCAGUGCGUCAAUGAUCUGAUUGCAAGCGGAUUCUGUGGUCUUGAAAAUAGAAGUAAAAUGCCUUGGCAAACUUAAUUCUCUUUCUAAUGGUAGAGGUUUAGGAGAGGCAACUGUGUUGAAUUGGCUGCAGCCUUGUAGCAGAUCGGACAACUUGCUAGUCUUCUCUGAUGCUUUUCUGCCCAGACGAUAUCGGCAACACCAAUUAGGACACAAUCCAUGAAGACUACUAUCCUUUUCAUCUAUCUCUGCUUUCAACUUCCAAACAUCGUCCAAUUCUUCGACUCCAUUAUUCAGCCACUCCAUUACAUUUUCAUCGACUACUAUGUCGGGGCAUUUUCGCAGUUCAUCGUCUAUUCUUGUUUUGAUGCCAUCUCGUGCCUUCUUCAACUUAGUUUCUUUAUCCUCAAGUUCUUUAACAAUGCUGUUGAAACAGAACAUAUAGCGAGCUUGGUCAAUGGCUGCAUUCACCAAUAAUUCUUCAACCUUUGAUUUUAAAGCUUCCAUGCUAUUUAUCUGCAAAUAACGAAGUUGAUCUCAGCACACUAUUAGCGAAACAACAAGGCUUGAUCACCAGACAAAAUGAGAACGUUUAAUUACCUCUUUCUGCACUGUGAAUGCACGUCUAUUAACACCAGCUUUGACCAAUAAGAGCAAAAUGCAGAGGUGGGGCCUUAAGAGUUUCGGUGGCCUUUAGCUGCAAAACGGCAGAUGACAAAUAAGGUGAACGUUCCUAGCAAACGUGAUUUACGGUGAAUUAUAUUCAAAUUAGAUUAUUUUAAAAGUUGGUAAAUUAUUUAUCACUCUAUCUUAAUGAUACCUUAUUUGGGAUGAUAAAGAUUGGGGUAAAUUCCCUUUUAUUCUCACAUGUUUAUAGUAUUUAUAUUUUUAUAAAUUACCUAAAACAUCCAUGUAACUUACUUUUAUAGCUAUUGAACAUAUCAUUUCAAAUAUAAAAUACUAUUUCUGUCUAAUAUAAAUUAAAAAUCAAACAAAUCUAUCAUGCAAUAAAUGAAAAGUAAAGAAUAUUAAUUAGGUUUUAAUGGAAACAAAUAUAAAACAUAGAGGUUUUGAGUAACUUUUGUAUUUUUUUUAAUGUUCAAUUUAGAAUUGAAUAAUUUGCAUAAUGAAAUUUUGAGGUUUCUAUAAUUUAUAUGAAGAUAAACUGCGAAAUAAGUUUAUAUGCCGAAAUUAAAAUAGUUAUAUAUUAGCAAUCAUAUAAUAAUAAAAAAUUUUAAUAAAAUUUAUUUAAAAAUUGGCCAAUUGUGUUUCAUGAGUAAAACAGAGAGCAUAAUGGACUUAUGUUGGGUCUUGGGAUUGAAAGACUAAGGGUAAGGGGCCGGGAGGUAGGACGGUAGGAAAAUUAAUUUUUGUUAUUUUUAAAGUAUGGUCAACAUUAGUGACUUGGAGGUGAUUGCCGUUAAUCAAUUACCUUUAACUUAAGAAUUAAUACAAAUAAAUGGAAAAAAUAAUUUAAUGAAAAUUAAUUUAAUAAAAAAUUGCACUAAAAACUUAGAACUCAAAUUCUCGAUCAUUUUAUCCGUACGUUUUAAUCCGACGCUCAGAAUUGGCAUAAAACAAACUAAUAUAGCCAUUGGAAAUAAAACAAACAUCAAAUCAAGAGCCUAUGAAACAAUAUUAUCUCGUACCUUCUUCCUUAUAGAUCCUCAAUUGCUGUUGAAAGCUGCAUAUGACAAUAUAAAUAAACAUGAGAUCAAAACAUCAUAGGAUAUAUCUAGCCAAUUAACAUCAUAUAUAACUCCUUGUUCUCAGUCAAAUCUUUCAUUCUUAGAUUAAAAAAAAAAUGAAAUAAUAACUGUUAAGUGAUAUAGGAAGCAAAAGUAACACACCGAAAUGAAAGCAGCUAGUUCACAGAUGACAGAUGCGGUGACUUCAAGAGCAUGAAAAAUGAUUAAACUUUGGUAGAAGGGUCUGAGCCGUGUUUCACAAGUUGCUAUUGACUUCGUGGCUUCGCUUUUAUUUAUUAUUAUUAUUUUUUUAAAUUCUAUAUCAGUGAGAAUUGAAAUGUGGAAAGUGAAAUGAUACACAUGCCUUAUCAUCUAUCAUGAGGGGUGAUUUGGUAAAACCGAUUUAAAAUAAAAAAAGUUUAAAAAAAUUUAAAAAGAUGCUUUGUGUCUGACUGCUUGUAUUUGGGGUAUUUUUCGGGUUGUUGAGACUUGAGAGUGAGUUUAAUUAAAUAUAAGAUUUUCAUUUUUCUUAUUAUAUUUUUCUCUUUAGAAUGAAUUUAAAUCUCAUUCUUAUUAAAUUCAUUUUUUUAAAUGAAAAUAGAUUUCUCUCCACACAUUUGAGAUAUAUUUUAAAAUUAAUGUUAAGCAUAUCUCUAAAUUAUAUUAUAAAUAUUUUUAUUUAAAAUCUCAACAGAUUUCAUAACACACAGAGAGAAAUACAUAUAUAUGUUGUAAUGUUUUAAUGAUGGAUCUCUAAAGUUAUCAAGUUAAAAAAUAAAUAAAUAAAUAAAAAAUACACACUUCAACUUAUUAUAUGAUAAAAUAUAGUAUAUUAAAGUGAGUAUUUUUUGUGUGAAAUAAAAUUAAAGUGAGUACUAUUACCACCUCACAUCUUAUAAAUUCUAGAAAAUAAUCAAGGCUUGACAUACUUUUAUUUAUGCAAAAGCAUAAGAAAAUAAUUCAAAGUACUAAUUAGUGUACUAUUCCUCAAAAUUCUAGAAUAGAUUUGUUAGUUCUCUUUAGCCAUAGAUUGGUCCGUGAUUGGCACCGCAAUAGCUCAUAAUCACCUCAACAAUUGUUCCACACGGCCCAACAUGACACAUUGUAAACUAGUCUACAAGAAUUUUUUGAGUGGCUUUCUAGCAAUAUUCUUAGAGAAAGUGUUUAGUAGUUUCAAAUCUUCUUUUUUUAACACAAAUGUUGGCAUGAUAUUCUUAAUAUAUUUCUAAAAUCAAAAUAAGAUGCAUAGAGGACGAUAAUUUUAUUUCAUAAUUGAAUUUUUUGCAAAGAAAGUUUGAACAUGAGAGUGAUGAGAGAUGAGAAUAUUGAUGAUGGUGUGUACUUUGAAUGGAAAAAUAGAUUGGAAAUAUAUAUAGACAUAUUAAAAGAAAAAAAUUUGGUCUAUUUCAUAAGAGAAAUAAAAAAUUAUAAACGCGGGUGUUAAAAUGUAUUCAGAAUUUAUAAAUUUUUAUAAAUAUGAUAAUCAUCAGACCCUUAUAAAAGUAUAACAAAAAAGUUUAAAAUUUUUUAAUAAAUGUAGAAGAGAUGAACGAAGAAAUCAUCCACCAGUUCAGAAUUAACAAUCAAAGAUAUGAGGACUUGAUUGAAGAAAUGAUGAAAAAUAAAAGGAAACUGGGUUGGUUAGCGGGACCCUAAUAUUAAUGGUGAAAAAUAAAAGGACACUGGGUUGGUUGGCAGGACCCUAAUAUUAAUGGCAAAAAAUAAAAGGACACUGGGUUGCUAUCAAUUUCGAUCGUGUAGGUUCAUAGCCGGGGAAGUAAUUGGGCACAAAUAUCUCGGAUGAGAAAUAACCAUUUUAUCCCGCAACCAUAUGUUUAUGGCCUCUAAAAAUUUUCACCUCUUUCACUUUCUGGAACCCGUGCUUUCUGGCACAUGCACAAAUACUUGGUUGCUACUUAUAGAGCGUUUUUGGAAUUGCAACAACAUGGUGCUCUUUGAUAAUUCAAAAAUCCAAUAUAAUUUAUAGAGAAUUACAGAAUUGUGGUACGUGAUAAUUUGCUGAUGCAAUGAGGCGCCGAAAUUCUUAUACAUGUGAUUUAAGUUAUAUAUGUAUAAUUAAGUAAUUAGAAUAUACUAGUUGGGGGUAUUUGUGUCCAUGAAAAUUUACAGCUGGUUGUUGACAUUACACUGCGGGUGUGUAAGUGUAAUCAUGGAUCUGACCAUUCAAAUUUAAAAAAUGGGGGUCCCGCUAGCUUACGGAGUUAGUAAUUAUUAGAUAUGCAUAUAUGCUCCCAUACGAUAAUCUUAUCAUAAAUUUGAAGGAUACGAGGACUUGAUUGAAGAAAUGAACGAAUAUUUGAAUUAAAAAAAAUUUUAGAAUAAAGACAAGUAUUAAUUUACUAUGAAUGCAACUUACAUAAGCUGUAAGUUAGCGGGACACUAUUAAAUCACAAGCAAAAAGCAAUCUGACUUCUUCUUGAUUCCGUAAUUUGGCUGUCAAAAUGUAAUCUAUAAAAAUUACGAUACCUCGAUUCAAAAAAAUGUUGUUUCUGAUGAAAUAAAUGAAAAUUGAACGUACAAUCUGCCACGAACACUGUUUAAUUAACCGUUUAUUUCCCCUUAAAUUUUUAAUCUCAAUGAAACAUAGAUCUAAUGGGAACUACAUAUAUAUAAAAAUACUAUAGAUUGAAGAAGUUGAAUUUUUCUUGUGUGUUAAGUAUUUUUAGUUAAUACGAAAGGAUUCUAGCAAGUUAAUACAAAAGUAUCAUAAAUUCAUAGUAGUACAAGAGAUUUUUUUUUUCUUUUGAUAUUAAGAGUUUUCGAGAUAAAAAAAAAAAAAUAGGUGAAAGAAGAAGAUGAGAGAAGAAAAAAUAUUAAGAAUAGUUUUGGCAUUUUGAUGCGUUUUAUAGUGUAAAAUCUAUAUUUUAUAGUAUAAAAAGGUACACCCAUAAUUUAAUGAUAAAAUUUUAGGAAAAAAUUGCACUCGUCAAAAAAAAAAAAGAAAAGGCUCAGCUUAGCCCAAAAAUUUUUUAUUAAUCGUCUAGUCGCUAAUGUAAUCUCUUUUUUAUGAGAUUCUUUGGCGUUUUAGUUUAGUCCAUUGUUAGCAAUCCUAAUAGCUUUUAUGUGCAUCUAUUUUUAUUUGGAAUAUGUUUCAAGCUUGAAUAAAAUCUGCGGGACAACUGGUAAGUAAUAAAGCUCAUCAUUUUUUUAUUUUGAAAAUAAAGGGAAUCACUUACACUUAGCAUGAUAUUAUUUUUGAUAAGUCAUUUUUUUGGUAGAUUAUUUUUUCUAACACGCUCUUAGAUUUAGUGAAAAUAAAUUGUAUACUUUUAAUGAAGAAAAGUAAAGAUCAACAAAAUAUUUUGUUCUUUGCGACAACUUUUGCGUUCUCAAGUGCGCCUGAUACCCUUUUUUUUUUAACAUGGGCCCACGUGCCAUGUUUCCAUUUCAAGUUUCAUAAGUUAACAGUAGAAAUGGGUUCCACAGAUAAUUUAUUUUAUAAUUUUUUUUAAAAAUUACUAAAAUAUAAUAAAUAAGGUAAUAAUAAUUAAUAAAAAAGUAGAUUUUAAGAUGGAAAAAUCUUUUUGUGUACUUAAUAAAAAGAUGAUAAGAAUGGGAUGCUUUUAGUUUACAUUCUCAUAGCUAUUUAUACUGAAAAAUUACAUCAAAAUUUAAUUAAUAAAUCAGUGAACUGCAGACUUAUUAAAUUUAAGCUAUUUUAAUAAGUCAUAAAUAUACUAAAUUAAAAUAGUAAUAAACCCAUUGUUACACAAUACUCUCCAUUGAGUGUUCACCAUUUUAAGAUAAUCAUAAAAUGACACCGGAAGUGCUAUUAUAGCUGUCUCAUGGAAAGCCUUCACCAAUAAAAAGGAGGAUAGAGCACAUACAUCCAGUUUUUAUACCCUUUGAUGCUCAGUCGACACGUGCCAAUGCUAUAGACUAGCUUUUCGAAGGUUGAAGUGGGUAUGCUAUUAGUAAAAAGACCUGCAAAAUUAUAGUGUACCUAUUUGACAUCAACUUUUUUUAUCUGCUGGAGCUUAUGAUUAUAGAAGAUCUUCGGUAAGAUGUGUUUGAUUUUAUCUUCUUUUAUAUAUCCUCCUCUAACUUGUGUAAUAGUAGUAAACCCCUGCCCGUUUUUAUUUCGUUUAGUAUUUUCUAAAUGGCCGAAGGAAAAUUGGUAAAAACUCAUUUAAAAAUUAAAAAAAAAAAUCAAAGAAAUUCAAGAAGAAGCUUUGUAUCUGUCAUUUGUAUUUGGGGUAUUUUUUUGGUUGUUAAGUGAAUGAGCUUAAAUCUAAAACAUUUAUUUAUAUAUUUCUUGUUGGAAAGAAUUUAAAUUUUAUUCUUAUUAGACUUAUUCUCUUUAAACAAAGGUAGAUUUUUCUCUAUGUGUUUAACGUGUAUUUUAAAAUUAAUGUUCAACAUAUCUUUAGAUUCUAUUAUAAAUAUUCAUAUCUAAAAUCUCAACAGAUUUCAUAAUAUAUAAAUGUAUAUAAAGAGAGAGAAUAACGUUUCUAAUAAGAAAUUUAUUAAGUUAAAGAAUAAUUCAAAAGAUAAAUUUGUAUUAAACCCAUUUAUAUGAUUAAUUAAGGUUUUAAACAAAUUUUGGACUUGUUCUAUUGUAGAGCUUAAAUUCAAAAUGGAAGAGUGAAGAAGGGAAAAAGAAGACGAAUAAAGAAGAAAAGAGGAGAACAACUUAUACAAAAUAGGGAGAACGAAAAAGUGAAGGGCAGAAAAAGAAAAAGAAUAAAGAAGAAAUUAAUCAUCGCUGAUAUGAAAAUAAUUCCUUCUUCUUUAUUGUUCUUAGUGGUUCUACUUUUUUUUAUUGGAUUCUAAAUUUUUGUCGUAGAUGGAUUAUAAGAACUAGAAAAUUAUAAAGAUAAUUUUUUAAUUAUUCGAUUAAUUAAUUCCAGCAGAAGACAAGAAAUUGAUUCUGCUUCGUUAGAAAGCCAUCACAUUCUAUACGCAAUUGCAAAAAGUAUAUAUUUUUGUCUGUUUUAGACAAGAAUAAAAGGGAUACCUGGUAUUGCAAAUCUAGACACGUUUUAGUGCUUUAUGUCCGAAUGAAUUCUUUCUUGCAACAAUAAACUUGGCCGAUCAGGAUUUGCCGUUUACAUAUGUAGGUCCUGUUGGUUCUGUAGUAGGACUCAUAAAUUUUUAUUUUUAAUUUACUGAAUCCAUAAAUUUAAAAUAACGGUGCAACUCCUGAGGAUGACAAUGGGGCGGGUGAGGUCUUGGAGUCCUGAAAAAAUUUAUAUCUGCAUAUUAAAAAAUGUGGAUCCGAAUAAGAAAAUCCGCAUGAAUCCGAAUGCAAGUGCAUUUGGAAAAUCGGAUAUCGAGAUCUGGAUAAAAAUUUAUUUCAAAUUAAAAAUUAAAUUAAAUAUAUAUUAAAAAGUAAAUGAAAAAUUAAGAAAGUAAAUUUUAUUUGUAGAUUUAUGAUGUCAUUGUAUAUUAUUCAUGUUGAAUUAUUAAUUGUUGGAUUAUGAUUGAAUUUUAUUUGAUAUUAUUGGGUAAAUUAUUGAAUUUCAUUUUAAAUUAAAAAUAUUUAUUAAAAAUUAAAUUUUAUUUGUAGAUUUAUGAGAUUAUUGUAUGUUAUUCAUUUAAAAUUUUUAAUUAUUGAAUUAUGAUUGAAUUUUAUUUGAUAUUAUUAGGUAAAUUAUUAAACUUUUAAAUUUUAUAUUAAAUUAUAAGCAGUAGGAAAUUAUGGUAUUCAGAACAUGUAUACCUUCGCACAUGAAGCUUGAGUCCAGAACAAGAUGCAGCUAGCCAAUCCUUCAACUUCCAAAACCCCACAAAACCUCUGUCAACAUAUCUGCUCUACUUCAAUAUCAAGCACAUUCAUAGCGGUAUCAACAGCUUACAGCUCCAAAAAUAGUUUGAGAUUUCAUUGAAGCUAAGUUGUGACUUGUGACUGUCCAAAUGUUCUGUCACACGAAAUGAUUAUUCUUGUAACACAAAUCCAAUAGCAUGCAAUAUAAUCUACUCUCUAACACUGUGCAUUAGUAAAAUAAAACAGAGUAAAAAGAGAAACCAUGCCUGUGAAUCUCUUCUCCUCCCCCCACCACCCCUUUUUUUGGUAAAGUCUAUCAAAUGAAAAUGCAGCAUGACCACAUUGGCCACUACCACUGCCAUUACUCCUUCAACUGUGCCCUUUGUUGCAAGAAAUCUUCAAGUGAAAGAUGGAUUAUAUAAUUAAAGAUUCCAAUAGAAGCAGCAAAGGUUGCCUUCCACUAGCCUAUCAGAGAAUAUGCUUUCUAUUUUCCUAGUUUUAAUCAAAAUUUUGCAAGAUUUAUUUAUGGAAAACUUGGACAAAAUUUUAUGUAAGAUACCAUAAAGCCAAACACAAUCUUUUUAAUUCUCAGCAGCAACAUUUAAAGUAAAAAGAUGGAAGCCAUAUAAAUAUAACUAUAUUUGGUACGAGGAACAAUUAUUUCAAGCUUUCAGAAAUGCUAGCAAGAAAUUGUAAGAGAACUUUACCUAGUCACAGAAUAUGUCAAGCAUACUACCACCAACUGUCUUUAGCACAAUUGUUAUGAAGUAGCCUCUGAAUCGGAAGAUUCAAGCUUCCACCAGGCACAAUUAUUUUCAUUCUCCAUACAAUCUGCAGCAGUGGCAUGAGUUAUAUCAUCAACAUUUGCAUCCUCACUCUCAUCACCCCAAUCAAGGCUUCUUCUCCACCUCUGGAUUAUAAGUCCGCUUCGACAUCUUCAAACAUCUCGGUCCUUCCAUUUGCAAACAACCGAUAUGGCUUCUUUCCUUGCCUUCCUCAUCGUUUAUAUCCCCCCAAAAAAGGGUCUUUAGACACCUCAACUUUGCCUUCUGCAAAACCUCCACAAAAUCUGAAUUAUCCAACACAACAGCUAGACGCUUGAUCCUUCUUUUGUCCAUCAUAUCCACCGCAUGAUUCCUCAACAAACAUCUGCAGCUUGUGGCUUAUCUAACACUGUCCUGACCCAAAACCCCACUCUUUUCAACUCAUCUGCCAAACCAUAACCCACUUUUGGAGUCAAAAUUGUCCUUGCAGCCCUUUUAUAUUUUUCCAACUCCAUUGAAUACUUGCCACUCAAAUGCACUCUCCUACCUCUAGCUGAUUCUACUUGAUUCAACCUCUUCUUUUGUUUACACUCAUGAAUUUGGAUAAAAUAAUUAACAAGUUUGUCAUUAUUAUAAAAUCUCCUUUCACAAACACCACAUAAAUAUGGCUCAGCAGGCUUAAUUACACCCUUGCUUUCCAAUUGGUUAAACAAUUUUUCUCUUCUCUUUGCUCUCUUACAACUUGAGGCACAUAACUAAAUGCAUGGCUAUUGGCAUAUGCCACCAUGUAUUUAACAACCCAAGUGAAGAUAUUGAUUUGGGGGUUUGUUGUCCAAAUCCCUAAAAAUUCACACAUUGCGUUGGACAGUUUUUAGUUCUACAAUUAAUGAUACGUUAUGUGAAUUAAGCUCCAAAUGAGAACAUCUAAACAAUGAGACAAAUGGGCUCUAGGUUUCUAAUCAGUAAACAUCGUUCAGUCGCAUAAUUUAUGAAAUUUUUGAAACAUCACUACAGCUACAGGUCUUUAUGUGUCAAUGAACUGCAGAAACUAAUGAUCUACUAGUAGUAGACGUUUGUUGUCCCCACCGUUCCAGGAAGAAAAAUAAGUAGAAGAACUACUUUUAGACCAAAAUUAAAAAAUUGAAACUAUCUUGAAAGACUUUCCCUUCAACUAAGUAAAAAAGAAAAGAAAAAAAAAAGGUAUUAGACAAGCAUUUUCAAAGGAAAAAGAUCAUCCAUUUAUUGUAUGUACUCAGGAAAAAUAAAUGUACUAAUAGGUAGAAACACAGCAAUAAAACUCAAAAACUAACAUCUAUAAAGCUCAAUAACAAUUAUGAAUUAGAUAUUUUGGUCCCUUCAUAAUUCCUCCUCUUGACUUCACAUUUCCCCUCAGCCCGUGAUAAUUUUACCUAUUGAAUUCACAUUUCCCCUCAUCCAUUGAAUUUUCCCAAUAACAAGAUGAGUCUAAAUCUGUUAGGAAAUUGAUGGGUGAAGCAGACACGCAGCUAAAGUAAAAUUGGAAGAAAAUAAAGAACAAGCACAAUAGAGGACACCAGAAAUUACGUGGUUCGGCUUUUAGCCUACGUCCACGGGCGAAGACAGAAGGAAAUAUUUUACUAGUGAAAAUGAGUUACAAGUAUUGUAGUAUUUUAGCUCACUUCCCAAAACCCCAAUACACCCAAACUCUCUAACUCACUAGACACUCAAGAGUUUAUUAAACUCUUAAAACUCUCAACACUCAAGAAAGCAAUGCUUCUCUCUCGAUGGAAAUUGAAUACAAAUGAAUGAGUGAGCACUUCCUUUUAUAGCCAAAAAAUGGCUAUUAAAUUAAUAUAUAUAUGUAUAUAUUUCAAAUGUAGUUACCAACUUCUUCUUUUUCUCCAUUUGGAUGGCACCAUUUUCUUUGGCCGGCUGCACCAUUUUCUUUUUUCAAAUGUCAAACCUGUGUGCUCAUUUUCCUUUCCAACUUGCUGCAAAAUUCCUCUUCUUUGAACAACAUGGAUGUUGACCAUCUAGAUGGCUGCUUUUGACAUUUCUCCCACUUGGAGAUUAGAUUGAGAAGCAAUCAAUCUCCACACCAUCCUUUCUGCUUCGCCAUAAUCAUGUUGCCUACGUUUCUGCUAGACCACAAGAGGAUCUACUCCAGACAAACUUAUCAGUAUUUAUCGGCUUGGUCAAAACAUCUGCUAGGUUCUCUUUGGUAUGGAUUUUCUGCAAAUCCACACUUCCAUCUUCCACUACUUCUCGAACGAAGUGAUACUGAACUCCUAUGUGCUUUGUCCUGGAAUGAAAGGCUGGAUUCCUUGCAAUGUGCAAGGCACUCUGACUGUCACAAAAUACAGGAAUUUUCUGUUGUUUGUGCCCGAGCUCCUCCAAUAACCUUUGUAUCCAAAUAGCUUCCUUGCAAGCUUGUGUAGCUGCCAUGUAUUCUGCUUCUGUUGUAGAUAAAGCCACAACGGUCUGCAGUUUCGAAACCCAGCUUACAGCUGCUCCCGCAAGUGUAAACACAUAACCAGUAGUGGAUUUUCUUUUAUCAAGAUCUCCUGCAAAAUCUGAAUCCACAUAGCCCCUGACAGUAAACUCUGAUCCUCCAUAACAUAACGCAACAUCUGAGGUUCCUCUUAUGUAUCUCAGAAUCCUCUUAACAGUUAUCCAAUGCUCUCUACCAGGAUUCGCCAUGUAUCGACUAAUUGCUCCCACUGCUUGUGCAAUGUCUGGUCUUGUACAUAUCAUAGCGAACAUCAAACUUCCCACUGCUGAUGCAUACGGUACUCGAGACAUCUCCUUCCUCUCUGCUUCAUUACUAGGACACAUACUUGAGGAUAAUUUGAAAUUAACAGGAAGUGGGGUAGAAAUUGACUUACAAUCUUGCAUGUUGAAGCGUCGCAAGAUUUUCUUCAAGUAAUUCUUCUGCGAAAGCCAAAUCUUCCUGUUAUUUCUGUCUCGGUGAAUUUGCAUCCCUAGAAUCUUGUUUGUUGGUCCCAAGUCCUUCAUGUCAAACUCCCUAGCUAACUGUGCCUUCAAUUCUUGGAUUCGAUCUUUGUUGGGACCUGCUACCAACAUGUCAUCCACAUACAAUAGCAAAAUAAUGAAAUCAUUAUCUUCAAACCUCUUGUAAUAUGCACAAUGGUCUGAACUGAGUCUGUUGUAUCCAAGGCUCAUGAUGAAGGAAUCAAAUCUCUUAUACCAACACCUCGGCGCCUGUUUGAGACCGUAUAGAGAUUUGUUCAACCUGCAAACCAAGUUCUCCUUUCCUGUUUCUGCAAAACCUUCUGGUUGGAGCAUAUAUAUUUCUUCUUCAAGUUCUCCAUGAAGAAAUGCAGUUUUCACAUCUAACUGCUCUAGAUGUAAGUCAAAUGUAGCACACAUUGCCAAGACUACUCUGACUGUUGUGAGUCGAACCACGGGCGAAAAUAUCUCGUUGAAGUCAAUGCCUUCUUUCUGAGCAUAUCCUUUCACUACCAAUCUUGCACGAUACCGCUCCACUUGGUCAUUACCAUCACGCUUGAUCUUGUAGACCCAUUUGUUUCCAAUGGCUUUUCUUCCAUGUGGUAGUGGUACAAGUUCCCAUGUCUUGUUCUUGUGUAGAGCUUCAAUUUCUUCCUGCAUUGUUGUCAUCCACAAAGCAAUAUCUGAGCUUUCUAAAGCUUCAUGGAAAGUUGAUGGCUCUCCAUCCUCCGUUAAAAGACAGUAUGCAACGUUGAUCUCUGUGACAUACUCCGAGUGCCACGUUGGCGGUCGUCUCUCACGAGUUGACCGACGAACUCUGGAGCCUCGGACUCGACUGGUUCUUGUUCCUCGUUCUCUGGUGCUGCUUCAGAAGAAUCUGAAUCUUCUGGAUUAUUUUCCACAUAUACUGGUACAAUCUCUGACUUUUCUUUUACAGUGCUUUCAUCCUCAUCUUUCCUUUGCAGUUGAUCUUCUAUAAAGAUAACAUCUCUGCUGAUGACGAUCUUGUGGGCAGUGGGGUCCCACAGACGAUACCCCUUUACUCCAUCAGCAUACCCUAAGAAGAUACAUCUUCUAGAUUUUGGAUCCAGCUUUGUUCUUUCUUGGGCAUUGUACAUCACGUACACAGGACAUCCAAAUGCAUGUAGGUAGGAAUAAUCAGCUGGCUUUCCAGUCCACAUCUCCAUCGCUGUCUUCAACCCAAUAGCUGUAAAUGGCGACCGAUUUACUAUAUAACAGGCGGUUUUGGCUGCUUCUGCCCAGAAUGAAUUGGGUAAACCAGCAGUCCUCAACAUAGCUCUUAUUCUUUCUGUAAGAGUUCUGUUCAUCCGCUCCGCUACUCCGUUUUGUUGAGGAGUGUAUGCCACCGUGAACUGCCUCUGAAUACCUUCUUGCUUACAGAAAGCAAGAAACUCUCCGUCUGUAUAUUCUCCACCAUUGUCUGUCCUUAAGCACUUGAUCUUUUUACUAGAUUCAAGUUCCAACCGCGCUUUGUAUUCUUUAAACACAGGAAAUACAUCUGACUUUUUCUUAAUUGGAUACACCCAACAUCUUCUGGAAUAAUCAUCAAUGAAAGUCACCAUGUACUUUGCACCUCCCAUAGAUAUAUCCGGUGAUUCCCAAACAUCAGAAUGAAUCAAGUCUAGAAUGCAUUUACUCCUAGCAAUAGAUCUACUGAAUUUUAAUCUAUGCUGCUUACUUGUAACACAAUGCUCGCAAAAUGGUAAACUUACCGAUUUGAGCCCCGGAAGCAAUUUUCGCUCAGAGAGAAUCUUCAAACCUUGUUCUGACAUGUGGCCAAGUUUGAGAUGCCACAUCAUCGUUGAUUCUUCUCCAUUUGAUGCGACACACGCAUCAGCCUCCUGUAGUGUUUCUCCUUUAAGCAUGAAUAAAUUAGCACCGAUCUUUUCUGCCUUCAUCAAUACAAGCGCACCUUUAACGAUCUUCAUUAUUCCAUUUUCCACAUGAGUUUUGAACCCAUGACUAUCCAUUUGUCCCAAAGACAAUAGAUUUUUCUUCAGGCCAUUGACAUGUCGUACCUCCCCAAUUGUGCGAAUUGUACCAUCAAACAUUUUUAUUUUGAUAGUACCAAUACCAGCGAUCUCCAAGGCAUGAUCAUCUCCCAUAUAUACAGAUCCUCCUGAGAUAGGUUCAUAUGUGUGGAACCAUUCUCUCUUAGAGGUCAUGUGCCAGGUAGCUCCUGAGUCUAUAAGCCAGACAUCAGAUAGUCGUUUUCUGCCUUCUGAAACAGUUGUUGCCUCGCUGUAGAGAAUUUCACCAUCAUCUGAGGUACUUGCUACACAACCCUGAGCAUUUGAUGACUCAGGUUCUUUGCCCUCUCUUCUCUUCUGGUUACUCCAACACUCUUUCUUGACGUGCCCUUUCUUGCCACAGUUGUAGCAUUUAACAUUCUUCUUACUUCUGGAUUUUGAUCUACCCUGAUUUUGACUCCCACUGGGGCCACGUUCCGUUGAUCUCCCUCUCGUCACUGAUAGCGCUUCUGCUUGCUGCGAACUUGCUUGUCUGUUUUCCUUGUUUUUCCGCCUGCUCUCCUCAUUUAAUACGGAGGCUGCAACAUCGUCGAAAACUAGACCCUCCACUGGAUUGUUGUUCGUCAGGUUGAUGAUGAGUUGAUCAUACGAAUCUGGUAGACUUUGAAGUAGAAGCUCUGCACGUUCAUUUUCCUCUAUAUUAUGACCCAACGUUGUGAGUUGUGAAAAUAGAGUCUUCAAUGUGUUGAUGUGGUCGGUCACCAUUGUAGAUUCCGCCAUUCGAAGAGUAUAGAGUUUUCUCUUCAAGAAGAUUUUGUUGUGUAGUGACUUGGCCUCGUACAAUUUUGUGAGAGUAUCCCAAAUUUCCUUCGCCGUAUUUUUCUCUGCCACACUGGAUAAUACUCCAUCCGCAAGUGCCAAGUGUAGAUCAGAAAUAGCGUUGCCGUCUACCUCGUUCCACUUGUCAUCAGUUAUCUCUAUGGGCCUUUCUCCAAUUGCUGCCAAACAAUUAUUUUUCCUCAAUACAGCUUUCAUCUUCAUUUUCCACAACGAAAAAUUAUUUCCGUUAAACUUCUCAAUUUCAUAUUUUGCCGCCAUUUUGUUGAUAAUACUGCACACAAGCUAGUGUACCACCUUGAAUAGUUGUGAGUAUGUGUGAGAAUGCACACCAGGAAAGUUCCCAGGAAAGACUAGAGGGGUCACAAUGGUCCCACUUAAAACCCAAACUCCUUAAGCUCUUAUCGCCUUUGUGACAGAACUUUCCUAGACAUGUACAGAACCACACAGUUGCUUUACUCACACCACUAUUCCCUGCUUUGCACCGCAAAAUUCUUGGAUGGCUUCCACCGUUUCACGUGAAUAGUACCGUAUACGUGAAUAGUGCCGUAUACGUGAAUAGUGCCGUACACCGUAUACGUGAAUAGUGUCGUACACCGUAUACGUGAAUAGUAUCGUACACCGUAUACGUGAAUAGUGCCGUACGCCGUAUACGUGAAUAGUCCCGUACGCCGUAUACGUGAAUACGUGAACAAUUCCUGACUCCAAAAAUACAACCAAUAGCUCUGAUACCACUGUUAGGAAAUUGAUGGGUGAAGCAGACACGCAGCUAAAGUAAAAUUGGAAGAAAAUAAAGAACAAGCACAAUAGAGGACACCAGAAAUUACGUGGUUCGGCUUUUAGCCUACGUCCACGGGCGAAGACAGAAGGAAAUAUUUUACUAGUGAAAAUGAGUUACAAGUAUUGUAGUAUUUUAGCUCACUUCCCAAAACCCCAAUACACCCAAACUCUCUAACUCACUAGACACUCAAGAGUUUAUUAAACUCUUAAAACUCUCAACACUCAAGAAAGCAAUGCUUCUCUCUCGAUGGAAAUUGAAUACAAAUGAAUGAGUGAGCACUUCCUUUUAUAGCCAAAAAAUGGCUAUUAAAUUAAUAUAUAUAUGUAUAUAUUUCAAAUGUAGUUACCAACUUCUUCUUUUUCUCCAUUUGGAUGGCACCAUUUUCUUUGGCCGGCUGCACCAUUUUCUUUUUUCAAAUGUCAAACCUGUGUGCUCAUUUUCCUUUCCAACUUGCUGCAAAAUUCCUCUUCUUUGAACAACAUGGAUGUUGACCAUCUAGAUGGCUGCUUUUGACAAAAUCAUCAAUCUCAUUAAACACUCACAUCUACUAAAUAAUAUCGCAUGCAGUAACUUUAAGUAAGGAUCUAAAACUUACAAGAAAAAGAAAACUACUGUUUAUUAAUUUCAAAAUUUACACAAAAUUACAAAUGAUUUUAUAAACUGUACCAAAACAUGUUCUCUAAAAGAGAUUCAUUAUCCUGCAUUUUCAAAAACAAUAUAAACUAACACUAGAAUAGCCAUUUGAUAAUGAUGUGAAUUUGGGCAGCACCAAGAAGCAGUGAGCCCCAUUUGGUGAAAGCAAAAAGAAAAAAAAUUAAAAUAAAGCACUAUAAAUUCUAAUCAAAUUAUUAACAUUAGCUACACAUCAAGAAACCAGAAUAAAAUCGUUAUCUAAACCACAUACUGAAAAAGAAAAAACAAUGCAGUUAAAAUUCUAUCAUUUUCACUUACAAACAAAUAAAGAAAAAAUUAAGAACAAAGGUUGAAGCAAAGAAUGAUUGUACCUUGAGGUACUUGAGGUUAAUGUUUCCAUAAACGAGACCGAGCGAAAAAGCCGAAACCAGAGCAACCUAUUCUUACUACUCAAAAACACGCCCAGAUCAGAAAAUAAAUGAUCAUUCAAUAACAAUUCAUAGGAAAAUGAUGUUUGCCCCGGGUCAAACCCCGAAAAUAACUUAAACGGCGUCGUUUUGAUUUUUUUUUUUCUUUUGGAAUACUCCAAAACGACGACGUUUCUGAUGAUAUUUUGAGAAGAAUAAAAUCUAUCUUCCUCUUCGUUUUCGUUUCUUCGUUUCACCUGUGAAAGAACAGAGCAACAGAGCAACAGAGAUCCCAACUUGGUCUUGUUCCGUUUGACCGUAAAUCUCUUCAUUUCUUCGUUUCUUCGUUUCUUCAAAUAACGGCAAUAUCACCCAAAACAAAGUUUCAUGCAAUGUUGUAAAAAAUAAAUUAUGAUUUGAGAACUGAAAAAAUAAUAUGAGAACUAAAAAAAUGAGACAAAUCAAGAAUAUGAGAACUGAAAAAAUUAAUUCAAUGUUACAAUGUUACAAUGUUCUAAAAACGAAGGCCAACUUCCUAAAAUAAAAUUAAAAAACAAAAUGCUACAAUGUUAAUCUUCGAAAAUUAAACUGAAAAAAUGAGACAGUACCGAAAAAAACAAAUCUUCGAAAAUUCAAGCUUGGCACAAUGUUAAUCUUUCGUCCAAACUCAGCUUUCAACCGUCCAAAUUCAGCUUGUCCAAACUCAGCUUUCAACCGUCCAAACUCAGCUUGUCCAAACUCAUCUUUCAACCGUCCAAACUCAGCUUUCAAGGACACAUUUCGCAGCCGAAACUCAGCCGAAACUCAGCUGCUGUUGGUCUUGUUCUUCAAUGGGUACCAAACGAAAAAGAAACGAAAAAGAAACUCAGACGCUUUCAACUCAGCUUCCAAGGACAAAUUUCGCAGCCGAAACUCAGUCGAAACUCAGUUGCUGUUGGUCUUGUUCUUCAAUGGGUGCGAAACGAAAAACAAACUCAGAUGAAGAGGAUGGAGCUUUAAUUAGUAGAUCCCGUUCUGCUGUCGAUGAGUGCUCCGGCUGUGGAUCUCGGUCGAGGAUGGAAGAAACGAAAAAGAAACGAACAAACGAAAAAGAAAAUAAAAGAAAACGACGCAAAUCAUUCAAUAAACAAACGAAAAAGAAAAAAAAAAAAGAAACGACGCAAACGACGCCGUUUAAGUUAUUUUCGGGGUUUGACCCGGGGCAAACAUCAGCACUCUUUCCUUUAUGAAUUGGGAAAAUGCUACUUUCCCCGGGUCAAACCCCGAAUUAUUUCAAAACGGUGUCGUUUUGUUUUUUUUUUUUCUUUUUACUUGCAUGAAACGUGGUCGUUUGAGCUAGUAAAAACAAAACAAACUAAAGCAGAAAAAACUCAAGUGCUUAUCUUCUCUGCCCCUUUCUUAAUUUCCUUUUGACAAACCACGGAAUCACACCCACAAACAACAAUCACCCACAGUCACGCGAACAGCCGGCACAGACGAAGGAUGAGCCCACAGACGACGGACCACCGCAUUGAAAUCUCUGUCCACAUCACCGGCACCAUCAUCGUAGGUCUGUAACAAACUGUCGUAAGUUAAACCCUUCUCACCGUCGAUGAACUCGACGUAAGUACGGAAUACUUCGUCGAGAAUUGCGUUGAUUUGUUCGUCGCUGAAUUUGACUCGAGGGUUUACGGCCACCACUAAAGCCGCCAUUUCUUCUCUAUUACGGCCACCGUCGCGGUUCGUGUCAAAUUGUUGAAAAAUUCUCUUCACUUUCUCUGAUCUGCUUCCUCUCGUAGCCAUUUUUUUUUUCUGUUUUUCUGGGGGUCAGUUUGGUUUCUCAGUGUUUGUUUGAGAAAGCGGAAUUAGUAGAUAAGGGAAUAUAAGGAAAAGUUGAUAAAAAGGCAAAGGGUGGUUACUUUAAUUGUUGGUGAGAAUAAUGAUGAUGAUGGCUUAAUUCUGGGUUUUGUUGGAUCUGAAUGAAUUCUUAACGGCAAAAGUUAAAGAGUAGAAGAAGAGCAAGAGGACGGACUCUCAUUCUUUCCCUUUUUUCUUUUAAUUUUAAAUAUAUCAAAAACGGCAGCGUUUUGGAGAAACAAAAAAGAAAAAAAAAUUAAAACAAAACGACGCCGUUUUUGUUUUCGGGGUUUGACCCGGGGCAAACAUCAGCACUCAUUCAUAAAAACUCCAUCCCAUCGCAUUUAAAACAAAACAAAGAAAAUAUUGAUUAGAAAAAAAAUUACACGCAUGGAAUAAAAGAAUAUAAAAAUGGAAUUACCAGAGGGAGCUAGUGCCGGAGUAGGAACCAGAAGGCAGCGCCAUAUGAUGCUCUUGUUAUGGUUUUCCUUCUUGUGGGUCUGCGCUGAAGUCGAAGAUGAAGAAACAAGAAAGAGCCAGCAAAUUGAGAAAUCGACUACCAUCUUCGAUUCCGACUCGCAUGGCCAUUUUUCUUUGAUGAAUGAAAUAUUGUUUUACUCCCUAAUUCUUAACCAAAUUACAAGUUUUGACUUCUGUUUGUAUGUUCUUUCAUACGGGUUCUUGUUCACAGGAAUAACAAAUGGGCCGGACGUGUGGCUAAGCCCGGGCCUGGUGUCGAUAGCCAGGCCUGGGCUUUUACGAGCCCAGGCAUUUUAUUCUGAGUAUGAUCCUUAUAUCACUUCACUUUUGUAAUCGUAAUUUUAUUGUACUGAAAAUUAUAUGAACGAUUAAUAUGAAUUUAAUUAAACAAACAUGUCUUUACAACUCAUGCAACCUUACUAUUUUCUAAUCCUAAUAUGUGAUAUAAUUAAUUUUACUGAUAAAAUCAAAAUAAUUUUUAAACAAUGAAGAAAUAAAUUAUAAUAACAGUAAAUUUAUUACGAAAAAGUAUGUUUACAAAAUUUAUUUUAAAUGAUAUGAAAUCUAAUUAAAAUUCUAUUCUAAUUUUAUGCCCUUUUUUACAAUUUUAUUAAAAAGUGGGAUCUCUUAAGAUUUUAGGAGUGUUGGAAUUCUAUUUUUCCAGAUUUGAAUUUUAGUGACCUUUACUUCAUUUAAAUUUUUUGUUAUAAACUUGCAAGCAAGUGCAUUUAGGAUAUCUUUGGUGAACUGGAUUGUAACAAUAAUUUUAUUUAUUAAAAUUAUUAAAAGUAUUUAAUUAAUAAAACUUCACGUAUCCUCGGGUCUAACCAAUCAAAUUCUUUCUCUCAAAAGUACACAAAAGUGAGAUUGGCUCUUGCCUAUUAGUUAACAUAUGCAUAUUAAUUAACACUGACAGAUAUAUAGAUAUACAGCACAGCUAGCAGCACAUUCGACUUACAGAUAUACAGAACUUGAACAUAAUUCACAUAUCUGAAGGGAGAGGGAUAUCGAUGUUGCGGCCUGCAAUUCAUAACAUAUCAUCGGUCAUUUAAUCUAGAAUUGAGGAGAGAAAAUGAGUCUAAAUUCGAAAACUUUGGCACUAUUUACAUAUCAUUAUUUGGGUGAAAAUUCAUUUCUCUGCUUUGAUAUGAUUUGGUCUUUCAUUGUUACGGUGCCAAUUUUUUAUUUAAAGAUGUAAGGUAGUGGUACUAUAGCUUAUAUUUUCCGUAAUUACUAUCCGGUAAGUACAAAAAUAAAAUACUAGUUUAAAAUAUAAAAAUGAAAAAUUAUUUUUAUAACCAAUAUUCAAUUAAAUACAUUUAAAACUCUAUUUUUUCUUAAUAAAAAAAAUUCUAAUUUAUUUUCUCAAUUUAUCUAAACAACUUUACCUAAUCAAGCUAAAUCUACAUAUUACCCUAAACCUUAAUUCAUAAACACCCAAUCAAUCUAAUUGUUAAAUCUUAUUUCAUAAUAAAAAAAAAUUAAUUUCUUUUUUAUUAUUUAUGGUGCAAAGGAAAAAAUGAAUUUAAAGGUAAAAUUGAUAUUUUAUUUAAAUUUUGUUAAUAUUCUAAUAAUAUUAAUGUCUUGGUGGUUAAUAAAAGCAUAAAGUUAAACUUUUGUAGUAUUUUUAAUAAUAUGGUAAAGAUAUAUGUUUGAUAAUUUUCUUAUGUCUUUUUACGUUAAAUUGAGUCUCAAGUAUAAUGAAUAAAUAAUACAUAUUAUAAAAUUAGUGUAGAUAAAUAAUACAACUUGAAAAUAUUAUAGUAUUCUUAAUAAUAGAGAAAUUUAAAGGUGGAUAGUUGAUUGUUUAAUGAAACAACUACAGAAUUUUCCUUUCAAAUAUCUUUUUAAAAAACAACAGAAUGACCUUUCAAAUGCCCAUUCGACAAGCCAAGAAGAAAGGGUAGCUAACAAAUUUACAAGUACCAGAGAUCCAGAAACACAUUUAUAGCCAAUCCAUUUAUGAGUUACAUUCAACACUCUCACAAACUUAAAAAAUAAAAAUUAUUACUGCCAAGACGCACACUUUUUGACAUCUAAAAAGCUAAACAUUUGAAGUUCUUUGAUACAAAAUGCAUACUAAAUUGGCACAGUUAAUGCCCAUCGAAAGGGUCAUCAAUUUAGCCAACAAAUUUGCCAAAGUUUUAACAGUGACCACAAACGGAACAGGUAUAGAAUAAAAGCUUGUUCGGUUCUUGCGCGAAGUGAACCCCUCUGAAACGCUAAAAGAGGAAAUACAAAAUAAAGAAGACCAUAUUACGUGGCUAACUAACAGCCAUUCCCAAAGAAAUAGAGUGACGAUAAUGUGCUUCUUUUUUUUUUUUUAGAAAAGAACACAGACCCCUAAUAUUUAAAUAAAAAACAUAAAAUUUCUUAAUAUUUAAAAAAAAACAUUCAGACCUUAUUGUUUAACAGAAACUGUUUUUUUAACAGAAAUUAUAAUUUUAAAAUAUAAUUACCAUUAUAUCCUUAUAACAUAUUAAAACUAAUUAUUCAUUGUCCAAUUUAUCUUUAUAUUAUUAAUAAAAUUACGAAAAUAAAUUUGAUAAAGAAAAUUUCAUGCACAUCUAAAAAUUGAUAAAGAAAAAAAAAUAACAAAAGUAAUUAGUAAGAAAUCUCCAAUAAACCGACAAAUUAAGAACCCUGUUCAUCAAACUACCAUAAACCAAAAAAAAAAAUUCUCGUAAUCAUUUAUUUAUAUUCUUGCACAUACAUCACAUAUGCAUCAAGCAUGCUAGAGAAGUUAAUUUAGUAAAAAAAAAUGAAAAUUAAAGAGAAUUCAACAGGCAAGAUCAGCAACCAAACGCAAGCACAAGCAGCAGCCAAACGCGAGAUUCAACAAGCAAGAUCAGCAACCAAACGCGAGCACAAGCAGCAGCCACAAGCGAGCACAAGAAGCAGCUAAAAGCGAGCACAAGCAGCAGCCAAACGCGAGCAAUUCCAACAGCCAAACGCGAGCGAUUCCAACAGUUCCAACAGCACAAGCAGCAGCCAAACGUCGAUUGCGAGCAGAUCCAGCAACCAGACGCGGUCUCGAUCGACGCACGAGCAGUUCCAGCAGCUUCUGGUAGCGUGAGCAGUUCCAGCAACUUCCGGCAGCCCUAGCAGCUUUCGGCAAAGGCAAACCGUGAGUGUGUGUUAAAAGAUUUGUCUGGAAUCAGCGUGUGAUGUGUGUGUGGGGUUUGUUUGUGCGUGUGAUGUGCGUGUGGGGUUUUAGUCAAUUCACUUGUUUUUAAUUUAUAAUUACGAUAUUAACCUUGUAAUGAUUUAAGGAAACGAUUUCCGUUAAGUAAUGGGUCCGAAUGUUUUUUUUAAAAUAUUAAAACGUUUUGUCUCUUACUCAAACGUGGGUCUCUGUACCCUUUUCCCUUUUAUUUAUUCUUCGCUGGCAUAUUUCUCUUCAUCUUCUUCUUCACUGGCAUCUACAUUGGCGUCUCCCUCUUGGUUGGCAUCUUCCUCGUUUGUUGUUUGCGGUGGCUGUCCAACCAAUAAAUUGGGCAUUAAAGAACAAACAGAUAAAGUUAUAACAAUAAGAAUUAUAAACAUAAAAAGAAAAAAAAAAGAUAUUUGAAGGGAAAUUUUGGUAGAACUCCAUGGCUCAUCUAUGAAAUUAAUUUAAAGUUCUCGAGAGCUUACCUCUGCUCCAGAAUUCUCGGAAUCAUCCAUCUCCUUCUGAAUUUGCAGGAAGCAUGGGACAAUUACGAAUAAUUGCAUUCACUGCAGAUGGAAAUGGGAUCUGAUAUCCCGUAGGCCAAAAGUUGGUGAGGUUUGGUAAAUCUUUCAGCCUCAAGUUCCGAACUUUAUCCAGAACAAUUUCAUCGUAAUCCAUGACGUCUGCUCCAUCUUUAUGCCAGAAUACUUCUUCGAAUUCAUUAUUUUCUUCUAUGCAUAUACGAAUUAGUUUUUGAAGACUUGGAGCUACGCUGAUAUGAAAUAGAUGCUUUAGUUUGGGACAAUAACAGACAGAGAUCUCUAUGAGUUUUGGGAAACAAACAGGUUGGAGAUGAUCCUCAUCCUCAUCAAUGACUUGCUCUAAUUCCAGGCAAUAUAGAAUAUCCAACCUCUCCAAUUGCAACAGAUUUCGAGCAAGUGUUGAUGAGAGGAGACGUCUCAGCUUAGUGCACCCCCUUACGGUUAAAUCAGUAAGAUUUUGCAGGCUAAAAUUAUGCGUGGGACCUUCAUAAUAUAAUACUUGCAGUUCGUCAAGAACUUCCAAUUUCAACUCUUUCAAACAUGGGAAAUGUUUGUUUUCUUGUCCAUCAGCGAUAAUAGCUUCCGACUGAAAUAACACUUGCACUUCAAUUUCUCUUAUAUUCAAUUCUUCCAAAUUUUUUAACCCACGCUUCAACAGUGCGGGAAUUGUGUCACGCAAAUGGGAGCAAUCGUCCACGCUUAGAAUUCGUAAUUUCUGAGAAAAAUAAAUAACUUGAUGCAAUCAAAAUCUAUUAGCAGCUAGGACUAUCUCAUGAUAAUCAAUAAACUAACACCAAAAAAAAAAAAAAUUCCAAAUCCGUACAAAAUAGUUAUAUUUUAUGAAAGUAAUAUAUUUAUUAAAAAAAUAAAAUUAAUUAAAAGAGAUCAUGUGAAGUGAUAUAACGGUGAAAUCUGUUUGUUUAUGAAAAAAUUGUAUUCUAUUUCUAUGGCUUGAUAACUACUUAAUUGAAUUUGUUUAAUAUUAUAUAUGCUUCACAAGUGUUUUCAUCCGACCUUUUUUUUACCCCCUUCAAAACAAAAACGAGAAUUUGACUUUCAUUUGAAGAAUGAAUUUUAGGCCCUAAAAUAAGGAAGUUUUCCUAAGAUAUUGGAUCUUAUUGUGAUCAUCACCGUUAGCACUACCAUCAUCAUCAUCUCUCUACAAAGCCAAAUGCAAGGUGAUAUGAAUGGCGCAUCAUAAAAAUUAUUAAUAAACUAUCACUUUGAGUAAAAUUGAAGAAAAAAAAAAGAAAAAAACAUAAACACAAACGGACAUACCUCUCCAAGAUACUGCAAAUUAGCUUCAAGUUCUGUAUUGUUGGCGGUCAAGUUUGGACAGCAUCUUAGGUCUAACUUUUCCAACGCUGGCCAAGUUGAAUAAUAAUUUUCUGAACAGAAGCUGGUGAGUUCGGGGAGAUCUUCAAGGCUUAAUUUUCUCAACAAAGAUAGCUCGAGUAUUCUAUUUUCAUCUGCUACACUUAUUUCCCCUUCAUUAUGAUCAAACUCCGCUUUAACGAUAAAUUUUAUUCUCUCGCAUCUGAACACUGCAAGACUUUCAAGCUGCUUUAAACUUCGAGCUUGUGACAACGAGAAGACAUACGUCAAAUUGUUGCACGCGUACACAUGCAAUGCUGUAAGAGCUUGGAGGCUCACAUGUUGGGCGGGCGCCUUCCAUAUCUGCUUCAUUUCUGGUAACUCCAGCAUAUAUAACCUUGCUAAUUUUGAGAGCAUCAUAGGAUUCCCACUCUCUCCUUGCGGCGACUGAGAGGCAUCCAUUAUGCAUUCUAAAUCUUCACAAUUGUUGACAGAAAGAUAAGUCAACUCAUUGAAGCCCCUUGGAUCUAUGCUUGGCACAAUAUUAUGACAACCUAUUAUCCUGCUCAAAUCAAGAAAUUCCAGAUUUUGAUACAAUGCUGAAAAAAUACGGAGCGAGGUCGCUUCAAAAGGGUGAUCAAUGAUUAAACUCCUUGUCUUAUCACCAUCUUCCAUUUUAUAGCCAACUCUUUCACCUUUAAUCAUGUACCUUUGCAAUUUUGGGAAUGUAAAAUCUUUUGAAAGAUAUACAACAGGUCUGCCAACUUGGAAGUUAAACUCAGCAAGCCUAGCAUUACUUUCUUCUGAACUCAUCACUUCAACCUCCCAAUCUUUUAUCCGACCAUAAAAUUCUUCUAAUUGAGGAAAUUUUUUUAUCGUAACGGGAGAAACAGAACCAAUAUCAAUAUAUAGAAGUUUCAAUCUACGAAGUUCAUCCGACAAAUCUUCAGGAAUUUCAAUGGGAGAAUCCUCAAGAUAAAGAAGUUCAAGUCUCUUCAACUUUCCAAGAAAAGACGCGUCACUCACAUGACAUCCAAUCAACUGCAGAACUCGGAGGCUAUUGGCAAGGAAUCGAAGCGAUUUUAGUGAAAGGACUCCAUUUAUUAUAGUAACAACUUUCAAUGCUGGCAUCCCUUCAAAAAAAAUUUCUGGAACUUGCAAUUUGUAGACAAAUAGAGUAUUGUGCAGUCGCAAAAUAUGAAGGUUAGGGCAUACCAAACUACUAGGAAGCUCUUCUUUUUUAUUUCCCAAUACAGAGAUUCCUCUGUAUUGCUCCAAGCCUUCUUCCAUUGCCCGUUCUGCCAAUCCAAUGCCAACUUUACUAAAAAAUUUCUUCUCCACUAGUACUUCUGAGCCUAUCCAUAUGGCUACAUCACGAACUAUGUCAUGCAUUUUCACAGAUCUGUCAUUACCAGUGUCUAACAAUAGUGAAACAGCUUUGAGUCCGUCAAUUGUUCCAUGCAGUAGGCUUCUGGUGUUCUCUAUUGACUCAGCUUGAUACCAAGUCAACCCUACUGCAUAUCCAACCAAAUCCUCCAAAUGAAUCUCAUAAUCUUCUGGAAACAACGAACACAACAAGAAGCAUAACUUGGAAUUGUCAUCAUUCAAUUUAUCGUAACUAAAUUUGAGGCAACCGUAAACAUCUAAGUUCUCCUCAUCAAUACCUUCUAUUGCAUAGAGUUUUGCAGCCUUUAGGUUAUGUAGAGCCAAGUUCCAUUCAUUAAAUCCUUUUCCUCUUAGUGCACUUCCAACAGCUUCAAUAGCUAAAGGCAGCCCCUUACAUUCUCCAGCAACUUCUUUGGAAACAUCAUUCAAGGUGGAGUCAUUUACAUUAAUUCUGGCAUUUUUUCGCAGUAAAGCCAAUCCUUCUUCUGGCGUUAGUGUACUAAGUGGAAUCUGUGUGUCACAACCCAAAGAAUCACAAACUGACUUUUUGCGAGUCGUUAGAAGGAUUUUGCAACAAUUAUCUCUACCACCGACGGUAAUACCUAAUUUUUUCUCCGAGUCGAGUGUUUUCCAAACAUCAUCAAGGAUUACGAGGAUUUUGCUGCUUUUACUCUCAGAAAACAUCAAGCGCAAUCGGUCUGCUCUCUCUUUUUCAUCUUUCUCAUUUAGUGCCCAGCCUAACGACUUUGCCAGCUCACCUUGAACCUUGAUUAUAUCUGGAUCCUGAGACACAGUGGCUAUCCCCACCUUAUCGAAAAUCUUUUGUUGCCGAAGUUGAUUGCCCACAGAUUUUGCCAAGGUCGUCUUUCCUACACCGCCGAGACCAUGCAAUCCCACCAUCUUUGUGCUGUCUUUUUUCAGUGCUUCAGUGAUCUGAUUACAA